GAAUUUUUACGAAUUUCUAGCAAUAACAUGAAUUUUUACGAAUUUCUAGCAAUAACAUGAAUUUUUACGAAUUUGUAGCAAGAACAUGAAUUUUUACGAAUUUCUAGCAAUAACAUGAAUUUUGUACGAGUUUCUAGCAAUAACAUGAAUUUUUACGAAUUUCUAGCAAUAACAUGAAUUUGUACGAAUUUCUAGCAAUAACAUGAAUUUUUACGAAUUUCUAGCAAUAACAUGAAUUUGCGGAGGUCGGGGUGGCGGGCGGAGGCGGGGACGGAACCACAGGCGGUGCCUAGGUUGUGACGGCAGCGGUCAGGACGGCGGCACGGCGGAGGCGGGGAUGCAACCACGGCGGUGCCUAGGUUGUGACGGCGGCGGUCAGGGCGGCGCGACGGCGGAGGCGGGGACGGAACCACGACGAAACACGAUUCAUUUCUAACCUAGGCGGAGCAACGAACCUAAUUACUACUAAUUUACACUAAUUUGAUUUUUAAACACAUAUACAAAAAUCUAUUGAAUUUGUACCUAAUUACUACCUAUUUAUUUUCUAACUUAAAAAAAAAGGCCCUUGCUGACGCAAGCCGGUCGGCUUGCGUCAGCAAGGCGGUACUCCCGGCGCUAGUGCCGGCCGGCGCAGCGGACCUCUCGCGUGCGGUCGUCGAUGGUGGCCGGGGCGACGAGGUGGCCGGGGCGGCGGGACGGCGGUGGCCAGGGCGGUGGGACGACGGCGGUCGGGGCGGCGAGGACGGUGGCCGAGGCAACGACGGAGCGAAGGCGCGCGGGACGGCGGAGGCGGGACGGCGACGAGGCGGCGACGAGGGGCGAUGAGGCGGCGACGAGGAUGGAGGCGGCGAUGAGGCCCGCGAUGGAGCUCUGGUGGCCGGCGGGGAUGAGGUAGGGGCCGGGCACGACGAACAAGGAGGAUCGAGGCGGGUCGGCUGGGGCGAUGGAGGAGGAGGAUGUCUGGGCGCGGUCGGCGGCGGGACGACGACAGCCGGGGCAAUGGGGGACGACGAUAGCGGCGGCCGGCGAGGGAGGCGGACGGGCGGCGACAGAGCUGAACGCGCGCGGGAUUUGGUGAAAAUUUUGCUAAGUGUAACUAGCGUGGGGGUAGAAGGGGCUACAGUGCCUUUUAACCCCCCCUUUUAUCCCGGUUCGUAAUGGCACCCGGGACUAAAGGGCCUUUUGUCCCAGGUCCCAUCACCAACCAGGAUAAAAGGCCCCCUCCCCCUUUUAUCCCAGUUGGUGACGGGACCCGGGACAAAACGGUGCAUCCGCCAGGUGGGGCUGGGAGCCUACCCUUUUAUCCCGGGUGCCACCACCAACCGGGAUAAAAGGGGGGGGCCUUUUUGUUGGAGGUAUGCCCUAGAGGCAAUCAUAGAGAUGAUGAUAUUCCAUUUGUAUCCAUGAUUUGUAUAUUGUGUUCAUUGAAUAUCCAUUAAAGGCUACUUGAAUUGACUUGCAAUUAUGUGAAUUGUAUGUGAAACUCUUUACUUGUAUGGUUAUUUUAAAGUUGUCCCUAGUCGGAGUUCAUGUGAGGACACACAUGAAUAUUAGACUAGCACAUGUAUUAGUUGAUGACUAUGUUUCACAAGUCAUGGACAUGGAGAUGUUGAACUAAUAAUGUGGACACAUGUGGAGACAUGUGCUAGGACUGACCCAACACGAGAACUAGUUCUCUCUUUAAACAACAUAUACGCUUUGUCCUUAGACCUGAGAUUGUCGCAUGUAUUCUAGAUGUGGAUCGACCUACUUAGGGGCUAUCAAACGCUACGCCGUAACAGGGUAAUUAUAAAGGUAGCUUUCGGGUUUGUCAAGAAGCAUGCUAUGAGACAUGGUCAAUCAAGAUGGGAUUUGCCCCUCUCUGAUUGAGAGUGAUAUCUCUGGGCCCCUCGAGUGAUCGGAUCCGAAAAUGCAUGGCCAUGCUACGUACGGUUAAGAGUUAACCUACAAAGGAAUUCCGAAUCACAGGAUCGAGAAAGAGCGGUCGGCUUGAAGCUAGACCAAAUAUCGUGAGGCAAAGGGAAUAGCAUGUAUAUUAUGUUGUGAUGGUUCGUCUGAUAUGAUCUUCGUGUGCGUAUAGGAGUUGGCACGUCUUGCUAGAGGCCGCUACCGACUAUUGGGCUGAGUAGGAGUACUCGGGCCAUGUCUAUACAUAUCCGAACCCAUAGGGUCACACACUUAAGGGGCUAGAAGCCCAAUUCGGAUCUGAUCCGAGUUGGAUUAGGUUUAGAAGUACUAAUGGGCCUCUGACCCAGAGGCCCGUUAGGAACCUCUAUAAAUAGAGGGGUGGGGGCGCCCUAGGGUUUACACCUUUUUAGCGAAACACACCUGCCGCGCCUCCCACGCCCUCGUCUGUUGCAACUCGCGGAUCUAGCAGUCCGGCUUGCGACGCUUCCUCCCUGCACGUGUGGAUACCUUGGAGGUGUUGCGCCUGCAGCACUUGGACGAGCCACCGACGAGCCACGACGAGCCAACGACGAGCCGCGGCACCGGGGCGAUCUUGCUGCACGUGGACGAGCUGCUGAGGAGUUGCUGGACGUUGACGUGAUCGACUACGUACGACUACGUUGAUCGACUACGUAUGACUACGUUGAUCGUCUUCACUGCAUCGACGCAUAUCUACAUCUUCCGCACCAGUAGUGCGUCGAGUGGUAAUCCCGUGAUCCUUAUACGGCAGUUAUUCCUGGUUUUACGCGGUAGAAAUUUUGAUUUGCGCUAGCGUAGCCUACCUCGUAUCCCAACACUUUUAUCCCGGUUGCAGUUGGCAAUCGGGAUAAAAGGGUACGUCCAGGCGGGAGACGAUAAGUACCCUUUUAUCCUGGUUGCAGUUUGCAGCCGGGAUAAAAGGGGGGCCUUUUGUCCCGGUUGCUGUUGGCACCCGAGACAAAAGGUCUUUUUCCUACUUUUCUUCUCCUGCCUGUUUUUUGGAAAUGGAUUUUAUUUAUCUUUUCACUGCAUUUCAGGAUGAAAAACAAAAACCUUCACAUAUUUUCCAGUGCAUAACGACCACCAAAAGGAGGUUCCUGACCUGCGGCAACAGCUUCUUCAUGACGUUGCUGCGAAUAAUGAAGCAUUGCUUUUUCCAGUGCGCUGUUUUUCUUCGGCUUAUGCUGAGGGCCAACUAUGAUUUUCCCCUUGCUGAAAUAGGAACAACGAUCGCCCCCACCAUCGCCACUUCCUCCAGUAGCAAAAGCCAUCUAUGUACAAAAAUUAUUACCUUAACACUGCAUAAGUUAUUGAACUUGAAGACCGUGAUCAUCUCGCGAGCAUGUCCUCAACUGGGUGGCACCGCACUUCGUCAUGAAAGAGGUUAGAUGCUACAGAAAAGGGGACACAGUCACGAUGUCCGUAUCCACUCUUUCUCGUAGAAUCGAACCUCCUUGUUGACAUACGUUGCUGCUCGGCGGAGAACAUCCUAUGCGAGAUGACCACGGUAUGUAAGUUCAACAAGUAUGGAUUUGAAAAAUCUUAUUGAAUUUGAUAAGUUCAACAAGUAGCAGAAGUCAUCUAUGUACAAAAAUUCUUUCCUUACCACUGCAGAAGUUGUUGAACUUGAAGACCGUGAUCAUCUCGCGAGCAUGUUCUCAACUGGGCGGCACCGCACUUCGUCAUGAAAGAGGUUAGAUGCUACGGAAAAGGGGACACGGUCACAAUGUCCGUAUCCACUCUUUCUUGUAGAAUCGAACCUCCUUCUUGACAUACGUUGCUGCUCGGCAGAGAACAUCAUCGCAGAGAUGAACACGGUAUGCAAGUUCAACAAGUAUGGAUUUGAAAAAUCAUAUUGAAUUUGAUAAGAUAAACCGUCUAGACAAGGUAGCAUCAUUCUUAAACCACUGCAAUAAUGCAUACUAUAUAUAUGACACAUCAAUCUCCGUCACAUUCUAGCUUAAAAUAUCUCUCCAUUUUCUACUUCAUCAUCACAUUCUAGCAAAUAAUCUUUCCAUCUCCAAAGCAUAAAUCAAAGCAUAACACGAGGAUGAAGUAGCAAACCUUCACAACACUUGUGUUGGCCGAGUGAAAUUCCAACGAAAAUGAGGGAAAAAACUUCGGGCAGCACCUCCCUUGCUUCGGCACCACCGGAGAGUAGGUGAAGCUCAGCUCUCUCUGUCAAUGUGCUGGACUGGCUCGGGCUGGAGGAGGAAGAAAGUCCUCUGUCUUGGCCGUAUAUAAUGGGGAUGAGUUUUUAUCCCGGUUAAAAACUCCAACUGAGACAAAAAGUAACACCUUUUGUCCCGGUUGAAGGUUUAGUCCCGGUUGGAAGCUCCAACCGGGACAAAAGGGUUCACCUUUUAUCCCAGUUGGAGCCUCCAACCGGGAUAAAAUGGUGCCGCCACCGACAGCCCGCGACUAGCCGUUGCAACCGGGACUAAAGGGGGGCCUUUAGUCCUGGUUGCAAUUACCAACCAGGACUAACUCUCCCCUCCAUUUUUUCCUACCGUGGUGCACCCCGUUUUGUCCUGGGCCAACUUUAAACUGGGACAAAAAGGGGCGCAUCGAAAGCCAAUUCUCUACUAGUGUUCGCACGUACACUGUGCAUCCUCGCCGUAUACAUCCGCCUUGCCGCAGAGCCACCAGGCGCACAAGCUAAGCUGAUGCGGACGUAGGCACACAGCUCUUGCCAAGCAAAUGAUGGCGUACUCGUCGACGGCUUUGUUGACCUCGUCAAGUUAACCUCGACGAGAUGCUAAUCUCGCUGGAAACCAUGGUGCACGGUGAGCCUACAGCCCAGGUCGUUGAGAAGUAGAUAGAAAGACAUCGUGCAUCCUAAUGAGGGGGUGACCUCUAUACAUAUGGCCAAUAUGACUUGAGUACAAGAAAUACAUCAAGUAUAUAAGGAAAGUAUAAAUACAUCCUAAAAUAUACAUAUACUUCCUAAUACCCAUCCAGAGUCAAAACGGGAGGAUCAAGGACGCACAGAAUAGACCUAAACUCACUAAACAAAGGAGUUGGCAGGCCCUUCGUCAUGAUGUCCACGAACUGAUGAGAGGACGGCACAUGGAGGAUCCAGACCUCACCCAAGGCCACCUUCUCAGGGACGAAGUGAGUAUCAAUCUCGAUGUGCUUCGUGCGCCGAUGAUGCACCGGGUUGGCAGUAAUGUAGACAGCACUCACGUUGUCGCGGUAGACAACAGUGGCCGAAGCAAGCGGGACAUGAAGCUCCUGAAGAAGUUGGCGCAGCCAGCAACACUCUGUCACAGUAUGAGCCACACUCCACCUCAGCACUAGAACGAGACACCAUGGUCUGGUGCUUGGAGGACCAAGCCACCAGAUUGUCACCGAGGUAGAUGCAGAAGCCGGAGGUGGAGCAUCUAGAGUCCGGGUAGCCAGCCCAGUCGACGUCGGAGUAGGUAGUCAGAGAUUGAAUAGGACUAGUGCCAAUGUGAAGCCCGGAGGAAAGCGUGCCCUUCACAUAACGCAAGAUGCGCUUGAUCAAGGCCAUGUGGGGCUCGCGCAAGUCAUGCAUGAAGAGGCACACCUGCUGAACCGCAAAUGUCAGAUCAGGUUGAGUCAGGGCUAGGUACAGCCUAGCAAGACUUCGAUACUCAGAACCGUCUAGGAGUUUGGCAUCGUCGUUUGCCAAAAGCUUGGUAUGAGUGUCAACAGGUCAUGCCAGCACGCUAAAGAAGAUCCAGGGCGUACUGUCGCUGAGACAAGAACAUGCCCUGGGAGGAACGCCUAAUGGAGAUGCCGAGGAAGUGGUGUAGAUUGCCAAGAUCCGUCAUAACGAACUCGGAGUGAUGAGGCGUUGGACUUCAUCGUUAGCGUCACGGGGACGUGAGACUUGACGGAGACGGUGGCGUAGGGGUGGACGGCGGGCGGCGGCGUCGGGUACAUGAUGAAGCCACCACCGCCGUUGUCGGACACGUCGCCAACAGGAGGACCUUUUGGCGCACCGCCAGAGGAGCCGCCGGUGGCAGGUGGCAGCACAGAUGCACCGCCAUUGGUAGCAGGAGGUGGUCCAGGAGGUGGCACUGGAUUAGCAGUAGGAGCGGUGGUGUUGUCGAGACUCAGAGGAGUCGGCGGAGAACAUGGCACACGAUCGGAGGGGGGAGCCGGUCGGGUAACCAGUCAGGGAGUCGGUCGGGGAGGUGCAGCGGAGGGUGGGUGGUGACGGCGUAGGGGGGGUGCCGCCUUGGGUUGCGUGAAUCAGGGGGAAGGCGCUGGGAGAGGAGGUUCACGAUCUUAAUCUCGUGAUACCAUGCAGAGAAGUAGAUAGGAAAACACCACGCACCCUAAUGAGAGGGAGUGACCUCUAUAUAUAUCGCCAAUAUAGCUUGGAGUAUAAGGAAUACAUCAAGUGUAUAAAAAAAGGAUAAAUACAUCAUAAAAUACACAUAUAUUUUCUAAUACAGGUAGGAUGUAUCUGAUCUAUCCCUUCUUUUCUUUUUCACCAAUAUGAGCGGUACCUCCAUGAUGCGGAACAUUCGAGCUAUAGCUCGGAUGAUCCAGAAUUAAGGCAGAAGCUCCGAGCAAUAACUCGAUGAUUCAAAAUCCCUUGUGGAAGCUAUGAAUGGUGAAAACUCUGAGCAAUAGCUCGACGAUCGAUCUCCAUCUCCAUGGAGCGUCCUUUUUCUUUCCUCGUUGACGACGAGCGAAUGUUCCUUGCCCCGUUAUAUGGGAGCGAGAGAGGCAAAAUUCAUCUAAGCAAGCGUGCCAGCAUGCACGGCGGCUGCGGCUGCAACCAAGAAAAAGCUUCAAAAAAGAUUACUGGAGAAGGGAAAGACCCCUUGUUUUUCACAUGAGAAGAACUACAGCAACGCUGCACGAGACGGGAAAUACCCGCUCGGUGGCAUGAAAGCAUUAGCUCCGACGAGAAGCAAACUCAAGCAUUGCCGCAGGUGACUUGAAAUAACUGCUCAGUGGCAUGAGAGCGCACGUUAGCUCCGAUGAUGAGCAAACUCAAGCAUCGCUGCACGAGAAGGGAAAUACCCGCUUGGUGACGUGUGAGCGUUGGCUCCAAGGACAUGUAAAGAAACCCUUGCGACCAUGUCACGUCCCACAAUUUGGGAGGUCCAUCUAUGUCAGCCUGAUGGCAAAUUUGAGUAGAAGUCCUUUUUUGAUUCGACGCCUGUAUGAGUUGGCCGGAGAAGCAAACAAAAACUAGAAGUCCCUGAUACGGGUUCGGCUGCAUGUUCAUGCACCCACACGUGAAAGGAGCAAUUGCUCUCUAAUGUUUUUGGCUAAGGCACUGAACUAGUGCAUGAAACAAGGUGAAGCAAAUAAAAGUAAAAGAAAUCUCGUGAUGCCGGAAGGCUGAUCCUUGCCCCGUUGCACGGGAGCGAGAGGGGUGCACCGGCUCGCAUAUCAAUACCGGGAACCACAACGUGAGUUAUUUCCUCGUAAGAGACGAGCAUCGAUCGCAUGAACUACGGCGUGAGGUAUUUCCUCGUAAGAGACGAGCAUCGCUCGCAUGUUACUAUGUCAAUGCCGGAAACCACGGCGCGAGUUAUUUCCUGGUAAAAGACGAACAUCGUCUAUUCACUGGUAGAGAACUGACUUUCGAUGCGUCCUUUUUUAUCCCGGUUUAAAGUAGGCCAGGGAGAAAAGGGGGUGCGCCAUGGUAGGUAAGAAUGGAGGGGAGAUUUACUCCCGGUUGUAACGGCUAGUUCUGGGAUGUCAGUAGGUUGACCCUUUUGUCCCGGUUGGAGGCUCCAACUGGGACAAAAGGGUGAUGCUUUUGUCCCGGUUGGUGUUACCAAUCGGGAUAAAAAGUUUACUCCCGAUUGGAGGUUCCAACCGGAACAAAAGGGCCGCCCUUUUGUCCCGGUUGGAGCCUCCAACCGGGAGUAAACUUUGAACCGGGAUAAAAGGUGUUCCUUUUUGUCUCGGUUGGAGAUUUUAACCGGGAUAAAAACUCAUCCCCAUUAUAUAACAAGAUAGAGGCCUUUCUUCGUCCUCCAGCUCGAGCCAGUUCACCAUAAAGACAGAGAGCUAAGCUUCACCUACUCUCCAGUGCUGCCGAAGCAAGGGAGGUGAUGCCCGAAUUUUUUUCCUUAUUUUUGUGGGAAUUUCACUCAUCCAACACAAGUGUUGUGAAGGUUUGCUACUUCAUCCUCAUAUUACGCUUUGAUUUACACUGAUUUAUGCUUUGGAGAUGGAUAGUUUAUUUGCUAGAAUGUGAUGAAGUAGAAAAUGGAGAGGUAUUUUGAGCUAGAAUGUGAGGGAGAUUGAUGUGUCAUAUAUAGUAUGUAUUCUUGCAGUAGUUUAAGAAUGAUGCUACCUUGUCUAGACGGUUUAUCUUGUCAAAUUCAAUAUGGUUUUUCAAAUUCAUACUUGUUGAACUUACAUACCGUGUUAAUCUCGGCGAGAAUGUUCUUCGCUAAGCAUCAACGUAUGUCAAGGAGGAGGUCCGAUUCUACGAGAAAGAGUGGAUACGGACAUCGUGACCGUGUCCCCUUUUUCGUAGAAUCAAACCUCUUCCAUGAUGAAGUGCGGUGCCACCCAAUUGAGAACAUGCUCGCCAGAUGAUCACGGUCUUCAAGUUCAACAAGUUCUGCGGGAAUACCGUGUUCAUCUUGGUAAGCAUGUUCUCCGUGAAGCAGCAAUGCACGUCAAGGAGGAGCUUCAAUUUUACGAGAAAGAGCGGCAACAGACAUCGUGGAAGACUAUGCCCCCUUUCUCGUAAAAUUGAAGCUCUUCCAUGACGAAGUACGGUGGCGCCUAGUAGAACAUACUCGCCGAGAUGAUCACGGUCUUCAAGUUCAACAAGUUUUGCAGUGCUAAGGUAAGAAUUUUUAUACAUAGAUGGCUUCUGCUACUGGAGGAAGUGGCGAUGGUGGGGGCGAUUGUCGUUCCUCUUUCGGCAAGGGGAAAAUCAUAGUUGGCCCUCAGGAUAAGUCGAAGAAAAUGAGCACGUUGGAAAAAGCAAUGCUUCAUUAUUUGCAGAAAUGUAAUGAAGAAGCUAUUGCAGUGGGUUUAGGAACCUCCUUUUGGUGGUCGUUAUGCUCCACCCUCAAUCCUGGGUGUUUCACGUCCACUUAGUACUACCGUUUCAGGCGGCAUAAAUAAACCAAAGAAUGAGGCUGGGUCAGCAGAACCUUCAUCUUCACCGUCCAAGGAAACUUAAAGUCCUCCUAUAUAACAACCAGUGCAUGGCUUGUCGUAUUGUAUCAUAUUGUUUGGAUCUUUAAUUUAAAUAUGUGUAUUUGUAUCUAUAUCUAAACUUUCAGCAUUAUUUGCACUACAGCGUUUGACAUGCUUUCAAUCGUGAAUCCAUUUUCAUGUGUAAUCAAUUUUCAAGUGUAAUCAAUUUUCAUGCGUAAUCCAUUUUCAAGUGUAAUCCUUAUUCAUGCGUAAUCAAUUUUCACACGUAAUCCAUUUUCAAGUGUAAUCCAUUUUCAUGCGUAAUACGAUGCAGAUCGACCGGCAAUGGAUAUAUAAUGCAGACAGACGGAGCAAGGUGUUUAUUGAUGGCUUGCAUUAUUUUCUCGAAGUGGCCAAAGCGAAGAAGCUAGAGAAUGGGUUCGUAUGUUAUCCAUGCUUCCAAUGCAAUAACAAGAAGGACUAUUCAAAGGAUUCCUGGGGGACUAUUCACAGCCACUUGUUUAGAUACGGUUUCAUGCCUAACUAUUUGGUUUGGACCAAGCACGGUGAAAGAGGGGUUGUAAUGGAAGACGGCGAAUAGGAGGAUGAUGACAACAUUCCGGACUGGGUUGCAGGCCAAGCUUUUACGAAUACUACAAUGGGCGAGGCUGAUGAAGAUGAGUUUGCAGAAAAUGGUCCUAUUGAUGACCUUGGUCAGGUGCUACGAGAUGCACACAGAGAUUACGAAACUGAGAAGGAAGCAGCAAAGUUGCAGUGCAUGAUAGAUGAUCACCAAAAAUUGUUGUACUCAGAUUGCCAGCAGAGCCGUAAAAAACUAGGUACGACACUAGAAUUUGUAUAAUGGAAGGCAAAAAAUGGUGUGUCCGAUAAGGCAUUUCAGGGGAUGUUGAACAUUGUAAAGAAGAUUCUUUCUAAGAAUAAUGAAUUACCGUCCACAACAUAUGAAGCUAAAUAGAUUAUUUGCCCUCUCGGAUUGGAGGUUCAGAAGAUACACGCAUGCCCUAAUGACUAUAUCCUCUAUCGUGGUAAUGAAUACGAGAAAAUGGAUGGUUGUCCCCUCUCCAAGCGUUGUGGUAUAAGAUCAGGCGAGAUGAUCCUGAUGAUAUCGAGGGGCAGUCUCCCAAGAAGAGAGUUCCCAUGAAUGUGAUGUGGUAUUUCCCUAUAAUACCACGCUUGAAGCGCUUGUUCAGGAACAAGGCGAAUGCUAAGUUGAUGCGAUGGCACAAAGAAGAACGUAUGGAAGAUGAAAUGCUGAGACACCCCACAGAUGGGGCCCAGUGGAGAUCAAUUGAUAGAGCAUUCCCGGACUUUGAAAGUGAAGCAAGGAACAUAAGGUUUGGUUUAAGUACUGAUGGAUUCAAUCCAUUCGGUGAGUUGAGUAGUGGCCAUAGUACUUGGCCUGUGACCCUAUGUAUGUUCAACCUUCAUCCUUAUCUGUGCAUGAAGCGGAAGUUCAUUAUGAUGGCGGCGCUUAUCCAAGGCCCAAAACAACCCGGCAACGACAUUGACGUGUACCUAAGACCGUUGGUUGAUGACCUUUUACAGCUCUAGAAGGAAGAAGGUGUACGUGUGUGGGAUGAGGAUAAACAAGAGAUCUUUAAUCUACGAGCAUUAUUGUUCGUAACCAUCAAUGAUUGGCCUGCACUGAGUAACCUUUCAGGACAGACAAACAAGGGAUAUCGGGCCUGCACCCACUAUUUAGAUGGCACAGACAGCAUGUAUUUGAAGCACUUUAAGAUGGUCAUCUAUAUGGGUUGUCGUCGAUUUCUCCCUGCUCACCACAAGCUGAGAAAGAGCGGGAUGCAUUUCAAAGGGACGCCAGACCAUCGUAAAAAACCUGCACACUGUAAUGGAAAUCGUGUCUUGGAGAUGAUAAAGGAUGUAAAUGUAGUAUUUGGAAAGUGUCAUGGUAGCCAACCUGUUCCGAACGAUGAUAACGGACGUGCACCCAUGUGGAAUAAAAAGUCAAUAUUUUGGGAGCUACCUUAUUGGGAAAUCCUAGAGGUUCGCAACGCAAUAGACGUGAUGCACCUGACGAAGAAUCUUUGCAUGAACAUGCUAGACUUCAUGGGUGUUUAUGGGACCUUGAAAGAUACAUUGGAAGCACGACAGGACCUGAAAGCCAUGGGGCAACGAGAUGACCUACAUCCGGAAAAGAGAGAUAAUGGAUAGCACUACUUACGUCCUGCCAGUUACACUCUCAGCAAGGAAGAGAAGGAUAGCAUGUUUGAAUGCUUGAAUAGUAUGAACGUCCCAUCUGGGUACUCCUCGAAUAUAAAGGGAAAAUAAAUAUGAAACAAAAGAUGUUUACAAAUCUCAAGGCCCAUGACUGCCACAUGUUGAUGACCCAGUUGCUUCCGAUUGCACUGAGGGGUGUUCUACCAGAAAAUGUUCGGUUGCCGCUCGUAAAGCUAUGCGUGUUUCUCAAUGCGAUUUCACAGAAGGCAAUCGAUCCAUCCAAGCUAUCAAAGCUACAGAACGAUGUGGUGCAAUGUCUUGUCAGUUUUUAGUUGGUAUUUCUGUUGGGAUACGAGGUAGGCUACACUAGCGCAAAUGAAAAUUUCUACCGCGUAAAACCAGGAAGAACUGCCGUAUACGGAUCACGGGAUUACCACUCGACGCACUACUGGUGCGGAAGAUGUAGAAUUUGCGUCGAUGCAGUGAGACGAUCAACGUAGUCGUACGUAGUCGAUCAACGUAGUCGUACGUAGUCGAUCAUGUCAACGUCCAGCAGCUCGUCCACGUGCAGCAAGAUCGCCCUCGUGCAACGGCUCGUCGUGGCUCGUCGGCGGCUCAUCGUGGGUCGUCGGCGGCUCGUCCAAGUGCUGCAGGCGCAACACCUCCAAGGUAUCCACACGUGCAGGGAGGAAGCGUCGCAAGCCGGACUGCUAGAUCCGCGAGUUGCAACAGCCGAGGGCGUGGGAGGCGCGGCAGAUGUGUUUCGCCAAAAGGUGUAAACCCUAGGGCGCCCCCACCCCUCUAUUUAUAGAGGUUCCUAACGGGCCUCUGGGUCCGAGGCCCAUGAGUACUUCUAAACCUAAUCCAACUCGGAUCAGAUCCGAAUUGGGCUUCCAGCCCCUUAAGUGUGUGACCCUAUGGGUUCGGAUACGUAUAGACAUGGCCCGAGUACUCCUACUCGGCCCAAUAGUCGGUAGCGGCCUCUAACAAGACGUACCAACUCCUAUACGCACACGAAGAUCAUAUCAGACAAACCAUCACAACAUAAUAUACAUGCUAUUCCCUUUGCCUCACGAUAUUUGGUCUAGCUUCAAGCCGACCGCUCUUUCUCGAUCCUGUGAUUCGUAAUCCCUUUGUAGGUUAACUCUUAACCGUACGUAGCAUGGCCAUGCAUUUUCGGAUCCGAUCACUCGAGGGGUCCAGAGAUAUCACUCUCAAUCAGAGAGGGGCAAAUCCCAUCUUGAUUGACCAUGUCUCAUAGCAUGCUUCUUCACAAACCCGAAAGCUACCUUUAUAACUACCCUAUUACGGCGUAGCGUUUGAUAGCCCCUAAGUAGGUCGAUCCACAUCUAGAAUACAUGCGACAAUCUCAGGUCUAAGGACAAAGCGUAUAUGUUGUUUAAAGAGAGAACUACUUCUCAUGUUGGGUCAGUCCUAGCAAAUGUCUCCACAUGUGUCCACAUUAUUAGUUCAACAUCUCCAUGUCCUUUAUUUGUGAAACAUAGUCAUCAACUAAUACAUGUGCUAGUCUAAUAUUCAUGUGUGUCCUCACAUGAACUCCGACUAGGGACAACUUUAGAAUAACCAUACAAGUAAAGAGUUUCACAUACAAUUCACAUAAUUGCAAAUCAAUUCAAGUAGCCUUUAAUGGAUAUUCAAUGAACACAAUAUUCAAAUCAUGGAUACAAAUGGAAUAUCAUUAUCUCUAUGAUUGCCUCUAGGGCAUACCUCCAACAGUCUCCCACUUGCACUAGAGUCAAUCUAGAAGGUACCUAAUACCCAUAGCUCUUACAUGCGCAUCAUGCUUAGCCUGCGGGAGUGGUUUUGUCAAUGGAUCAGAAAUGUUCAGAUCCAUGUGUAUUUUGCAUAUCUUGAUCUCACCCCGGUUAACGAAGUCUCGAAUGAGAUGAAAUCGCCGCAUUACGUGUUUGUUCUUCUGGUGGUUCCUUGGCUCCUUUGCUUGUGCAAUUGCCCCAUUAUUAUCACAGUAGAGAUUCAAUGGGCUGGACGCAUUUGGGAACACACCAAGCUCAAUGAGGAAAUUCCUUAUCCAAACACCUUCCUUCGCGGCUUCCGAAGCCGCGAUGUACUCGGCUUCUGUUGUAGAAUCGGCCACCGUCUCCUUCUUGGAACUCUUCCAACUAACAGCACCACCAUUUAGCAUGAACACAAAUCCUGAUUGUGACUUUGAAUCAUCUCUGUCGGUUUGGAAACUAGCAUCGGUGUAACCUGUUACAACGAGCUCCUCCUCACCUCCAUAGAUGAGGAACACAUCUUUAGUCCUUCUCAAGUACUUAAGAAUAUUUUUCACCGCUGUCCAGUGACUCUCACCUGGAUCAGAUUGGUGUCUGCUUGUCAUACUUAGCGCAUAUGAAACAUCUGGGCGAGUACUUAUCAUUGCAUACAUGAUAGAUCCAAUAGCCGAGGCAUAUGGCACUCUACUCAUGCGAUCCCGCUCAUCAGCAGUCGAAGGACACUGAGUCUUGCUGAGAUGUAUGCCAUGUGACAUAGGCAAGAACCCUUUCUUUGCCUCUUCCAUGCUGAACCACUUCAACACUUUGUCAAUGUAAGUAUCUUGGCUUAAACCUAUAAGCCUUCUCGAUCUAUCUCUAUAGAUCUUAAUGCCCAGAAUAUAUGCCGCUUCCCCUAAGUCCUUCAUCGAAAAACUAUUUUUUAGUGAAGUCUUUACGGACUCAAGCAUAGGAAUGUUAUUUCCAAUCAGUAAUAUGUCAUCCACAUAUAAGAUUAGAAAUACUACAGAGCUCCCACUAACCUUCUUGUAAACACAAGACUCUUCUUCGUUCUUGGUGAAGUCAAACCCUUUGACCACUUCAUCAAAAUGAAUGUUCCAACUCCUAGAUGCUUGCUUCAAUCCAUAAAUGGAUCUCUGAAGCUUGCAAACCUUUCCAACAUUUUUCGGAAUGACAAAACCCUCAGGCUGUAUCAUAUACACGUCCUCAGCUAGGUUUCCAUUCAGGAAAGCUGUCUUGACAUCCAUCUGCCAUAUCACAUAAUUGAAAUAUGCAGCUAUAUCUAGAAUAAUCCGAAUGGACUUAAGCAUCACUAUGGGCGAGAGGGUCUCAUCAUAGUCAACUCCUUGAACUUGUCGAAAACCUUUUGCAACAAGUCGUGCUUUAUAGAUGUGAACAUUUCCAUCCAUGUCCUUUUUCUUCUUAUAGAUCCACUUGCACUCUAUGGCUUUAACACCAUCAGGCGGGUCAACCAAGUUCCAAACUUGAUUGUCUCCCAUAGACUCUAUUUCGGAUUGCAUGGCACUCUGCUAUUUUUCAGAGUCUGGGUCCAUCAUUGCUUCUGCAUAGGUCGCAGGCUCAUCAUUGUCCAACAAUAAUAUUUUCCCGCAUUUCGCGGAGCCUCGCUGACCUUCGUGGUUGUGGCGGUGCUUCUCUUGCCAUGGGUAUCUCAACUUGAUCUGCUACGUUAGCAUCACUCAUUGAUUCUUGCCUGAUUGGCUCAUCUUGAACUUCUUCAAGAUGCAUUGUCUUUCCACUCUUUUCCCCUUUGAGAAAUUCUUUCUCUAGGAAAACCCCGUUCCGAGCGACAAACACUUUGCCUUCUCAUCAGUUGUAGAAAUAAUAUCCCAAAGUUUCCUUUGGAUAUCCCACAAAAAUGCACUUAUCCAACUUGGGUGUGAUCUUGUCCGACUGAAGCCGCUUGACAAACACUUCACAUCCCCAAAUCUUUAGAAAAGACAAACUAGGAACCUUUCCAGUCCAUAUCUCAUAUGGUGUCUUAACUACGGAUUUAGAUGGUACCCUAUUAAGUGUGAAAGCUGCUGUUCCUAGAGCGUAUCCCCAAAAUGACAACGGUAGGUCCGAAUGGCUCAUCAUUGAUCGAACCAUGUCUAACAAAGUUCGAUUACGUCGCUCAGAUACACCGUUUCUCUGAGGUGUUCCAGGCGGCGUAAGUUGUGGAACAAUUCCGCAACUCUUUAGAUGAUUGCUAAACUCGUGGCUCAAAUACUCGCCUCCACGAUCAGAUCGUAAGGCCUUAAUUUUCUUGCCACACUGAUUUUCAACUUCAUUCUGAAAUUCCUUGUACUUUUCAAAGGUUUCAGACUUGUGCCUCAUUAAGUAGACAUAGCCAUAUCUACUAAAAUCAUCAGUGAAAGUUAUGAAGUAUUGGAAUCCUCCUCUAGCCGUCGCGCUCAAUUGUCCGCAUACAUCACUAUAUACGAAUUCCAACAAGUCUACUGCUCUCUCAGGAAAUCCUGUGAAAGGCGUCUACUGCUCUCUCUGGAAAUCAAAUACCCAAGAAUUAAUAAUUGUAUCAGCGAGAAAAAUGUUGUCUAUAACAUUAACAACAAGCGUACCUGAGGUAGAAGUACUCUUACUUCCGCCAUUCUUCAACGAAGCUAGGUACUGCUUGCAGUUUCUCUUCCAGUGACCAAGUUCAUGACAGUAAAAGCACUCUUUGUCUGCAGCAGGUCCAGGUCCAGCUUUAACCUUGGGCGCUGGGUUUGGCUUGGACGUUCCAGCCUUGCCUUUCUUCUUCCAAGAAUUGCCCUUCUUCUUAAAGCUAGGCUUGUUCUGUAUAGCCAUCACAUGGCUGGUACUAGCGCUUUUCUUGAUGUCAGCCUCUGCUGUUUUAAGCAUGCCACACAGCUCAUUCAGACCCUUCUCCGUCCCAUGCAUAUGGUAGUUCGAGAUUAAGUUCCCAUAGAUAGGCGGAAGAGAUGAAAGAAUGAAAUCAGUGGCCAACUCUUGGCCUAGUGGGAAGCUCAGCUUCUCCAACCGUUGAGUGUAACCAACCAUCUUGAUUACGUGUGGUCCCACUGCUGCGCCUUCUGCUAGCUUGCUCUCAACAAAGGCCUUAAACACAUUGAACCUUUCAGUCCUGGCCUGUGUUUGGAACAUGUCUCUAAGCGCCACGAUCAUAUCAUGCACCUCAUGGUUUGUUUCGAACUGCAUCUGCAGCUCGAAUUCCAUGCAAGCAAGCAUAAGGCAGCUUACUUCGAGGUUAGCAUCACAUGCUUUCUUGUAAGCAUUCUUAGCAGCAGUGGGUGCAUCAUUAGCAGGUUCUUCUGGUAGUGGGUUGUCUAGAACAUCUUCCUUUUUCUCAGCCCUGAGAACAAUUCUCAGGUUACGGAUCCAAUCCGAGUAAUUUGUUCCAUUCAACUUGUCCUUCUCAAGGACCGAACGCAAAGCAAACGGUGUAGUGCUGCUAGGUGCCAUUUAAUCUACAACAAAGUAAUGCAAAAUACACUAAGACAAACGUAUCCAUGAUAGAGCAAAUCACAUUAAACUAUUUUAACAGAAUUUACUCCCACUAAAAUCAAUAUCCCUCUAUUGAAAUUUAGUGAUUCAUCCACAACUAACAAGUCUACUAGUGAGCUUUAGCAUCACCGCUAGCAAACAAGGUAGAUCGGUAAGCAACUUUUGCUAAUCAUAUCACAUAUGACUCCUGUUGUUGGGUGACAUCUCUAUGUCUCGGCGCCCAACCUUUAUGCCCCAAGGUCCUUAACCGUUAAGAUAACCUUGUUAAGCAAACCAACCCUUUUGCGCGUAAGUGUCCGACACAAACCCGUCUAGUCAAGGAAAACUAGUGGUACCCUAAUUUCAUAGACCCACCACUAAUUGUACAAGACAUGGGACGGUGCAAGUUUUAGUUGGGAGGGCAUACUAACUUAAACUUUGUGAGGGAUCGUUCUACUUCUAGCAUCACAGCAUGCAGAAAGUAAAACAUAAACAGAAUAGCAUUCACACAGUUGUGACACAGUAUGGCCCGUUUUUUUUUCUUAUGGUGAUCUCCAUCUCCAUAGGAUCUGUUCACCAUGGUGAUCUCCAUCUCCAUGUUCCAUGUGCGCCAUCCUCCUGGUGAUGAGUCCUCCAAGAACUAGAACAUGCUAUUACGCCUAAUAGCUAGUAAAGAAGCUAGUAGUGAAGAUUACAUAGUUGCUUGGAUCAUCACAGAUUGGUACGCAGACCAUUAAAUACAUUAAGGUGACAACACAUAUGGCUCCUGCCGUGUUGCCGUACGCGCGACACGCAGGUCACGAAUGGGUUACACACAUGCAUCACAUACACAAAAGGGCCAUACUGAUCACAAGAUACAUACAUACAUCCUGCAAAACAGAGUUAAGCGUCCUAACGUUCCAAACUUCGGAGGCCCGAAACUCCAUCUUCCAAGCCGAAUUUGGGAAAUCUAAUUUCGCCAAAAACGGCUGAUUUACCGAAGCAUACGCAUACGGCAAAAAUCCUGACCCCAGCAGUAGAUCUCAUCUACUAUUGCACAUCUAAUGCGCCUGGCGUAUGACCCUGGAUUUCGAUUCGACCAAUCAUAUUGAUCUUCGCUCACUGCAACUAGAUUUACGUGUAUCACUUAACUCCGAUGGCGGAAACCGACGGGUAGGAGUAUGUCGUUACACUACCAUUCCAGCAAGGGCACGAAACCAGGACAUAGAUCAAACGGAAAACUCGCAUAUCUCCAUAUGCACACAUCCCGAAUCCAAAACUAAACAGCUACGGCUCAUGAUACCACUGUUGGGAUAUGAGGUAGGCUACACUAGCGCAAAUCAAAAUUUCUACCGCGUAAAACCAGGAAGAACUGCCGUAUAAGGAUCACGGGAUUACCACUCGACGCACUACUGGUGCAGAAGAUGUAGAAUUUGCGUCGAUGCAGUGAAGACGAUAAACGUAGUUGUACGUAGUCGAUCAACAUAGUCGUACGUAGUCGAUCACGUCAACGUCCAGCAGCUCCUCAGCAGCUCGUCCACGUGCAGCAAGAUCGCCCUCGUGCCACGGCUCGUCGUGGCUCGUCGGCGGCUCGUCGUGGCUCGUCGGCGGCUCGUCCAAGUGCUGCAGGUGCAACACCUCCAAGGUAUCCACACGUGCAGGGAGGAAGCGUCGCAAGCCGGACUGCUAGAUCCGCGAGUUGCAACAGGCAAGGGCGUGGGAGGCGCGGCAGAUGUGUUUCGCCAAAAGGUGUAAACCCUAGGGCGCCCCCACCUCUCUAUUUAUAGAGGUUCCUAACGGGCCUCUAGGUCCGAGGCCCAUUAGUACGUCUAAACCUAAUCCAACUCGGAUCAGAUCCGAAUUAGGCUUCCAGCCCCUUAAGUGUGUGACCCUAUGGGUUCGGAUACGUAUAGACAUGGCCCGAGUACUCCUACUCGGCCCAAUAGUCGGUAGCAGCCUCUAGCAAGACGUGCCAACUCCUAUACGCACAUGAAGAUCAUAUCAGACGAACCAUCACAACAUAAUAUACAUGCUAUUCCCUUUGCCUCACGAUAUUUGGUCUAGCUUUAAGCCGACCGCUCCUUCUCGAUCCUGUGAUUCGGAAUCCCUUUGUAGGUUAACUCUUAACCGUACGGAGCAUGGCCAUGCAUUUUCGGAUCCGAUCACUUAAGGGGCCCAGAGAUAUCACUCUCAAUCAGAGAGGGGCAAAUCCCAUCUUGAUUGACCAUGUCUCACAGCAUGCUUCUUGACAAACCCGAAAGCUACCUUUAUAACUACCCUAUUACGGCGUAGCGUUUGAUAGCCCCUAAGUAGGUCGAUCCACAUCUAGAAUACAUGCGACAAUCUCAGGUCUAAGGACAAAGCGUAUAUGUUGUUUAAAGAGAGAACUACUUCUCGUGUUGGGUCAGUCCUAGCACAUGUCUCCACAUGUGUCCACAUUAUUAGUUCAACAUCUCCAUGUCCAUGACUUGUGAAACAUAGUCAUCAACUAAUACAUGUGCUAGUCUAAUAUUCAUGUGUGUCCUCACAUGAACUUCGACUAGGGACAACUUUAGAAUAACCAUACAAGUAAAGAGUUUCACAUACAAUAUUAUGAUGCACUUACUGGUUCACCUAGUAAAAGAGAUUGGUAUUCUCGGACCUGUAUACCUGCACAAUAUGUAGCCUUUCGAGAGGUUCAUGGUAGUCCUAAAAAACUAUAUUCCUAAUCGUGCCCGUCCAGAAGGAAGCAUCGCCAAGGGCUAUGGAACAGAGGAGGUGAUCGAGUUUUGUGUUGGUUUUAUUGACUCAAUUGACUCGAUUGGGGUUCCAACUUCACGCCACGAGGGGAGGCUCCAGGGAAUGGGCACCCUUGGAAGGAAAUCAAGUUUGAGCAAUGAUACUGAUUUGUUCGACAAGGCACACUACACUGUCCUGCAAUAGUCAUCCUUUGUGCCUCCGUAUAUCGAGCAGCACAGGCAGAUGGUAGUUUCCAAAAACUGAAAGUCAUUACCACCCACUCGAAUAAACCAAGGUGACCCAGGCAUCUGAAGGCCGUUUUGGAUAUGUCUUCUUCGGCCAUUAAUAUCUGAUUGUAUCCAGCGUUUCCAUCCAUGAAACUAAUAACCCUGUGUCCCGCGGCGGCAUCUAUCAGCACAUCGGCCGUCGGCAUGGGGUAUCCAUCCAUUGGCGUGGCCUGAUUGAGGUUCCUGAAAUUGACGCAUACACGGAGCUUUCCGUUCUUCAUGUAUACGGGUACAAUGUUGGAGAUCCAUUCGGCAUAACGGCAUUGCCGAAUAAAUUUUGCUUUGAUUAGCCGCGUUAUUUCGGCCUUUAUAUCAGGUAGGAUUUUAGGAUUACACCGCCGUGCAGGUUGUUGAUACGGCCGAUACCCCGGCUUUAUGGGUAACCGAUGUUCGACAAUAGAUCAGUCUAAUCCGGGCAUCUCAUGGUAUUCCCAAGCAAAGCAAUCCUUAAAUUCUCUUAGUAAAUUUGUCAAUUUACAUUUGUAUUCUGGAUCCAAAUUUGCACCAAUAUACGUCGGCCUUGGCUUGGUGCCAUUGCCUAAAUCUAUCAUUUUUAAUGAAUCGGCCGACGUAAAUCCGUGUCCCAGCUUUCCAUCUUCCCGGGCGAACUGAUCCAUUUAGUCUGAAUCUUCUGAGCCGACUGCUCGGAUCGGCUGUAGGCCAAAAUCGGACACCUUCAGGAAAUCAGUGCCCCAUAUUCUCUCGAAUAUGCACUUGACGUUCUCGCAGCUCCACUGCUGCGUGUCGGCCGCCGCGACGCUGUAUGCGGAAUCGGCGGUGACCACCUCGAUGCUGUCACCGACCCAUUGCACGAGGCAUUGGUGCAUCGUAGAUAGGAUGCAGCAAUUUACAUGUAUCCAGUCUCGGCCGAGCAGCAUGUUGUAGGACCCUUUGCCAUUAAUAAUAAAGAAAGUAGUAGGAAGGGUCUUACUACCGAUGGUGAGGUCAACGCAGAGUGCGCCGCGAGCGGGGGACACGUUGCCUUCGAAGUCCUUGAGCAUCAUAUUCGUUCUGGUCAGGUCGUCAUCACUCUUCCCUAGCUUCCGGAACAUGGCGUACGGCAUGAUGUUAACCGCAGCUCCUCCGUCUACUAGUAAUCUGGUGAUGGGUCGGCCAUUGACAUGCCCUUUAAAGAACAAAGCCUUUAGGUGUUGUCGUUUGUCAUCUUCGGGCUUCUUGAACGUGGCUGUCAUUGGCUCCAAAGCCAAUUGUGCCAUCUGCUCUUCUAUUGCCGACAUGUUCUGUCGGUCGGCAGGAGUCAUGAAUUCCAUCGGCAGUAUGAAAACCAUGCCGAUGUCGGCUGCCGAUUCAUCGUCUCCCCUGUCAUUUCUUUUGGGACGCCAGACCUGUGACCUGCCGUUUUUCUCAUCCGCCGUAUGCCGUUGCUCUUCUUCCUGCUGUUCCCACUGGCGGAGACGUUGGAUUCUUCGUUUUUGAGACUUGGUCAAUCCAUCAGGGCACCACCUGGGGUUCACUGGUUUGGUUUGUGGUCUGGCGCGUUCCCAUUCUGGUUCGCGUCCUAAGGGGUUCUCAUCUGAUACCCGAGCAUCGGCCAUCUCUUCAAGUCGAUCGUGAAUGCUGACCUUGUUUUCUGGCUGGUUGUGUCGAUCGAAUCUGCCCCCCGGCCUAUCGUUCCGCUCGCGCCUGUCUUCCGACCGGUCAUAUCGGUCACUUCUUCCCCCCAGCCGAUCACGCACUGGAGGGCGCCGGUCUUCUUGUUCGCGCCAGUUCCUGCUGAUCGGCUUUGGUCUUCCAUCCCUGGAGCGAGACCUCCUAAACGGCCGAUUGUUACGAUACGGGCCGUUGCACUCAGGGCAAUUAUCUGCCGAUGGCAAACUGAGGUUGCUUUCCCAACAGUGGAUGAAGAACGAGCAUCGCCAGUGAUCUUCAUGUCAUCGCAUCGCCUCUUCCCGGGAUCUUGAGCGUUCAUGUUGCCGUUGAUAUUUGUUGAGCAGAAAUUGGGAAGUGAUGGGCCUGCGUGGUUCUCCCGAUCCGUCGUCAUCGUCCUCCAUCCGUCGUUUCCCCUUGACGUCUUCGGGUGUCGCUUGAUUCCUAGGGUCUAUGGUGCCACUUUUCUUAGCUGAUUCAGAUGUCAGCACCUUGGUCUAGAGCGAGUUCUUCCCUAUGUCAACCAUGUUGGUGGGGAAGGGGUGCUGGUCGAUCUUCAUCGGCUUGGCCGGCUUUGUUGGGACUUCAAACUUGAGUCUGCCUUGCUCGAUGGCCGAUUGUAUCUAUUGUCAGAAGAUUUUGCAUUCAUUUGUACCGUGGGAGGUGGCGUUAUGCCACUUGCAAUAUUUCAUCUUCUUCAGCUGUUCGGCCGACGGGAUCGUGUGGUAUGGCAACAGUUUGAUCUGUCCUUCUUGGAGAAGAAGAUCGAAGAUUUUAUCGGCCUUUGAUGUGUCAAAUCCGAACGUUUCCGGCUCCUUUUUCCGAAUGGACACAAUAUCGGCUUUUUCCCUUUAAUCCAUUCCGCAAGGCCGAUCUCUGUUUCUUCUUCGGUUUCAACCUCUUCUAAGUAUGCCACCUUCUUCUGGAAGUUCCUUCGUGGAUCAAAAGGGCGUAAUUCUUGACCAGACAGUCGGUGGAUGAUUUGGCUUAAGCUCUCGAACUCCUGCGAAGCGUAUUUUUCUUUGAUAUGAGGCAGGAGACCCUGGAAGGCUAUGUCAGCCAAUUGUGCAUCGGUCAGGGCUAGGGAGUAGCACUUGUUCCUGAUCUCCCUGAACCUCUGCACAUAUGAGGAUAUUGGCUCAUCACUUCUCUGUCUGAGGUUGGUUAAAUCAGAGAGCUUCAUCUCAUGUAUCCCCGCGUAGAAGUAUUUGUGAAACUGCCUUUCCAGAUCAGCCCACGUAAUUAUCGAGUUGGGCGGUAAUGUAGUGAACCAUUGGAAGGCUGACCCAGACAGGGAUGAUGAGAAAAGGCGCACCCGUAGAGCAUCUUGCGCCGCUGCUUCCCCGCAUUGAAUGAUGAAUCUGUUCACAUGUUCCACAGUUGAGGUGUCAUCCAGCCCUAAAAACUUGGUGAAAUCGGGAACUUUGUACCGAUGGGGAAACGGCAGUAAGUCAUAUGUAGGCGGGUAUGGUGUCUUGUAUGUGUAGGUCUGCAUCUUCGGUUUUAAACCGAAUUGCUCUUGAAUCACCUCCGCUAUGCGCGCCGUCCAAUCUGGUUGUUGCCGAUGGACUAUCGGCUGGGGAACCGGCACGUGUUGGUACACUGGCGGCGGGAUGACCGGGUAUUGGGCGAAAGCGUGCGGCGCCUGAUGUGUCAUAGCUGGCUGCAUGGUUGGGGUCGGCUAUUUGAAUGAAUUGGCCGCUUCGUCAUAUAGUACGAGCGGCGCAACGCCCCGAAGUACUUCCGCUACUUCUGCCCCCCUGCUCAUCUCCGGCAUGACGGGCUGAUACUGUGGCAUCGUCGGCCUAACGGCCGAUUGGAAAGAUGCCUAGAGUUGAGGACUCCCAUGGCUGGCCGAUUGAUCCUGGACGGCCGUCACAGAUGGUGCCCCCCAAGACGCUGAAUUCAAAGGAGGAAACUGCGUGGAGGACAACUGAACGGGAUGUUGCCGGAGAUAUGGAGCGCCGUUAGGCCCCAGAGGGAUUGAUGAUGAGGAAACGCUGGGACCUCCAAUUGGAAUUUGGAUCGGCUGAGGAGCCGAAUAAGGUGCACUUGAAUAACUCCUGGUUGGGGCCGUAAUAGGUGGAGCAUAUGCCGGCCCCUGGUACCCUUGGGAUACGCCGUUGGCCAAGGAGCUGAUGACGGCAUUGUAUACCAUAUUAGGAAUCACCAGGGAUUGAUCAAUGAAAGCUUGAUAGACAGAUUGUUGAACCAUCUUGGACAUCUUGUCCGAGUCCUUGGUGAUUGUGAUCUGGCGGGGAGUUGGAAACGGAGUCUUUUUGACAGUUUCCCUGCUCCUGGUACGACUGAAGGAUUGCAGACAUGUCUUCCGGUAGUACGCCAUCGGCUUCUCCAAUUCUUCCUUCUGGUCAUCCCUGAGGUCCGCUUCUGUCACUUCGAUGACGUUGUCUUCUGAGACUUCGGCAGCUUUCGACAUAGUGGCGGUUGUAUUUGUCCCACCGGGCGUGCCAAAAGUGUGUUGGCGCUAGAAAUCGGCUGAUCAAAUUCCCAGCGUCGACACACGACCCGGGAGAAUCUGCUUAGCUCCUGUUCGGGUGAUCGCCCUGGUGCGGUUCGCGCGGCGUGCCAGCCAAUCUGACCUGUUGAUUGGCAAGGAAAGAAACGUGUCAGAUUCCAAAGGUUGCGAUCGGCUAAAGUUUCGAUCUCGAGAUAGCUUAUCAGCGAAUUGGCUGAUUUGCAGUAAUAAAGGAAUCGGCUAUAAUGCAGCCGAUUACCAGACAGCGUUAAUAAAGAAGACUGCUGGAGUAAUCUAAACAACGUUACGGUAGCAACACUAGGAACAGAUCUAAUCGGCUAUGCGUAAAACGAAUAGAUUAAAUAACAAAGUACAGGAAAGCCGAAAGUUCCUAUUCCUAGCUGGAUAACUGGUGAUAAAACUAGAACGACAGGUAAAACCUAGAAUUCUAGUGAAUAUCGAUAACUGGUUAAUAAAUCUAAACGAAACGACAGCGAUGCACCCGAAGUUAAAGCUUAGAAAUUAUUCGAUAAGCGGAACUUACAAGAUCGGCCGGAGGUCAAGUUGAUGCAGCCCCGCCAACCCGUACGAACUCGUGAAAAAGAAGAAAAGAAUUGGCGAAGUCGCCGGCUUGAAAGUAAGUACGAGGAAAUAGUAGUUUGUUGUAUUGAUUUGAUGAUGAUUACAGAUCUACAAGGGUGGCUAUUUAUAGCCUGUUACAAACGACUUCUUAUCCGACUAGAACUCUAUCUCUAAUUUUAAACAAAAAAAAUGAAUAUUUACAAGUACGACUCGUACUAAGUCGAUUAUCGCGCUCUUCAUGGGCUGACUCCCUCUUCAUCUUCAUAAUCCUCUUUAGGCCCACACCGGCCCAAUCGCUCCAGCCUCCUAAUCGGCCGAUUUCUACUCACUCCAUCGGCAAGGAACAGCCGAUUAGGGCCCACAUAUCGGGGGCUCUGACUACUCCGACCCUGGGACCUAAGGUCGGGCGAGGCGGAGAUCCUCCCUCAGAGGGUCGGGCGCAUCCGACCCUAGGACCUAGGGGUCGGGCGAGGCGGAGCUGAACCCUGAAAGGGUAAUCGGCCGAUGCCUGACUGUAGCACCAAUCAGCCGAUUUCCAACCAUGACCUCUGUGUCUUACCGCAUCUCCUGAUUUCUUCCUUUCUUGUCGCCGAUUUCACACGUGUCAAAAUCUGGCGUCAACAGUACCCUUUUGUCCCGGUUACAGUUAGCAACUGGGAUAAAAGGGGGGGCCCUUUUGUCCUAGUUGGUGUUGGCACCCGGGAAAAAAGGGCCUUUAGUCCCGGGUUCAAUUACGAAACGCGAUAAAAGGGGAGGGGGAUAAAACCCACUAUAGCCUCUUCUACCCCCACCCCACGCCUAUUACACUUAGCCAAAUUUUCACUGCCGCCAAGAUCCCGCGCCCUCCCACCUGCUCCGUCGCCACCCAUCCGCCUCCCUCGCCGGCCGCCGUCGUACUCGUCGCCCAUCGCCCCGGCCAUCGUCGUCCCGCUGCACGACCGUCUCGCCCGCGCCCAGACCGCCUCCUCCUCCAUCGCCCCAGCCCGCCUCCGAUCCUCCUCCGUUGCGCCCCCUCGACCUCGUCGCCGCUGGCCGCCUCCAUCGUGGGGCCUCGUCGCCACCUUCGUCCAAGUCACUGUCUUCGUCAACGCCACCUCCUCUAUCGCCGCCGCGCCCUCAUCCAUCAUGGCACCUCAUCGCCGCCUCUGUUGCGCCGCCUCCGUCCCUCGUCGUCGGCCGCCUCCGCCCGUCGUCGCUGCGGCCACCUCGCUCCUCCCCGCCACCACCGGUGUGCGCAUUGCUUCUCCGCCGCCCCAGAAGCCGCCGUCCCACCGCCCUGGGCGUCGUACGACCUCGUUGCCUAGCUAGGCACCGCGUGAGGUCCGCCGACAAUGGCGCCGGGAACGAAAGGCACUUGCUAACGUAAGCCCACCAGCUUGUGUCAGCAAGGGCCUUUUUUAUUUUUUAGUUAGAAAAUGAAUAGAUAUUAGUAGAAAAUCAAUAGAUAUUAGUAGAUUAGUUUGAAAAUCAAUAGAUAUUAGUAGAUUAGUUAGAAAAUCAGUAGAAAAUCAGUUGAUAAAUUUUGUAGAAAUUCAUACAAAUUAGUAGGAAUUAGUAGAAAUUUGCUAGAAAUUCCAAUGAAUUUGUAGAAAUUAGUAUUAAUUUUGUAGAAAAUUCUUACAAAUGUACUACUAAUUUGUAGAAAUUUAGUAGAAAUAUUUAGAAAUUAGAAGAAUUUUUGUAGGAAUUCUUAAAAUUAUUAGGCAUUAGAAGAAAUUUUCUAGAAUUUCAAUAAAUAUGUAGAAAUUAGUAGAAAUUUGGUAGAAAUUGUUACAAAGUACUACUAAUUUGUUGAAAUUUUUAUAAACAUUCCAGACUUUGUGGGAUUCAUGUUAUUGUAUGAAUUCAUGUAUAUACCUUUACGUACAUGUAACUAAGGCGAUUUCAUGUGAGUUUCAUGUUGUGUGAAUUGCCUAUUUCAUGAUCGAGUUCUAUGAUUCAUGACUGUCAUAUAUGAUUCCAUGUAUGUUUCAAUCAGUAGUUGAAAUGGCAGACGACGAGACCGCAAGGUAUCUCAUGGAGCAGAUUAUUGCUGGUGAUGGUAGUGGCUCCAACCUUCCCAUAUCGUACACCGAUGAAGAGGGCACCUAGGCGGACAUGUUCCUUAACAUGUCCGGCGAUGGGAAUGAAGAGCCCAAGCCCCAGCAAAAUCUUGCUGUAGCGGAAGGUUCCGGCGAGGUAUAUAUAAUUUCUAUUGUUUUACGCCACCGUUAAUACUAUGUACUAAUUAACGAAUCUUGAACUGUUAGCCUUCUAGAUCGACAAAAGGGCAGAAGACCCGAGGUCGUACAAAGGUGAUGGAAGGAAGGCUUGUCAUCACGGAAGUCACAGAAGAGGGCAGGCUGGUUGCUCCCGAAAAAGUAGCAAAGAAGUACGUGAGUCCGAUCGGGGCAAUCGUAAGGGACAACGUGGCUAUCAGCAUCAGAGAAUGGAAGGGCAAAAGCACUAAUCCGUACGCACUCCCAGAGACACAAAAGAAUAUGCUGUGGGAAGAUGUCAAGAGACAUUUCACAUUUCCCGAAGGAUAUAUUGAAAAGGAUGUGAAAGUGUGGACGCUAAAGAAGAUGGCUACACAAUUCCAGACAUUCAAGAAGAUGUUGGAUGCCAACUACCUUAAGAAGGGGUACCAUCAUCAUCUUUGGAGAGGUGGUUGUGGCACAGCAAUUCCCAAAUGGAAGAAGAUGGAACAAGACAUGAUCGAAUGGGGUAUCGUACCUGCAACUAUUGAAUGGCCCAAACGAUCAAAAAAUUGGUAUUACGCUCAUGGAGGCUCCCUGAGCCAUGAGGAUGGGAAGUUGAUAUUCAAUGAGACAAUACAUCAAAAGGCCGAAAGUCUUAUGAAGAACAUUGAAGAUUCUAAGGCUGGGAGGUUGAAGGUGGAUCGAGAGAAUGAUGAGCUCACAUUGGCCCUCGGUAAUCCUGAGCACCCAGAACGAUGCCGAGGGUUCGGGGUCAUUCCGUGGAAGUUUGCUUUCCGAGGCGACAGCGCAUCAUACAGAAGCCACAAGCGAAGAAAGGAACAGCUCGAGGAGAGAUGGUGACAAAUGCUAGAAUCCAAAGUGCAGUCACAAGAAGAAAGAAUUUUUGAGGAAAUCAAUCGUCAAGUGGCCCAUGCAGUUGCGGAGUUGGCCCAAUCUGGAGCAUUGACGAAUCCAAACUACGCCAGCCCUUCUCAACGCCUCUUGAGCAGUUGUGCUUCUACAGGGGUCCCCAAUGCGUAGACGCCCAGGUUACCCGUAGAGGAGCAAUGGUUCCCCGUGGAUACCAUCACGCAACGUACCUCAUGUGAGCUGCAUGCACCGGUCAGCAACCUCACUAUUAAGGUAUACUUAUACAUAAUAUUUAUGCAAUCUUCUCAAAUGAUCCACGCCUCGGGAUCGGAGUUUAAUAAGUUGUUUACUUCUGCUAUAUGUACAUGUGGCGUACGAGAGUGCGUUACCAAUCCUGGCAGGACAGACAAGCCAUGGAAUAGAGAUUCCACCUGGCUACGCCAGCGUCAGCGUAGAACAGCUUGUUGAUAGCCAAUAUGAAGGCCUAGAGCUCGACCUCCUAGGAGACGAUGGGGAAAGGACACUGGCAGAUGCGCUUCAUGGGAUCAUUCUAUGGUGCAAAUGCUACAUCAUCAUUCUCGGCACGGAGCCAUCUCCUCAGAGCUCAAGACCGCUCCCCGUAGAUCCCUAGCAGCGACCUUCUCCUCAUAGCUCGAGAUCGUCAUCUCCUGCACAACCUGCUCUAGAACCGUCGCUUCCUACUCUAUCAAGGUAUCCAUCUCCACCACAUCCUGGUGGUGGGAGCGACGACGACAAUAACAACACCCCUCCCUGAUCACCGUUGCCGGGACUAAGAGUAGCCCCGAUGAAGGAACCUGCAGCACCACUAAAGAAGUCACGAGCACCACCUCCCAAGCAAAGACAGAGAAAGAAGAAAACAAAGGAGCCUAAAGUGACUCGUAGGGAACGUUGGGAGGCAAUGAGUCAUGCAGAACAGUGGGCAGAAAUCCAAGUAGAGGCCAGUGCGUGGUUCAAGAAACAAGCCGAAGAAAAAAAAGCAAGGGAGAUGGAGCCACUGCCAGUAAAUCGAAGAGAUUUAAAUUUUUUUAUCAGGAUAGAAGAAGGAGCUAAGAAAAGGAUACCACUACUAUCAAACUACAAACGAGCUUUAGUAAAGGUUAAUGAGAGGGACAAAAGGAAAGGAAAGUCAUCUUCCAGUGGUGCUGUGCCCGACCUCGGGCAUUUAUCAAAAAAAGACGUUCAAAAGGUAGCAGCAAUGCCCUUGAUCAACAAGCACAAGUAUUGAAAUUCAUGGAAGAAAUAGGUACGGGACUUGAUGAAUGUUUAGGGCAAGUUGAGCUGCCAGCUGCAUUGCCAGUUCAACCGAGAUGGACUUUUGAGCUAGGAAAAUAUCUAGUAAGCCUGAGUUGGUAUGGAAGCUAUCAACAAAGAUGUACGAAAAAUCCAUCAAUGGUACAUGAAGGUGUCUGCCGACUCGAGGGAGAUGUUGGGCCUUAAGGUAAAACCGAUGGAUUUUUACGACGAAGGCAAGAAAGUUCUGUGGCUAGACUUCCAGGAUAUAUACGAAGUGUACCAUCAUGAUGCCCUGGACGUCUCUCUGAUCAGUGCUUGGGUUCUGUAAGUGUCCGUUUAUCUACAUGUAAAUUUUGGCUCAUAUCAUUAUUUUUUUGCGUGCGUCACCAUACUAAUUUCGUCUUCCAUUUUAUGUAGGAUGCUAAUUCAGACGUGGCGAUGAGAGGCGUACCUACAUAUUGGCUUCAUGGAUCCAUCUGUAGUUAACCAAAAAUAGAUACAAUUAUCACCGAAAAAACCUUGGUGGAAGUAUACAAUUUCCUAGAUAAACAAAAAAUCAAGGAUUUCAUACUACUUCCAUACAACUUCAAGUAAGUGUGUGUAUAUCGUCUACUUUCGUUUUCUUUUUCCUUACCUGAUUAAUGUUAGUUAGCUCUAAUAUGCAUGAAGUAUUAAACAUAGACUAAUUACAAAACCAAUUGCACGGAUGGAGGUAAUUCGUGAGACGAAUUUGUUAAGCCUAAUUAAUUUAUGAUUAGCACACAUUUACUGUAGCAUCACAUUUUCAAAUCAUGGACUAAUUAGGCUUAAUAGAUUCGUGUCGCGAAUUAGCCGCCAUCUGUGCAAUUGGUUUAUAAUGAACAUAUAUUUAAUGCUCCUAAUUAGUAUCUAAACAUUCGAUGUGACAGGAAAACCAAACAAGCACUCCUAGAUUUUUGGUCUAAUGCAACGGCGGAAAAACGUUGCAAUAUGCCCAAAAUCGAUGCAAUAUCUAGCAAUCGCAACGACGACUGGUUGAUUAGAAGGCGUGGCAAGUAUUGGCAUGGCAAUAGCUCUUUGCAACGUUUUUUGUGGGUCGUUGCAACUUAUGGUAAUUGCCACACACAUUUUCGUUGCAUUAUAGAGUAUGGCAACGAAGGAUUUCGUUGCAUUAGCAUGUAUUGCAACGCAAGCAGUCAUUGCUAUAGUAUAUAGUUGCAACGUACAAACUCUGUGGUAAUAUGGUAUUUCGCAACAAUUUACAUGGUGGUAAUAGAAUAUAUUGCCACGGAAAUUUGAUAUCGUGACAUAUCCUAUGGAAACUAAAUUUCUGUCGUGGAAAUAAACUAUAUUCCAACAGAACCAUUUUCGGUGGCAAUAAUUAGUUUUGCAAUGGAAACUAUUACGUGGUGACUGUUUCUAUGGCAACACAACUGCUUUCGUGGCAAUAACUUAUAUUGCCACGGAAACAUGUUUGGUGGUGAUAAUUCGGUUUGCAACGGAAAAUAUUACGUUGUGACAGAUCAUAUGGCAACACAAUUGGUUUCGUUGAAAUAAACUAUAUAUUGCCAUGGAAACAUAUGUGGUGGCAAUAACUCAUUUUUCAACGGACAAUAUUUAGAAGGAAGAUGAUAUGUUGCAACGAAUUAGCGGUGAAGGUUAUUAUGUAUUAUUGCAACUUUAAUCUUCCGUGGCAAUAAGUUGUUGUGCAAUUGAAGGUAUAUAGAUGCAAUAAAAGAUGUUGCAACGAACUGGGGUUGCUGCAAUUAUUUGUUUUUGCAACAGGUGGAUGUAUUUCUUUUCAUAACUGGAAGAUGUUUUUCGCAACGGAUUGCAUUUUAUAUAUUUGUAUAUCGAAUCGUUUGUGCAACCAAAUGGUUUCACCAAAAUAUGAAUUGCAUCAUCAUGAAUAUAAAACCAAGCCAUCUCGACAUUUAUAAAGUCAAAGUGCCAAAUACAUAUUCCAAAUCAAAAAUAGUUCAUAACUAGUGUUGGUAUAUCAACAAUACGAAAUCCUUGUAAUGUAGGCUUCAGGAAUCAUGCAAUACAUUGAUUUUCCUUGAGUCAAUCAUGUCAUGACUCUGAGCCCAUGUGAUCCAUUGAAGAAGAAUGUUCCUAUCCAAAAAAAAAAGAAUGCAGUGCAUCAGCAAAAGGGUCUCAUAGUGCAGUAGUAUGUACUAAACAAACAUGAUCUUGGUAAUUUGUCUUGUGCUUGUGGACACGUGGUCUGGCACAGAGCAUAUUAUUCGCAUACAGGAGACUGCUCUAAGUUUACUGAUGCACUUAAACAUAUAUUAUAAAUCAGGUUUACUUCUGCAUACCUGUUGGCUUCUUGUGCGCACACGUUUUGUAGCAGCAUUCAGUAGUUGUCGUGUACUAAUAUAUGCUCCUGCAACAUUGUUGCUUUUGCUAUUUUGAAAAAGACCUCGAGACACUGUACUAGUUCUAUAUUUGCUAGCAUUUUUCUCAACUGUUGGCAUAGCAUCACUUGGGAUGAUGCUCCUUGGGUCAGUCUGCAUAGGAAAAAUAGGUGGAAGUAAUUUAGGGACAAAACACAUUCCAAUAUGCUAAUUUGUGUAACAAAUAUCCAAAUUGCCUUUACCUGUAGUAAUGGGGUUUCUCUCUGUUCAGCAAACUUUGAUAGCAUCUCUUUAAUGAUAUCUUCCCUAAUGCUUGCCUUUUGUUAUUUUCCUCUUUCUUGAAUCUGUAGCAAUUUUUCUUCCAAUAUCAUUUCCCUUUCAACCUUUUCAUUUGCAAGUUGUUCUUCUAACUUGUCAACCUUUUGUUGGAGCGUAUUAUUUUUCUAGUUGGCCGCUUCUGUAGCACGGGCUUGCUCUUGGAUUUGAGCUUUCAGCAAUUCACUGCGUGAUGGAGUUUUAGACAAGUAACCAUGACCAUGGGUUCUGUGGGUUUUGCAUCCUGUACUUUGCUUGUAGCAUAUUUGGAAAAUAUUGUUUUCCUCUGUAGUGGAGAUGGGAUUUUUAUCAUCAUUGCGUUCUCUCUCGGAAAACCUUAGGCAUGCAUUGUCCUAAUUUAAAUAGCAGCAUUGGUGUCGGUAUUGGACAUUAAAAAUAAUAAGAAUAAUGUUGUUAACAGGGAACUAUGUAGAUUACUUACAUACACAGCCUUAGAUGCUUCAUCUGACCAUUGCCCAUUCUUCAUAUGAGUACUCAACCAAUGAUUUAAAUCACUUGGUUCUUCUCCCGUAUCUGGAUCUCUCUAAGAUGGCAUGAAUGAAGUACAUUAGCUUGACAUGUAUGCAAAAAGACCGUACCAUACAACAAGUCUAAGCAUUACCUGCUCAUGGCUCAUGUUGGAAAAUGAUCUGGACCCCAUGACAUGGUUCGUCUUUGCUUCUUUACGGUUCUUGGAGUUCUCGUUGCUAGCUUUCUGUACAGGGUGUAAGUAAAAAAGUACAUCAAUAGUGCAUUGAUCGAAGUAGUAAUAAAUACAUGGGAUAUAUGGAAUGACGAAAAGGAAAUGCUAUGAGACCUUGAAAUCUGGAGAUCCAAAAUACAAGAUAAGGUAGUGCCAUUCUGCAAUGUCAAGGUCUUCUGGCUUGUGUUUCAUUCUUGCUGCGUAACUAUUGUACGCCUUGUACGUGGCUCUGAGUGAUUAUCUCCAUCCUUUGUAUCGCGCCAUCGCGAUGGCCCAAAUCUUUUCCUUUUCAUCAUCAACGUCUACAAGCUCCCACCUAUUCUGUUUAUGUGAGAACACAUUCAGACGGAGAAGUAUUUGACUAUUUGAGGAUUAUUAUAGAAAUCAUGCAACAGAAUUAAACAUCAUACGUACUAGUAUGUCGAAUGCUAUAGAAUUUUCACAUUUUCAUGUAUGUCUUUCCAUUUGUUGACUCCAAUAAGUGGAGCCCUUUUCCUUGUAAACAUUACAAUUUCAUCCACAAAUGACCAAGCGUUAGGGCCUACGGGACCUCCCAGCUUUGUGGAAAAUUCGAUUUUAAGUUUUUGUGAGCCGCUCCUUAUCCUCUUUAUGGCUGCUGAUAAACCCUUAAGGGCACCACGUCCUCCUUUUAUCACUUUUUUGUCACGGCGAGCAUGAGUUGGCCUAUCUGAUGAUGGUGAUUGCAUGGCUACAAGACCUUCGUCAUCAGGAAGGUUUUCAACUUUGUCAUUGGCAUCUUGAUCUAAAUAAGAUACUGCAUAUCAUACAAUGGAUCCACAUCAGUCUAUACAUUUUUUGUUGACAAGUAAUAUUAACUUUGAUUGCUGAAUGAAUGAAUAGAAAUUACUAAUGUCUUGAAGAUACUCUUUACACCUUAACCAUUCUUUAUAUGUCUCGAUGGCUUCGUCCCUGUAAUCAUCUUUAAAUGUUGCAUGUAACGAAUAUGUAAGUGCAAAGGAUAACACAACACAUAGCUUAUAUAAAUUGUGACUGGAGGAAUUGUACCUACCUGUGUCUGGUUCAUCCUGCUGCAGGUUUUGAAGCCAUAUCUUGUAAGGAUCUAUCUGUUCUCCUAUCCGUCAUCCUUCUAUAGUUGUUUCCCUUCAUCGCUUCAAGGGAGUUAUGGUUACCUGCAAGUUAGUCUGUUGAUCCCUUGUUAGGAGGAUCCUGAUUUUCCUGUCUUUUGAAUUGCUUUGUAACAUGGCUGGGAUUUGGUGGUCAUAAUCAAGAGGGAUGAGGGCUGCUAUGUUCCUGCCACAUCGCUCUUUAUAGUACAAGAAGGCACGUCCACAGUAGUCGAGCUUUGACUUCAAACAAACCAAGUUAAAAAAAAGUGAUAUUAGCCCUAUCACAAGUGAAUUGGGCAGUUUCAUGACCUGAAGGUGCCCUGACGCAAUCGAUAAUUACACACCACCUCUCACCAGUGAGUCUGCAAUCAAACUCAUAUGCAAUCAUUCACUAACCAAGGUAAUGUCCCUACUCUUACACAGGAAUAUUAAUCUAUAAAUUCAAUAGAGGACUAUAUAUAACCCUAGCACUAGAAACUAGGCAUGUAUCGAGACCUUCCAAUUUGAGAUAGGAAUAUAACCCUAGGCAUGUAUCCAGAUCAUCCAAUAUCACAUAGGACUAUAACCCUAUGCGAAUUUUCGAUUGGAUUUGCAAUAGCCUGAGAAAACAUACCUGGUUCGGGGAGGUUCAAACAAAAACUCAUCAGGACCAUCGUCUCCAGUCGCCAUCUCUUGGUCGCCGAUGGUGUGGGGCGGAGCCGGCCUCCUGCCGUCGAAUCCAGUCACCAUCUAUUGGUCGUCGGCGGUGUGGGGCGGACUCGGCCUCCUGUCGUCGUCUUCAGUCGCCAUCUCGACAAGGAACCGAGAGUCGUCGGGUCGUCACCCCCCUCUCCCCCACGAACGUCAAGGAAACGUGAUUAAUGGCACCGGAAUUUUAGUAGAUGGGGAUUGGUAAAAAUAUAUGGAAGGGUUAUUUUGGCGGGGCUAGGGGAAAUUUAGGCAGGGCAAGUGGGAAAAUUUUGGCUAGGGAGGAGGAGGAGGUGUUUUGGUAUGUAUCGACACGUUAUGUUUCAUGCGUGUUUAAUUGGAACAUUUGAGCAAUGUGUUCAAUACUGAAAUCACUAUGCACAUUGCUUCAUCUGUCCAUGUAUAUAUUCACGUGGCACACAAUAAGCUCCCCUUUGGCAUGGCUCAUCCAAAUAAAACGGCUUCAUUCCAAGGAUUGCAUUGGAAACUAUAUCGAUAAGCGUGGAAUAGAGAUGAACAAUCUAAUGAAACUAAGUUGACACCAUAAAGUUGAGAUACUUGACUCUCCAAUAUUCUUGGAAUGACUUACAAUUAGGUACUUUGAAACUCCAAGUUUCUUGGAAUGACUUAUAAUUUGGUCAAAGUUGAGAUACUUGACUCUCCAAGAUUCUUGGAAUGACUUACAAUUUGGUCAAACUUGAGAUACUUGACUCUCCAAGAUGGAAUUAUCUUCUAGUAGAAAAACAAGCAUAAGCACUUAAGGUCGAGAACAAGGGAUAGACUAAUGCAUAUGAAACUACACCAUGAAAUUUUCAUCUAGAUGAAACCAUGUAUGCACAGUUACCAACAUAGUUUGUGUCUUGCAUGUACUAAUGCAUUGUAGAGGUAGUUUCAAACACAAUUUCAUUUUCAUGUUGCUUAUGUAGCUAUCUUGGAAACAUCAAAAUGAGACUCUCCAUUGGGAUUAGCCUAGAUUUUCAUUGCCUCGUCAUCACAUUAACCAUCAAGAACAAGGGAGGUUCACAGUUCACACCACCGUACCGACCAGCUUCAGAGGUUGCACGGACCGCAAGGCCAUCGUGCAGCUCCUCCUAGUUGUCGCAGGCGCGCAGCCCCUGUCUUGUCUCCUAACGAAAGCUUGAAGUGCUAUGGAUUACAAGAGGUGACAUCCACUCAGCCUGUCUUGUCUCAAGACAUCAGCACAACUGAGUGGUGGGCUGGGCUUGAUGUGUAGACCGUCGAGGUGUCCUUGCCACGCAUGCACCACAGCGGCGGUGAGGGUGGCGCGCAAGCUUGAGUUGGAGUCGUGGGGCCAUGUUUAGAAGCUAACUUUGCAAUCGUAUAUUUUUACCUAGCCGUGCAUCCCAAUUUUGUGAGGUAAUACACGGGUUCUGCGUGUCUGUCAACACUUUAAAAGCAAGCUUGAAAUCUAGCACCGUGCAAACAAGAGUCGGUCGAUCGGAUCUGAAUGACUCAGUAAUCACGUGUCCCAUCCUUUUUUUUGCUGUGCUCCACGCUGUUGCUUGGUGUUCCGCGCCUGCGAGGAUUGGCUGCCCUACGGGCGGCGAACAGUGCCUGCGAGGAACGGCUGGCGAGCGGGCAGCGAACGGAGCCUAGGAGGAAGUGCCUACGAGGAAUGGGGUGAGCGGGCGGGCUUAGCCUGCGACACACGGUGAGUAAAUGAGUGAGGAACGGCGCGACAUGCGAAGCGGUCGGGCAGCGCGGCAUGCGAAGCGGGCGACACACGGUGAGUCCAGAAAGCUCGUUGUGGGUCCAGCUCGACCUGUCAUUGCCUAUUGUAGCGUGCCAGUAGCUCCAAGGAGUUGUUGGCACUGUGCCAUUGCGCCGCAUGUGCCAGAGGCUCUGCGAUACUGCACCCGUGCCAUGAUUACAUCGCGCGCACAGGUUCCCCAUGCAUACCCCAUUUUAACACAGCAGUUGAUGCCCUGCCUCACGCCAUUUCGCGCCGCCCAGCCUCGCUUUAACCGGUCCUUCGGCUGCUCUGUCCCUUUGUUUCCCCAGUCAAGAGGCGUCUCUUCUCCCGACGUGCGGUUGCGUUAAUGCUCUGUCUCUCAUGUACGCAUGCAUAUAUAAGGGCCCUCCCGCACCAAGCCCUCUAUACCCUCCUGCAACAAGCCCUCCGCACCCUCCCGCAACAAGCCAUCGCCACCAUGCCUCGCUGCUUGAAGACUAGUUGGGCAAUUCUUAGCCCUUCCUCCUCCGCUCCUUGCUCCCCGACGACACGGCCUCCCCCGCUGUCGUCCGACAAUUCGGACCGCUCAUCCUCCCCACCUCGCUCGUUGACACCGCCGCCUCUCCCGCCGUCGUCCAACUCAUCGGACCUCGAGGUCAACCUCGAGGAUGAUCCGGAUCGGGAGACCGAUUCAGAAGAGGAGGAUUUGAUGAUGGCUCAGCAGGGGCCAUGUCCGGAGGACGUUGCCGUCCUCCACUCCUUGGAGACGGCGUGCCAAGAAGAGGAGGACCAGCGCCUGCGCGCCAUCACAAGAAAGGAGACUGAGGACUGCAUCCUCAAGCGCACUCUCGAGAUCUCCGCCGCAGAAGCGGAGCACGCCGCCCGAAGGGAGGAGCAACGGAUGGCGAUGGAGGUGGAACACCGCCGGCGCGUAGCUGCAAAGAAUGAACGGGAGGAGGCUGUGGCGGUUAAGGAGCGGAAGGUGCACCAGAACUAGUUUAUAUGUAAAUGUUGUCAAUGUAAUGAACUGGUAUUUUGUUUCGGUUGUCGAACUUGUUCUUUUUAUGUUUUAACGAUAGUGUUAAUGGUAACCAGUUAGUAGUUUUAUCUUGUUCUUGGAGUUUUUGCCAAUGUUACCAGUUAGCAUAACAACCUAAAAAUACGGUGCAAAGGAUCCAACAUUCACUUGAGUAGGGGAUCAACAUCAAUUCACAGCAGUGUAAAUGUGGUGAUCAACAUCAAGUCACAUUAGUCACCCAACCCAUUUUCACGUACACAUCUACUACUCCGUAGUACUCACUUACUGUUGAAGCAGCACAUCUACACAAGCGGCUUAAAACCAAAUGCGCAUCUACACACAAGAAUAGACCCCGGAGACAGUGGCAUGUAAUCGUACGUAGUCACAUGUAAUCAUAUGUUUCACAAGUCUUAACUAAAAUUAUUGGGAAUUUGGUAGGUUCUACAAUGUUUGUUAAUCUAAAAAAAUGCACAAUGUAUGUAGUAAAAAAAUGAAAGGUAAGAAAAAAGGGCCACUGCCGAAGGGGCCCCGAUGAGGCUCAACCUCAUAGGGAGCCCAAUAGAAGGCUCAACCACAAAGGGAGCCCAACCAAGCCCAUCAAGAGCAAGCAGUCAGGUAGUGAAUCAGGUGGCGUAUCAGAUGGUAAGUCAAAGGAUUUCGAUGGUGCUUGUGCGCCUCCCUUUUUAAGUAUGGCAAGGAGCUUCUUCGUGAGCGAGGUGGUACUAAAAACUGUGGCCAUGAACUUUGGUGCAACAGAUUUCAUACAUGGGCCGGCCCAUUACAAAUUCUUCCCCGUUCCCCCGUCUCGCUCGCUUCUUCCCACAUAAGGUCCCAAAUCGCUCCGCCCCGAGCUCCUGCGCCGGCCGCCGCUCUUCCGCCGCACCGAGAUCAAGCGCCACCUUCCGAUGAACUUGGGAUCCGACGCCGCCUUCCGGUCAACGGGUAGGUUGCCGGCUAGCGGGGAACAGGUAGGUCGCCAUAUCCCAAAUCUUCAGUUUAUUAUAUUGUCAGAUUCACUGUUAAUUGCAAAGAACUACAAAUUAUGAUAGUUAAACAAAAAACACAUCUUCCGCUCCAUCCACAGUAGAAUUCACAGGAGCAAUGCAUCCAUCAUCGAUGUACUUAACCGUGUCAUCUUCUUCAUCUUCAUUUGCUAAGUCAAUAGUUGUUGGUUCGGGUACAGACUCAGCAAGAGCCUUUUCAAUAACAGAUGCAUCACCGGUGACACCUUCAACGCCAGUCCUAGUUCAGUUUGUCAAAUCUUCAUGUGUGCCCGAUUCGAUCAUAUCUAUGACUCCGACAUCGAUUGAAUCAACAUCAAUUUCUUUCGGGCUGUCUAAUUCGGGCAUGAAGAACACAUUUCUAGGGUUCAUUCUAAUAACAGUGCUCCAAUCUUGUUUCUUUAAACCUUUCACAUAAAACACUUGCUGAGUCUGUGUCCCCAAAAUGUAAGGUUCAUUUAAAUAUCGCAAUCGAGUUGUAUCGAUAUCUAUAAUACCAUACUGAUCCUUGCUGAAUCCUCUACCUUUGCUCCUACUGGCAGCAGGCACAUCGUACCAGUCACAUUGAAACAGGAUGACUUCCUUUUGUGUCGGGAAAUCUAGUGCGUAAAUUUUUUUGAACACACCAUAUCAGUCGAUGUUGCUAGUAGUAGGAUCAUUAUUCACAACAACACCAGAAUUUUGUGUAGUCAGAUUCUUCUCUACAUGAGCAGUUCUGAACAGAAAUCCAUUGAUGAAGCACCUAUUGAAAACACGUGCCCGAUGGUCUGGUCCCUGAAGAAAGUGCAUGCAUGGCAUCACUUGUUUUUAUUUCUGCAUAAAGUAUGUUCAUCUGCAAGAAGUAUAAAAGAACAAUGUAUGAGUACAUGAGCACUAAAAGCAAUAAAACCUGUGAGAAAAUUGUACUUCACCUUACGCUCGAACCAGCCUACAAAUUGUUCUGUAUAACGUUGUUUAACAUUCCUGACACACUAUUUUCUGAGUAAAUCCUUAUGCAUACUACAGUAACGGGCAAAAAGGGGGGAAUACAAAGUCAACAAAAAACAUGUAUGUGCAUACUCCAAUGUAAGUAAAUUAAAGUUACUACUUACUUGGCCCAUGGAAUACUCAUCACAAUUUGUUAAUAUCCAGUACCUCAUCCGUUGCAUAUCUCACCUAGUAAGUUGCUCAAUUGCAAAUCCUUUCUUAGUAUAAUCAAUGUUGCUGAAUAUGCUUAAACCUGGUGGUGGUUCAUUCACUGCAGCCCUUUCAUGACGCUCUGGACGAUUAAUCUUUGUGUCCAUGUCAUCCAAAAAGCGAGAGCAAAAAGUCAUGCACUCCUCUAGUAUAUAUCCCUCUGCUAUUGAACCUUCAGGAUAGGCUUUAUUCCGCACAUAGCCUUUCAACGUACGUAGAUACCUCUCUAUUUGAUACAUCCAUCUAUAGCAUACAGGUCCUCCUAUUUUAGCCUCUUUAGCAAGAUGAAUUGGCAAAUGCCAUCAUGAUAUAAAAAAAGCUGGUGGGAAGAUCAUCUCCAUAUGACAAAGAGUCUCUCUAAUCGAAAUGUUCAAUUUUUCUAACUUUUUUGGUGCUCAACUCCUUAAAACAUAUUGCAUUGAAGAACCUACUAAGCUCAAUCAGUCGUUUAACAACCUCUUGUGGCAGUAUGUGACGAACCACAAUGGGUAAUAGUUUCUGAAAUAUAACAUGGCAGUCAUGAGUUUUAAGUCCAGAGAGCUUACACCUGGGCACAUCCACACAUCUCUUGAUAUUAGACGCCUAACCAUCAGGCAUCUUGACACCUUGCAGAAAUUUGCAUAGAUAUACCUUGUCAUCUUGAUCCAAACUGUACAACGCUGGAGGCAAAGUGUAUUUGUCAUUCAUCACCAAAGGAUGUUGAUCCUUCCUCAUGCCCAAAUGUUGCAUGUCUAGACGAGCCUUCUCGCUAUCCUUGGAUUUUCCUACCAUGUCAAGCAAGGUCCCCAGUAUGCUCUCACAUAUAUUUUUUUCAAUGUGCAUCACAUCCAAAUUAUGCCUUACAAGCAACUUUUCGCAGUGAGACAGUUCAAAAAAAAAUACUCUUCUUCCUCCAAUUGUGCCAUCUAGUGUCCUCUUCACGCUGCUUCCUCGUUUUAGUCGUGUUCCCAAAUGUCACUUGCUCAAAGCUUUCAUACUGGUUCAGCACACCUUCCCCAUCCAGUGGCACUGGAGGCUCCCUCGUUUCCACCUGGUUGUUAAAGCUAAUCUUGUUGCGGCGCCACCUGUGAUCCAUUGGUAAAAAGUGGCGAUGGCCCAUGUAGCAAUGCUUUGAACCAAAUUUCAGCUAUAAAUAGUCAGUAUCCUUGUGGCAGUAUGGACAUGCAAAUUUGCCUUUUGUGCUCCAAUCAUAUAGCAUGUCGUAUGCUGGGAAGUCAUUAAUUGUCCAAAGUAGAACAGCACGCAGAGUGAAAUUCUUCUUUACCUUUCCAUCCCAUGUCUGAACACCGUUGAGCCAAAGAUCUUUGAGCUCAUCAAUAAGGGGCUGCAAAUAAACAUCAAUGUUAUUUCCUGGAGAUUUUGGCCCCAGUAUCAACAUUGACAUCAUCCAGAACGGUUGUUUCAAACACAAACAAGGAGGCAAAUUGUAAUGGAUUAGGAUCACAGGCCAUGUAGUGUAUGUCACAUUCAACAUCCCAAAUGGAUUGAAACCAUCAGAUGCAAGACCCAUCCUAACAUUACAAGGAUCCAAAGCAAAUUCCUUAUAAAUUUCAUCCACGUGUUUCCAUGCCAUUAAGUUAGCAGGGUGCCGCAUUUUUUCAUCUUGAACAAGUCCCUCCUUAUGCCAACGCAUUUAUUCAGAUGUGGUCGCUCUCAUGUAUAACCUUUGUAGACAAGGGGUCAUUGGAAAAUACCUUAGAUUUUUUUUGUGGAACACGCUUCUUAGGUGCAGCAUCACCACUAGCUGCCUCCUUCUCACUUGAACCAACAGGUUUCCAUCUAGUCUCUCCACAUGUUGGACAUUUAUCCAAGUUAGCAUAUUGUUUUCUAAAUAAAACACAAUCAUUGAUACAUGUAUCUUUUCAUAGUCCAGCCCAAGAUCACGAACUAUCCUUUGCACUUUAUCCAAACUGUCUAGAACACAAUGACCUUUAGGGAGCACAAGCGAGAAUAGCUGAAGCACAGCCUCCAGAGCACUGUUAUCGAGACCAAACAUGCACUUAAUAUGAAAUAGCCUGACAAUGAAUAAGACCUUAGUAGCCUCCUUGCAACCUAGAUAUAGUUCUUUCUAUGCCUCAGUUAAUAAUUUAAAGAAUUUCUUAGCGCUUUCAUUUGGCUCUUCAGUUAGGAUUUCUCCACGUAUUGCACCACUGGUCAGUGAGGAAACCAAAUCAUUCAUAGAUGGACCAUCCCCUGAUUCACCAUCAUUGCCAACUCCUUCAAUGAUGCUCGCAUAUGAAUCCUUUUCUUCUCCUUCCCCUUGGAUGAAACAUUCAGAAAAUCCCCUAAAAAGCAAAUGAUUUCUAAUUUCCUCAACUAUUCUGUAUGACAUGGAAUGGCAUCUUGUACAUGGACAUGGUGCCGUAUCUCCUUUACAAGUGCCAGCAAAUCUAGUCUCCAUAAAUUUCUUCAAUCCUUUUUGCCACUGAUCUGAUACUUGUGGACGCUGCAUCCAACUCCGAUCAUCAUUAUGCAACAUUAAUAUCCUGCAUAAAUAGUUAGUUGCUCAUAUCAGUACGCUAAUAAGUCCCUGCUUUCUCCAUCUAUAUAUAAUUACCUCCAUGUCGUCCGACGUUCGGCCGCCGCUGCCCUACUGCCACCGCCACAACUAGAUCCUGUUGCCGUCGCCGCCCUGUAAUUACCCUAGGGCAACGACAAGGGUAGCGAUGCCAAAUAUUAGGCACGAAUGCAACAACCAGGGUCAUAAGAUUAAGCAAAGCCCAGCACCAUGAAAAAACUAAAGUCCAACCCAACCGUUUUUUCCUCCGACGCCUCCCCUCCCAUCCUCGUCCAGUCCGCCUCCUCUUGUCGAGCCCAAACCUCCUCCCCACCCUCCUCCAGUCAUCCUCUGCCAAGAUCCGCACACCUCCCUCGAGAUCUGUGUUAGGAUACGAGGUAGGCUACACUAGCACAAUUCAAAAAAAAAUCUACCGCGUAUAACCAGGAAGAACUGCCGUAUAAGGAUCACGGGAUUACCACUCGACGCACUACUGGUGCGGAAGAUGUAGAUAUGCGUCGGUGCAGUGAAGAUGAUCACGUAGUCGUACGUAGUCGAUCACGUCCAGCAGCUCCUCAGCAGCUCGUCCACGUGCAGCAAGAUCGCCUCCGGUGCCGCGGCUCAUCGUCGGCUCGUCGUGGCUCGUCGGCGGCUCGUCGAUGGCUCGUCCAAGUGCUGCAGGCGCAACACCUCCAAGGUAUCCACACGUGCAGGGAGGAAGCAUCGCAAGCCGGAUUGCUAGAUCCGCGAGUUGCAACAGGCGAGGGCGUGGGAGGCGCGGCAAGUGUGUUUCGCCAAAAAGGUGUAAACCCUAGGGCGCCCCCACCCCUCUAUUUAUAGAGGUUUCCGACGGGCCUCUGGAUCCGAGGCCCAUUAGCACUUCUAAACCUAAUCCAACUCGGAUCAGAUCCGAAUUGGGCUUCCAGCCCCUUAAGUGUGUGACCCUAUGGGUUCGGAUACGUAUAGACAUGGCCCGAGUACUCCUACUCGGCCCAAUAGUCGGUAGCGGCCUCUAGCAAGACGUGCCAACUCCUAUACGCACACGAAGAUCAUAUCAGACGAACCAUCACAACAUAAUAUACAUGCUAUUCCCUUUGCCUCACGAUAUUUGGUCUAGCUACAAGCCGACCGCUCUUUCUCGAUCCUGUGAUCCGGAAUCUCUUUGUAGGUUAACUCUUAACCGUACGUAGCAUGGCCAUGCAUUUUCGGAUCCGAUCACUCGAGGGGCCCAGAGAUAUGACUCUCAAUCAGAGAGGGGCAAAUCCCAUCUUGAUUGACCAUGUCUCAUAGCAUGCUUCUUGACAAACCCGAAAACUACCUUUAUAACUACCCUGUUACGGCGUAGCGUUUGAUAGCCCCUAAGUAGGUCGAUCCACAUCUAGAAUACAUGCGACAAUCUCAGGUCUAAGGACAAAGCGUAUAUGUUGUUUAAAGAGAGAACUACUUCUCGUGUUGGGUCAGUCCUAGCACAUGUCUCCACAUGUGUCCACAUUAUUAGUUCAACAUCUCCAUGUCCAUGACUUGUGAAACAUAGUCAUCAACUAAUACAUGUGCUAGUCUAAUAUUCAUGUGUGUCCUCACAUGAACUCCGACUAGGGACAACUUUAGAAUAACCAUACAAGUAAAGAGUUUCACAUACAAUUCACAUAAUUGCAAAUCAAUUCAAGUAGCCUUCAAUGGAUAUUCAAUGAACACAACAUACAAAUCAUGGAUACAAAUGGAAUAUCAUCAUCUCUAUGAUUGCCUCUAGGGCAUACCUCCAACAAUCCGGUCCCCUUUCAAGUCCCCGCCGCUCCCCAUCCGCACCGCCCGGGUCAAUGAGGGAGUACCAUCGCGACGCUAGGGGUCGUUUUGCUCGGGGCAACAAGCUCAUAAAGUUGGAGACGCCAUCGAUGGCCCACACCGCGGGAGGUCGGGGCCGCUGUGGCGACGCUUCUUCCUCAUGUCGUCAACAAUUACACAACGGCGUCAAGAGGCGGCCUACCACGCGGUCGGUUUCGAGGGGGUUUACCCUGGGGAAAUCUUUUUAGGUGAAGAUAACUGCCGACUCCGACUAUGAAACUGAGUUCAACACAGAGACGGAUGACGAUAUUGACCACAUGUGCGAGCAGUGCAUCGAUGAAAUCGUAAUGUUCUUACUUUCUUAUAUGUUUUUAACUAUGUAUCCCUCAUUUGUACUACAAUUCAAAGAUGGUUAAGAUAGUCAUUGAACCAUUGGACAUUUAUCUAUAUAGCAAUGUAUUGCACGUUGACCCCUGAACCAUUGAACAUUUAGCCAAUAUUUGGGAGACUGAUUCAACAUUGAUCAUUGAACAUGAUAGGAAUGUGAACAGGGGAAUGUCUAUCUUUUUACCUAUGUAUCGAUGUCAGAAUGUCAGUCAUGCAUAAACCUCUGAAACAUUAAUCAAUGAACAUUAAAAUAAUCUGAAUAUUGAAUGUCAGAAUGUAUUGCAGACUGAUUUUAUUUAACUGUUUGAUGUAUUGCAGACUGAUUUCGAUGAGUUGAAAUAUGCUUUCAAGAAGUACGCGAAUCAUGCCAACGAAAAGUACAACAAAGUAGUGCGGGACCGCCAUGACCUUGCCAAGAAGCUUGACAUAACUAAAGAGAAGAGAAGGCAAAAACAUUAGUUGCAGCAGUUAAGAGGCUUGGCAAGAAGAAGGUAGACAUUAAGUAGGUCUUGGUUCACAAAGUGUUUAGUUUCGUCUGUAAACAUAACCUCUAGUGCUAUGAUCCCCAUCUAUCAUGUUCUUUUUGACUGCCUGUGUGCAUGGUGGAAAAACGUUGCUUGAUAAGCCUCAUUUUGAUCAAUGUCUUUCUAUGAUCCCCAUCUGUCAUAUUACGUUUGAUCAAUCUGUUGGUCUAGCUGACAAAUACAUUUACAGUAUUAAAUUACUGAUUAAAUUAGGUUACUGGAAUAACUUUCAAAGCCUUGCAACAUUGCCUACCUAUUGCAACGAAUUUUCAUAGAAUUUAUUUCUGUAACUAACAUAGAAUUUAUUUCUUUUACUUCGGCUCCUAUCCAUCACCUAACUAUUGCGUAGCGUGGUGGUGAGGUGCUCGAGUCCAAACUCUGGAGACCCUAGUUCAAUUCCCUCAUUGCGCAUCUUUUAAUUUUUAUAUUAAGUAAAACUCGCAACUAUUUUUCAACUCGUGGCGACAACACCUAUCUAUUGCAACAAAUUUCUUGUGGUUGCCAUGGGCUAUGUGGCAAUGUAACAAAUUCGUUGCAAUAUUGCUUCCUACUUGCAACAUUACGUAUUUCGUGGCAAUAACCCUUACAUAUUGCAACGCAAAAAAAAAACUUAAUAACAACGCAAAAAAACCGUGGCAAUUUGUUCAGCAACUCGCAACCAUUUUCAAGUCGUUGCGACAACACGACCUAUUGCAACAGAUUUUCCGUUGUUGCCUUGGGCUAUGUGGCAACGUGACAAAUUCGUUGCAAAAAUAUCAAAGCCUUGCAACAUUGCGUAUUUCGUGGCAAUAACCCGUCGAUAUUGCAACGAAAACAAUUAAUUAUUGCAACGAAAAAUACACGUGGCAAUAUCGCCUACCUAUUGCAACGAAUGUUCAAAUGGUGGCAAUAACGCCUACCGGUUGCAACGAAAACUCAAAAUCGUUGCAAUAACCCCUACCUAUUGCAACGAAAUUUGAGUUGAUGGGAUGAUGGCCGUGGCAAUAGUCCUAAAAUCUAGUAGUGAGACCCCUAGACAAAACUGUCUAAGUUUACGCCUAUCAAAAUAACAUGCAGUACAAUCUGUGUUUUUUUAGAUUUCUUGUAUCAAUCUAUCUAGUUACAACAUUUAUAUGCUACAUCAUUGGAAAGUCCUUUGAAUUAGGGGGGCGUUUUCUUCCGGUGACUUAUUUUUAGCACGUGUCACAUCGAAUGUUUAGAUACUAAUUAGGAGUAUUAAACGUAGAUUAUUUACAAAACUCAUUACAUAAGUGAAGGCUAAACGGCGAGACGAAUCUAUUAAGCCUAAUUAAGCCUAAUUAAUCCAUCAUUAGCAAAUGUUUACUGUAGCAACGCAUUGUCAAAUCAUGGACUAAUUAGGCUUAAUAGAUUCGUCUCGCCGUUUAGCUUCGACUUAUGUAAUGGAUUUUGUAAAUAGUCUACGUUUAAUACUCCUAAUUAGUAUCUAAACAUUCGAUGUGACGGGUGCUAAAAAUAAGUCAGUGGAAGAAAACGGGACCCAGGUUUCCAACCCAACAAAAGGUGCAUCUUUUGCGCUUCUGAAUCAAAGAAUGAUCAGUUUAGUGCACUACUACACUGAAUGGUAUUAACAACCCAGGAUUAACGACCUCCGAAGAAAUGUGGUCGUAGGGCGUUUUCUGAGAUCCAUCGCGACGGUGCGACGACAAGAAAAGUUACCAUCGUUUUUUGACAGGAUAUUGUGGUCGCUAAUGAGUCUGUUGACAUCCCAUCCCAUUCGCGUCAUCUCCGAUCUAAUAAACACAAGUUACUGUGGCCGUCGCUGCCAGAUCGGAGGAGGGAAGGGAGAAGAGGGAGCCAGGGCGGGAGGAGAAAAGGCAAAGGAAGAAGAAGGGGAACGCCGUGAGGAGGAGGCGCCGCGCCCAGGCCGGAGCUCUUUGCGCCAUCACCCCCGUCCGCGCCCCGGCUCCGCCACACCACCUCAUGCCGCACCGUCUCGCCGCCCCUUUCGCGCUGCUAGUGAGUUCCGCCACCUCCUCCUUUGCUUUUACUCAUCCCUUCCUCAGAUCCGCUUCUUAGGGCCGUUCCUGAUUGCGACGGCCGCCCCCCCAUUGCUUCUCUCUGGCGCCUCUCGUCCUGGCUCGCGGCGCCCCUCUACCCUGCCGCGGCCCUGUCUCACCAUUUGCCCCAGGGGCGGCAUUCUCGUCCUGGCUCGCGGCGCCCCUCUACCCUGCCACGGCUCCGUCUCACCAUUUGCCCCAGGGGCGGCAUGAACCAGUGGAUGGCGCAGGGGCAGAGCGCCAAAAACAGGAUAGCUUGGCCAUCUGACCUAGAGGGCAAGGCUGGCGGUGCCAUUAUCUAGGACCAGGCUGCAACCAGGUUUCAUCCUAUGUGGUACGUGUUCCUCUCGCCUUUCAUAUCAAUUAAUCGCUGUGCAUGGAGAGCGUCCUGUCUAUUUCCCCUGUGCAAUUUACCCCUGUAACUGAGAUUCUGAGAUCUAAUCCAUGGCUAAGUAAAAUAAGUCUGAGACCUUAAUUCUGUAACCGCAACGAAUCAAACUUGAUAAGAAAAGUAGUAAUCGUGUUCACAGUACUUAGUCUAUUAUGUAACCAGCUCAUCCAUCAAUUUAUUAACGAACCAGAGGAAAAAAUUUUUUCCGGCAAGGGUGCUUAUGUGAUCAUGUAUAAUAGACUGGGUAUUCUCUGAGUAAAUUAUUGCACAUAUGGGUUGUGGAGGACCAUUUUUUAAAAUGAAUUAAUGUAUAUUCAGACCUAGAAUUUAUUUUUUCAAGUGUAUGUGUUAGAUUUAUUGCCAUGUAGUAUCUGGCGUGAAAUCAGCAUACAUGUUUAUAUCAGAAAGAGGUAGAUGAUGGUUGCAUUCCACUAUGAUGUUACCCUAACUAGUCAUCCAAUAAUAUCAGAAGUUUCCCUUCAAAAAAGAAUAAUAUCAGUAGUCAUCUGAAACUCUGUCUGCUUGACUAAUGCAAAUAAGGCAACUCUUACAUUUUUCAGGUAUAAGUUUGGGGCUUAGCUGAAUCAGAGUUAUCCUUUCUAACUAGUCUACGAUAACGUUCGCUUCGUGCAAGCAGUCUAAUAAUUUUUUGAUUAAUUGUUGCACAUGUUUCCUUCAAAUUGCUGGACUCUCCUCUUCUAAUUAGGCAAGUUCAUAUGAACUAGAAAUCUCACCUUUCAGCAAUAAUAGCUGUUCGCUUUUAAUGUUUCCCCCUUAUGUUUUUUACAAGUGAUUUUAUUAGAUGUUUCAAUGUUUGAUAUCUGCAUAAACAAGAUUUAUAAUGGUGAAAUAUGAUUUUAACGGUAAGUAUAUACCUCAGGUGAUCAUUUUAAUAUAUAGAUACUUUCUUUCUGUUGGCAAAUCCUGUGACUGAAUCAACUUAUCGCCAUUUGUAUCCACCAAUGCAGGGAUAUAUCUGUACUAGAAUCCUAAUCAGUAGAGACAACAACAUCCUUGCAGUCAAGGACUCUGUAGGCGAGGUUGUUAUGGACACCAUGGUCCAGGUGGUCGAAGAUACAGAGUUAUCUGGGGACGAAUCACUUAAGGAAUGGGUUGCAGACUCCUUAGAAGGGGAAGGGAAUAAAACAGAUGAAGGGGACUCAGAAGUCGAUAUAAACUCUCUAUUAUUUGAUCGAUAUGAAGCAGCAAUGAAGGAAGUAAUUGAAGAGAAAUCAGCUAUGCAUGAGGAAGCACUGAAAAGGGUUCAUGAUGAUAUUCUGAAAAUUUGUGUUCUACUUUUCUUCUAGACACGAAAAAGAUGAAACUGUUAGCCUGAAUGUAAUGCAUCAAGUCUAUCAUCAGUUCUCAAUUUAUAUGUCCAGUCAUAUAUAACUAGGUUUCAUUAUUUGUUACAUCAUUAUUAGGCAUCAGGGUUUGUGUCAUGCAUUCAUCAUUAAUUUUUCCCAUGAUGUAAUUUCCUUUGAACUGAAGGUGACAGGUAUUCUGCGGAGUUGGUCUAAUAUGUCUUUGUUGUCUUUCUGUAAUAAUAUAUUUUGUUGAGUGUGAUGCUUGUCUUUUUGAAAGAAUUUGGAAGCCUGGCAAUAUGAUCCAAACUUUUACUUCUCUAAAUUUCUAUUUACUUUGGUCUUUUGUUAUCAAUUUGUUGGAAGAAUCAGACUGCUAAUGUUCCUAGAGAAUCAACACGGCAAAAGAGUCGUCCCAUUGAUUGUACUACCUGGAGAUGGUAAGAUGCCUACAGUAUUCAGAACCACUAUGAAAUGCGCAGUACGGCAGUACCUUGUCCACAAUAGUUGAUGUAAACAACUGAUAAAGAGCAUAAGGAGAUAAUUAUGUAUCGCUACCAAAUUGAUUUAUUGCCGGAAAAUCAGCAUGCAGUCUAUGGGUGCCGACGUUCUGUACUCUACAUUUUUCCUGGCCUCCCUAUUCAGUAACUCAGAAAGUUGCAGCAUGCAGACUGCAUUUCCUGCUUGCUGAGAUAUCAAUUAAGGUUUAUUUGCUCAAGUUUAUUUAUCGAAUCACCAUCUUACUUUACUUGCAUUUACUUUCGACUUGAACACGCAAGUCAGAUGGUCCAGAACAGGUAGGUGUGAUCAAUUAAGGAAUUUUUUCGGAAACUUUGUGAAUUUUGGGGGUUUUUUCCGUUGUAAAUGAAGUAAAAUGAAUUUUGUAUUCCACACCAAAACAGCUAUCUGGUGCAAUGGUAAACCUUUUUUUGAGGUCCUCAGGUUAUUCCAUAGAAGUGUGGGAACUGUUGCAUGAAGGGAGAAAAAAAUAUCCGCGUUGGCUCUGGAUCGAAAACAGAACCUCAUAAACCACCGCUGAGGAGCAUACCCACUGUACUGUUUUUUUUAGAAAAUGCAGGAGAGCUGCACUUCAUUAUAUUAGAGAGAGAGAAAAAGUUCCCCAUACAGCUUCCAUCUCUCGUACGGGGACCAAAUAUGAGAGAUAGUUCAACAAAAUAAGAACCAGCCUAUGAAACAAAAUAGAACAUGACCAAAACUUGACCUAGCUGUCUAGAUUACACCCUAUAAGCCUAGGCCUUGCAGCUUCUUAGUGUCGGCCAGACACCAAAGGCUGUGUUCAUCUUUGAGGUCUCUCAUAAUGGUAUCAACCGAGGGAGCCAUCCCCUCAAACACAUAGGCAUUUCUAUACUUUCAAAUUAUCCGAGCACCGAAAAUUAUUAGGGAAUUUACCCCUUUCCUGUAUUCUUUUUUCACUUUCUUCAAAACCUUGCGCCACCACUCGACAAAGCUAUGUUCCCGCUGCCUUGGAAUGGUAUCACCCAGGUUCAGGGGUGCUAAAAGCUUAAACCAAACUUGUCUUGCCAUCACACAAGAUAGUAACAAGUGUUGUACUGUCUCAUCCUCCUGGUCACAUAGGGGGCAUUGUUCAGGAUGAGGCAUCCCUCUCUUUUCAAGUCUAUCGGCCGUCCAACAUCUAUUAUGAAUUGCCAACCAAAUAAAAAACUGACACUUAUUUGGAGCCAAAGUUUUCCAGAGUCUUUUCCACGGCUCAAAAGUUACUGAUCCCUGGAAAUAAGCCCAAUAAGCAGAUUUAGAAGAAUAGCAGCCCCCAAGUUCCAAUUUCCAGAUGUGUCGAUCUUCAAGAUUAUUCAACCGGAUGCCCUGAACACAGUCCCAUAGUUGCAAAAACUCCCUGAUUCCGACCCAGGAUAGAUUCCUACAUAUUACAAAAACCCAUUUAUUAUUGUCCAAAGCCUCAGCCACUGUUUGUCUUUUGUGGAUUCUUGGGGACACACUUGCAAAGACCUGAGGUGCAAGAUUCUCCACUGAACAUCCAUGCAGCCACCUGUCUGUCCAAAAAAGCGUAUUGUUUCCAUUUCCUAACUCUGUGCUGACAGCAAUAGAAAACAAGGCUAGUGAGUUAGGAUGUGAGGGGAGUUCAAGAUCAAUCCACGGUCGAUCAGUUCGGGUUUUCUUAUGCCACUACAAUCUAGCUUGCAGUGCCCAAGCCAUAACCUCUAGAUUGAUAAUUCUCAAACCACCAAGAUCCAAUGGUCGCCUGACUUUUUCCCAUGCAACUAAACAGCAACCUCCAUUAGCUUGUUCCUUCCCCUUCCAAAGAAAGCCUCUCCGGAUUUUAUCAUUUGCAUUUAUGAACCAUUUUGCGACGUUGAUGGCGAUCAAAAGAUAGAUAGGUAUAGCUUAAAGAACAAACCGGAUCAUAGUGAUACGUCCUGCCCUAUUUAUUAGGACAACUUUCCACCCUGGCAACUUAUCUGCCACCUUCUCAAUCCAAGGCAACAGGUAAGCUUUUCUCAGUUUCUUGUUGGACAGUGGCAGCCCUAGAUAAGUGCAAGGAAAUUCAGCAACAGUGCAAGGUAGAGAGUCUUUUACUGGACUCCAGGGAAACAUCAUCACAUCGGAUUGGAAUAAUGUUGCUCUUGUGCAAAUUGGUUUGCAGCCCCGAGGCCAUACCAAAGACAUCGAGAAUUUCCUUUGUGACCUCUAGCUCAUCCUCCAUCGGUCUUAUAAAGAGAGCAACAUCAUCAGCAUAUAGAGAGAGACGCUGUCCAGAAAUUCUUUGGGAGAGGGGUUGCAGGAGCCCUUCCUCUCCAGCUUUUAAAAAGAGGCUAUGAAGCACAUCCAUAACUAGAAUAAAUAACAUGGGGGGACAAAGGAUCGCCUUGCUAGAGUCCACGCUGAUGCUGAAUAACAUUUCCAAGUUCCCCAUUUAUCAACACACGAGUGGAUGAGGUAGAUAACAGAUUUGAAACCAGAUUGUUCCAUGAUAUGCUGAAACCCAAAUGAGAGAGUACUUCCAGGAGGAACACCCAAGUUACUGAAUCAAAGGCUUUAGAGAUAUCCAAUUUCAGAAAUAGACUUGGUACCUUUUGGCGAUGAAGCACCUUCACAGUUUGUUGGAAAAGGAUGAAAUUAUCAUGAAUACUUCGCCCUCUAAUAAAAGCACUCUGAUUUGUAGCAACCAAAGAAUUGAGAUGAGGUGCCAAUCUGUUAGUAAGGAUCUUGGUUACUAAUUUCGCGAAGCUAUGAACAAGACUGAUGGGAUGAAAAUCUUUGGCCAGCAUUACAUCAUCCUUUUUUGGGAUGAGUGUGAUGUAAGCUGUGUUAAGAAGCCCCAAUCCCCUAGCAUUUCCUUGCUGCAAAGUCAUAAUAGCAGCCAUGAAAUCUAAUUUGAUCACCAACCAGCAUUCCAUGUAAAACUUGCCCGUAUAUCCAUCUGGUCCUGGAGCCUAUCGGUCGGCAAGGUCUUGAUAGUUGCCCGGACCUUAUGUUCAGUGAUCAAGUUAUCCAACAUGGAUAGAUCCAAAGCAGCCUUAUGAAAAGAUUGCAGGUUCAAAGAGAAGGAACGAUCAGCGACUCUUCCAAUCAGAUUUUCAAAAUAAUUAUGCAUGACCUCCUGCUUAUCCUAUUGAGAAGUGGCCACUCUAUCGCCAUCAAUAAGUUUGGGCAUAAAGUUUUUCCGCUUCCGAAAAGCUGCUUGCUUGUGGAAGAAUGAAGUGUUAGCAUCACCCUCUUUUAGGUAUCUAACUCCGGACCGUAAUCUUGCAAUGGUCCUUUCAAACGAUGCUAACCUCAAGCAGUGACACUUCAAUUUACCCAUUGUACUGUUCAGGACGUUGCGUUUAAAUGUAGAAAAGUAUUUACUUAUACUUAUAGUAGUCAAAAUUUGAUUAUGGGGCAAAGGUAGGGGAAAAAUUGGCACGCUUUAGAUAGAAGCUAAAUAAUAUUGUCUCAACUCAGCUCAUGAAACCUAUAAUUUGCUUCGCACAUUCAGAACUUUAUUACCCAGUAAGAUAUGACUUCCCGUCCAUAAACAUCGUAUGAUUCAUAUAAGACAUCCAUCGUAACUUCGACCUCCUAUGUGUUGUCCGAGCUUCAUCCCUGCCCCUCACCCUCCUCAUGGAGGAGAGGCUCACUAGCGUUGAUGAACAUUAUGACAAACAUAUACGAGUAGUGUCGGUGUCUAGUAUUACCACCUUACCCCCUGAUGGUAGGACCCCACCUCUAACCUCUUUCACAGGGUUAGGGCGCUCCUAUGCGUUGGCACUCAGAGGAUCGGGCUAGGUCCCAGGUCCGCAACCGCCUUGUUGGAGUUGGGAGCAUACUCCGUGCCUAUGAUGGGGCUCGCCUGUUUAGUCAGAUUGGACUCUUUGGUUGGAGCCCUGGCUAGUCGGGGGUGGACCCCGACCUAGUGACGGUUUUACGAUGGGUGUUAGAGCAACUCCAAAAGCUCCCUUAAAAUUGCCCUAAGGAUCGAGUGCUCCGUGUGCUUUGCCCGCUUUGACGAAGCCGACCACCUCCGCCUCCUCUCGCGCUGCCACCACAUGCUUCCACCUUGCCUGCGUCGACCGUUGGCUCGAGUCCAACGCCAGUUGCCCGCUUUGCCGGGCGCGCGUCGAUGACAGUAAUGCCUUGGGUUCAAGUACCCCUCCAGCGCCCGCAUCAUAUUCGGCGGCCACAGCCUAUCCUCCGGCUGCAUCGACGACGACACCGAUGCGGGGAGCAGGCGCAACUUCCUCGACAUCUUCAUGGAGCGUGUGCCGUCCGCGAGGUUUGCCACGGGAGGCGCCGGCCCAAAGCAGCAGGCGAACGAGGAGGCAGCAUCGGCGAGGGCGCCACCAUCACCGGAGCGCACAAGCACCGCAUCAUCGUUACGUGGACAUUUUAAUUGACGUGAAUCCUUUUCCUUGUAAUUAUUUUUGAAAUCUUUAAAGAAAAGACGGACGUACCUUAUAUCGUGCUAGAGAAAGAAGCGGGACUCCAAAAUUUUGUUUUGGCGGACUCCCAAAUAAAAAAAACAUUCUGUUUUGGCGAACUUCCAAAAAAAAAGCUCCGGCUUGACGCAAUAAAAAAGCUUCUGUUUUAUAGUUUCGCAACAAAAACAUGGGAGACUUUCGAUCCGCCGCGUCCUCCCCCUGAUCUAUUCACGUCCUCCGCCCUUUUUUAUUCGCGUCCUCCCCCUGAUUUAUUCGAGUCCGGGUCGCCGCAGGUGCUGAGCGACCGUGCCGCUCCCCUGGCCCUUCCCCUGCACCUCUCACUGCCGGCGCCGGUCGUCCCCGCCAUCCGUCGCCGUCGCCUGUGCAUCCAGCCGCCGCCACUGCCGGUCAUCCCCGCCAUCCGUCGCCGUCGCCUGUGCCUCCUGCUUCCGCCGCCGCCGCUCUCGUCCUGUUGUCCACGCCAUCAGUGCUCCUAUAGGUCCGUUACUUUUGAUCCCAUCUCUGAAUAGGACAAUGUGCUGUUUGAUAGGUAUCCACGCUCUUUAUUAGGAGAUAGAAGAUACCUCUGUUUUGACUCCAUAUCUAUUGGCACAGGUAGUUUGGUAGGCAAACUGAAAUACACUAGAUGGCACCAAGUAAGGCAUGGAUGGAUUUAGUUGAUGAUCAUAUCAGUGAUGAAUGUUUAGAUGGGAACAUCUCAAAAAGAUAUUUAUUUGGCUGGUGUAAAAAGGUUCCUGGACUAUGCCUUCAGUAGGACUGGUAGGUCUGAUGAAAUUAAGUGUCCAUGUAUCGGAUGCUACAAUACAUACUCCAAGUCUCGUGGAGAAGUAUAUUCCCAUUUUAAAAUCUUUGGGAUUAUAGGAAACUAUAGAUUUUGGUAUCAUCAUGGAGAAGUUGUGGGUGAGCCUGAAACAGAUUCAGAUGUCGAAGAGGACAGUGCCUCCCAUGGAGCAACUGAGGAAGGUUAUAAUGGAAUGGAAGAGCUGAUGAUGGAUUUGUUUCCACAUGAAACUAACCCGGUCAGCAACAUUGAGACACCACCAUCUCCCAAUGAAGCAUCUGAUGAGGAACCAAAUGUUGAAGCUGCAAAGUUCUAUAAAUUGCUUGAAGACUUGAACCAACCUCUUUACGAAGGCUCUAGUAUCUCUAAAUUAGCUGCUACAGUUAAAUUGCUUAAUACAAAGAAUUUCGGGAAGUGGAGUAACAAAUCCUUUUCCAUGUUAGUGAAGUUACUCCGCAAGGACUUUCUUCCAGAUAACUCCACUUUGCCAAACUCUUACUAUGAAGCAAAAAAGAUUAUGAAGGAACUAGGACUAAGUUACAUAAAAAUUGAUGCUUGCUAUAACGAUUGUAUGCUGUAUUGGAAAGAUGAUAUAGAUGCACAAUUCUGCAAGAUAUGUAACAGAUCAAGAUGGAAGAAAGAUAAGCAUCUAGGUAAAGACAUAGGGUCAGCCAAAGGGAAUAAGGUCCCAGAGAAGACUAUGCGUUAUUUUCCAAUCAAGCCAAGACUUCAGCGACUGUACAUGUGUAGGAAAAUUGCUAAUUUCUGCACGUGGCAUACGGAGGGCAGGGUGGAUGAUGGUGUGAUAAGGCAUCCUGCUAAUUCUAAAGCAUGGAAACAUUUUGAUAAGACCCAUUCCUCUUUUGCAUCUGAACCUUGCAAUGUAAGUCUAUGCCUUGCUGGUGAUGGUUUCCAACCAUUUCCUAACAUGAAAACCUCAUACAACAUUUGGCCUAUAUUCCUUGUUCCUCUCAAUUUGCCACCUUGGUUGUGCACGAAACAGCACAAUGUAUUGCUUUCCAUGUUGAUUUCUAGACCAGAAGGUCCUGGGGAUGCAAUUGAUAUUUACCUGCAACCAUUGAUUGAGGAGCUGAUUGAUCUCUGGUAUAAUGGCGUUGACGCCUAUGAUGCAUCGACUAGGAAAAAUUUCACGCUUCGAGCAGCUCUUCUCUGGAUUGUUCAUGACUUCCUUGCAUAUGGUAAUCUACCAGGACAUAGCACUAAGGGAUGUCUAGCUUGUCCUGUUUGCCACAAAGAAACUUGCUCGUUAUGGUUAUCAAAGGGUAAAAAGUUUUGCUACAUGGGCCAUCAUCGAUUCCUUCCAGAUGAUCAUAAAUGGAGAAAAUAUAAAGCUUCUUUCGAUGGUACCGUAGAGUGUCGCGGCCCACCAAAACCACUAACAGGAGAUGAUGUGCUACAGCAAGUAAAUGAUCUAGAGGGGGUAAUUUUGUCUAAGGAUCCGAGUAAGAAGACCAAAAUAUCACAUAGUGAAAGAGGAGAUAACUGGUUAAAGAAAAGCAUAUUUUUUCGAUUACCUUAUUUCAAGACACUUUUGCUGCAUCACAAUCUAGACGUGAUGCAUAUAGAAAAGAAUAUAUGUGAAAGUAUUAUUGGAACAAUCCUAAACAUACCAGGGAAGACAAAGGAUAACAUCAAUAGUUGUCUUGAUUUGCAAGAAAUGAACCUAAAGCCACAUCUGCAUCCUGUUGAGGAUGGUGGCAAGACAUAUUAUCCACGAGCACCUUAUGUUCUUUCUCCUGACCAAAAGAAUAAACUACUACAGUUCUUUAGAGAUUUGAAUGUUCCAGAUAGUUUUUCUUGUAAUAUUAGCUGUUGUGUUAAUUUGAAGGAGCGAAAACUUUCAGGAUUGAAAAGCCAUGAUUGCUAUGUUAUUUUAAAUGAUAUACUUCCUCUUGCUUUACAAGGACUUGUACCAACAACCAUUUAUGAACCACUGGUAGAGCUUUCCUAGUUUUUUCACACAUUGAACUCAAAAGCGUUAUCAACUCAACAGUUGGAGCAACUUGAGCGUCUAAUACCAAGCACAUUAUGUAAACUUGAAAGGAAUUCCCACCCUCCUUUUUUGAUCCCAUGGUGCAUUUACCUGUUCACUUGGCUAGCGAGGCUCUGAUUGGUGGACCCACAGUACAUCGUUGGAUGUAUCAAUUCGAGAGACAUAUAAAAUUUCUAAAAUCCCUAGUCCGUAACAUCACUCAUCCGGAGGCUUCCAUAGCAGAGGGCUAUCUUGCAUAUGAAUUGUGCUCAAGGUACUUGGUGUUGACGCAUAAAAUUGAACAGUAGCUCCGAGUCCUACAUCGGACACACGAUCUGGGAGAAUCUGCUUAACUCCUAUUCGGGUUAUCGCCCUGGUGUAGUUUGUGCGGCGUGCCAGUCAAUCUGACCUGUUGAUUGACAAGGAAGACAAGAUGUCAAAUUUUAGAGAUUCAAUUGGUUGAGGUUCCGAUCUACUCCAAAAAUGUAUCAGCGGAUUGGCCAAUUUAACGUAAAGAUGGCCGGCUAUGAAACAGCUGAUAAUCACGUGGCAAGUGUAAAAGAAACUACUAGAGUAACUUAAACAAUGCUACAGAAGCAACACCUAAAACAGACCUAAUCAGCUGUGUGGUAAUAAAUAAUGUAUGGAUAUAGCCGACAGUUCGUGCCUCAAGCUGGAUAACUGAUGAUAAAAACUAAAAUAACAGAUAAAACCUAUAAUUCUAGUAAAUAUCGAUAACUAGGGAAUAAAUCUAAACGAAACAAUAGCGAUGCGCCCGAAGUUAAAGCUUAGAUAUUACUCGAUACGCAGAACUUCCAAAUUGGCUGGAGGUCGUGUUGAUACAGGCCUACCAACUCGUUUGAACUCGUGAAAAGAAAAGGUUUUGGCGAAGUCGCCGACUUGAAAGUAAUGUUGCGUGAAAAAGUAGAUUUCUAUUGAUGAUUGUUGGUUAUUUUACAAGCCUCACGAGGUACCUAUUUAUACCCUGUUACAACUGAUUUCCUAACCGACUAUGAUUUUUAUCUCUUAUUCAAAAUAAUAAAUAUUUACAUAUGGAUACAACUCGCAUUGGAGUCAAAAACCAAUCAAUCCUCUAUGGGCCAACUCUGUCUUCAUCUUGUUACCACCUUGGCCCAUUUAGGCCCAUAUCGACCGAGCUGCUCCGGCUUCCAAUCGGCCAGUCUCCAUCGACUUCAUCGGCUAAUCAUCCGAAACACUGUAGUUUUGUCGGCCAAUUUCCCUAGCCACAACCUCCUGUUUGACUGCGUCGGCCACUUUCUUCUCUUCUUGACGCUGAUCCUAACACGUGUCAAAAACCGGCGUCAACACAUGCCCCCUAGUUUCGAAGUGAAACAUAUCUUUUGCUCUGAAAUUUUCUCAACCCUGAGUCCUUCCUUCGGAAGAGAUGCAACAAUAAAUGCGGCAAAACCCUCUUUGCUCCCAAAAUCUUCUCUUUGAUGAUUGCAUUUUUUUUCGAAUAGAGUGCCCGCAGGCAACCGCUCUUUUCAAAAUUAGCGCAGACGGCGUGGUAAAAAUUCCUUAUUUACCCCUUUCUCGAGCCAUCUCCCAAAUACUCAUCUCUUCCACCGCUUCUUCUUCCUCCGGGCGAAAAGGGUUUCCUUCCUGGCGAAUUGUCUCCCAACACAUUCCGGCACCCUUGCUUGUUCCACAUCUAGGUGCAUCCUAGUGCACUUCGGUGACUUCCUCCCGUUCUUCAUCGAUCGCACCGGCUUCCAAGUCUCAAUGGCGGCACCCACAGCUACCAUGGCCUUCAUCCCUGAGGUAAAUUUUCUGAGCCCCUCUUUUUUACCUUUUCGUGAUUUCUAGAUCUGUUCUUAGUUUUUCUUCGCAUUUGCUUAGGAACUCAGGCAGAGAAUUACCAUCCCAUGGCCGACACCCCUGGACUCAUCAGUCUUGGCCCUAUGGGAGACCCUGAUCCAACCGAUCUAAUUAGCAUGGAAACUCACAGGAUUCCAUUUAAAAAAUCAACCAUGGAUUUGGACAAUUGGACGAACACCUUCAAGUCUUGGCCGAAUCAAACUCCCGGCUGGAGAGAUUGGUUUUUUAGGAUGUCGAAUUCCAAGAGAGUCUUCUGAGAUAAGCGAAAAAUUGGCCACUGCAAAAAUCUGUCCCUAUCUCAUAUGGAGAGGAACGACUCUCUACUUAUCGCGACAUCUUAUUUCUAGUCCGACGCUCUCAAUGCAUUUUUUUUCUGCCACGGACCAAUGACUCCAACCUUUGCCGAUGUUCUGAUGCUGACUGGCCUCGAUAUCUCCUCCGCCGAUACACCUUUCCAUAUUUUGAUCAAACCCACCCACCGGCUGGAAACAAAAGCCAUCAGUGGAUGGAAAGACUUUAUCGAGAAGAACAUGAAGAUCGGACCCAUCACGGAAAAGGAGCACACAACCUUCUUGAUGAUGUGGCUGGAAAAACAUCUUUUCUGUGCAAAUCAGCCGUUCCUACUUCCAACACGCAAGCUUUGGCCAAAGCACUAGUAAGAGGCGCCGCUGUCCCUUUGGGAAAACACUUGCUAGGGUCAGUGUACUACAUGUUACAUCAAGUCGCCAUGAAGCUAUCAUCUGGGGAACCCAUCGGGAACCCUAGUGGUCCCUGGUGGUUUAUCAACCUCUGGCUCAACUUAUACAUGAGCAAAAUCUUCAAAGAGCGGAUCGAGACCAAGACUUUCCCCAAUGUCGAAUUAGAGACUGACCCAACGGCAAGACGCCGCUGCACCUCUUUCGGAGAAGUUGUAUCUUCUUUCCCAAGCAGCAAGCUUGCUCUCUCAAGAAUAGCCGAGCACUUCAGAUGCUUUUAUAACGGCUUCAAAGAAGAAGUAACGAACUGGUAUCCGUAUCAAAGAGAAGAUCCAACUUUUGAGAACCCUGACUGCUUUGACUCGGGUACCAAUACUUUUGAUGAUGGAAUCAUGGACAUCCUAAUUAAACCUGGAAUUAUGCCGGCGAACUUCUUUUCUGGGAAGGACUCCCCAACAUACGAGUUCUACAACCCAUUGUUAGCAGCCAGACAAUUUGGCUUGGGACAAAUGCCAAUCGGAGUCCACUUCGUCGGCCGAGUGAAAUUUGGAGAACCGGUUUCAAGAGGAUUUGAAUACAACAGAUUAUGCAAUCUGACACCGGACUCCAACACCAUUGAUCUGAGCACUUGGCUAGUGGUACCCUUCUCUACUCAGCAAUUCAAAUUAUGGUGGGCCGAGUGGAAACAUCACCUUUUCUGUGUGGCCCCUGCGGUGUAUUGCAAUCAACUGGACCCUGCUCACACCGAUCCGAACGUAGAGGUAACAAUACUUUUUUUGCCGAUUCCUUGCUUUCAUUCUUUCAUGGCACAUAACUUUUUCAUCACUGCCCUUUCUUCUCCGUGCAGGUCGAUAGCCAAGUGCCUCCAACGCACAGUCAGAGCAACAGGCUGAUAGAGACCCAUCAUCCGUACAUGCCGUACCAUCUUAUCGGCUAUCAUGCCCCAUCAAUGGAAGAUAUAGCCACCGGCCGAUUGAAGCACAAACUCAAAAUGUCUACCACAAAGAAAACGAACCGCAGGGUACGAGCCUCGUACUGAAUCGGCGACAACUCGGACAGCUGACCAAUCUGCACCAACAUCGGACGAGCCCUCAGCCGCACCAAUCCAAGUAGAUGUCCUGCCGACAAUUCAGGACAUUGAUCCCCUGGCGGCAUCAAAAACUGGGUCAGCGGUUGCAUCUCUCUUGGUGGAGGUCAUACAGGUAGUCUUACUGCUCUAACUUCUUCAUAUGUAUCACCAAUACUAAAUUCGCUCCUUCUUAACAGGCCGCACAACUCAUUCCGGAGAAAACUGUUCCUUAAUCGGCCGAUCCCCGAGCCGAAACUGUGCCACCAGCAAAUCUUCAGAUUGAGGUAAAGAACACACUCUUCACUUAAUCUCCAUAACUCUUUCAACUAAAAUCGGCCGAUUCUUGGCACAGGAUGCUCCACACACAUCGGUCAUUCCCCUUGAGCGACUAUCGGCUGCGUGACUCCCAGAGGUAAGAAAACCAAGACUCACACUUAGAUCUAGUAUUCUUUCAUCCUCACAAAUGCUUCCCUUUCGCUCCUUCAGGAGGUUGGUCCAAGCACAUUACUGGCUUUUACUAGAGAGCCGAUUAUUGUCGAAUCUUCUCCUUCUGAUGAACUACCUCCACCGAUUCCUAAAAUGGGAGCAGCAAUUCUGCCAACCCAGACAGAAGAGAUUCGUUUUAAAGAGGUAAGAACCUUCUAUCUUUACCAGUCGAUUUCUUACUUCUGUCAGCUAAAACGUUGUUCCCCCAUCUCUGCAGGAAUAGUAUACCCCAAACAACAGCCUCUUCUCUUUUGCAGUCGCGGUCUCUAAUGAUGAGAAAGUCGCAUCACGCCAGAUAACCUUGAGCUCAAUACUAGAAGAUGUCUGCGCCAAGCUCCAAAACAUGCGAGCCCUUCUCCAGGAAAAUGUCAGCCGAUUGGUGGAGGAUGCCAAACCGAUACUACGAAUAUUCAACAAAAUCAAAGGCCAAGUCCCAGAAGACGCAGAAGAGGCUCUCGCACCCGCAGCAUACAUUGAAACCAUGCGGGUUCUAGUGUUUAGAGCCUUGAGACACAUGGUCGAUCGUGCUAAACUGGAGAAGGUGCGUCAAGAAGAAGAAUCUUAUAAACACCAUGCGCAAGAGGUACACCGGCGGAUUGGCAUCCUCGAGAUCUCCGGUCCGAACAUCAUCAGUGCAAUAGACUGGCUCAAACGGCGCAGAGCAGAACUUGACAAAGAGAUGGAACAAGUCAUGAAAGCUAUCGCUGCUGAAGAAAAGAAGCUUGAAAAUCUUUCAAAUGUCAUCGCUGAUUUGAAGCAAGAAAGGUAGACCCUCACUCAUGAGGCCAUCCGUCUCCAUCGUAAUGCGCCAGAAAUCCCAGGGUUGGCCGAUGACAAUCGACGAGUGUUGGAUGAGGCCGACCAGGUUCGCCUGCGAGCAAUCGAGGCCAUAAACAAUCUCCUCGGAUAGUUGUAAUGAACUUAAACGGUAUUUGAAUAUCUUGUAUAACAUUGAUACUUUUGACGUUUCUAUCUUGAAUGCAAAUCUGAACGGCUUUUCCCACAGCCUUUUGACUCAACGGUCACUUGCUUUAAAUGCCCUCCUUUUAUCAACUGUUGCCCAUCGCCAUCUUGUUCUAUAAAUACGAGUCCUUUGCAUCCCCUCCAAAGGCACUCGCACAGCACCCAUUAGUCUCAUUCCUUGUAGACACUUCCAAGUCUUCGAUCAGGCGACCAAGAUGGCUUCCUCCUCUUCCGUCAAUCAGGUACGAAGUUAACUCUCCCCUUCGAUUGAUUUUUCUAUCAAUUGAUCAUUUAUUACUCUCACAGCCAAACUGGCUCAGCCCCGGUCUUGAACGAGCCAUUGAAAUCAUGCACUCCGAUGAACCGCUGACCCAGGCUGACAAAGAUCUGAUCCAAACCCAUCGCGAGGAACUUAAGUAUCACCUUCCUACGCACAUUAUGAGGAUUGUAGAUGACAUCGAGGCCAAAGCUUCUAGGAGGCCAACUCAGCAACCAGUCGAAAGGAGCCAUCAACUACCUUGUCAAGUUGCCCUCGAAGAUGACAUGGCAGAAGUGGAGGAGAAGAAUGCCCAUCUUCAGAUCGAAUUAGAUCGACUUUAGAAAGAGAUUGACAUGAAUAAAGCUCGACUGAAACACCGUUGAAUCAUUGCAACUUAUGAGUGUGUUGGUACUUUUUAUCUGAGGGCGACUUGUACCACGUCGGCCAUGUAUCCAGUUGAUGUACCGAAUAAUGAUCGGUUUAUUCAUAUAAAUCCUUCAAUCUUAAGGCGAUACCCCUUGCAUCGGCUAUAUGAACAUGACUCAAUACACGUCGGCCAUGAAAGCCUGAUACGCCACAUUAUCGGCUAAGUGUAUACCCAUAUACUGGGGUAGUAUCUUUUCAAAAAUCUUCCAUUUAGAGCCCUUGUAAAUUCCUCUCCCUCAAAAGUCUCUAGUAUGUAUGCAUUGCCUGGAGCACAUUGGCUAAUCUAGUACAACCCUUCCCAAGUAGGCGACCAUCUUCCAUAUUUGGGAUCUUUAGAUCCUAUCGGCAUGACCAACUUCCAGACUAAAUCCCCAUGGGAAAAUUGCUUGACUUUGACCUUCUUGUCAUACCAUAUGGUGACUCUUUUCUUAUUUUCCUCAAUACUAAUCAAGGCCCUUAGCCGCUGACUUGCCAAAUCCUCCAACUCUCCCCUCAUGAGAGUGGAAUAGUCAUCGGUCAACAACUGAUCCUGAAGCGACACAUGUCUAGACCCAGUCUUCAAUUCCCAAGGCAAUACUGAUUCAUGCCCAUAUACCAAUUGAUAAGGGACACCUUGGUGGCACUGUGGCAAGCCAUCCGAUAGGCCCACAAGGACUCACUUAGCGUCGUAUGCCACUGUCUUGGUUGUUCUUCGAUCUUCCUCUUAAUCAGCUUAAUAACCCCUUUAUUGGAUGAUUCGGCCUGACCAUUGGCCUGAGCAUAAUACGGAGAAGAAUUUAACAACUUAAUCGCCAUACCGGCAGUGAACUCCUUGAACUCCCCUGAGGUAAAAAUUGACCCCUGAUCAGUUGUAAUAGUCUGAGGAAUACCAAACCGAUAAAUAAUGUGCUCUUCAUGAAUUCGAUCAUGUUCGCCGACGUCACAACUUUCAAAGGAACCGCCUCAACCCACUUGGUGAAAUAGUUAGUAGCCACCAAUAUGAACUUAUGCCCUUUGCUCGACGGCGGAUAGAUCUGACCGAUGAGAUUAAUCCCACACCACUAAACGGCCAUAACUUUAUUAUCAGGUUCAUAGCCGAGGCCGGUGCUCGUUGCACGUUGCUGAAUUUCUGACAAUCCUGACAGCCUUUAUAAUAUUUAAAACAAUCUUUGAGUAUUGUCGGCCAGUAGUAACCAUUGUUCCUAAUCAUCCAUUUCAUUUUAAAAGCCGAUUGAUGGGCCCCACAUACACCUUCAUGAAUUUCGCCCAUCAAAAUCUUUGCUUCCUCCACGCUGAGGCAUUUGAGUAAGAUCCCAUCAAUCGUCCAAUAAAACAAAUCAGCUUCAAGUAAUACGUACUUUGUAGCUUGGAAAUGUAUCCGCCGAUGAACUUUCUUGGAUGGAUCCUUUAGAUAGUCGGCGAUCUCCUUACUCCAAUCAUCGGCUGCAAGCUCUAGAGAUAAAGCACCAUGAAUCGGCCGGUAACCAGAAGCGUGCUGGGCAAGUCUAUUGGCUUCUUCGUUGUAGUCUUUGGGGAUAUGUUCAAUAACUACAGUCUUGAAUUCUUUGAGUAACUAGAGGCAUCGUCAUAAUAAAUCCUCAGAAUAUCAUCCUUGCACUCACACUUUCCAGUCAACUGAUCCACGAUGAGCAUGGAAUCCCCAAAUAUCUCCACCGCGUCAGCCUUAACUUCCCUCAACAAUUGGAUGCCUUUUAAGAUGGCCCGAUACUCUUCUUGAUUAUUAGUGGCGGAAGCAUCAAUCGGCAGAGAGAAAUCAUAACUUGCCCCCUGAGGCGAUAUGAGGAUUAUGCCGAUCCCUGGUUCAGCCCCACACGAAGAUCCGUCAAAGUAUAAAGUCCACGGAAACCGGCUCGACGACAGUAAUCUCGAGUCCAUAGUGUUGGGCUACAAAGUCAGCCAUCACUUGACCCCUGACGGCCUUGGUCGAUUCGUACCUCAAAUUGAAUUUCGAGAGGGCCAGAAUCCAUUUUCCAAUCCUACCCUUUGAAAUCGGCAGUGAUAACAUGUACUUGACGACAUCAUCUUUACAUACGACUACAUAUUCCACCGACAAUAUGUAGUUCCUGAGUUUAGUGCAAGAGAAAUAUAGGCAAAGGCACAACCUCUCCACCGGAGAAUACCAGGUAACAGCGUCCAGGAGUCUUCUGCUGACGUAAUAAAUUACCCUUUCUUUUCCUUCAAACUCCUGGACCAGCGCCGAACCGAUAGCUCAUUCAUCAGCUGAUAGAUACAAUCUGAAAGGCUUAUUAGUUUGAGGAGGAACCAACAUGGGAGGGGAUACCAGAUAUCGCUUGAUGUCAUCUAACGCUCUCUGUUGUUCUUCACCCCAAACGAAUUCUUGAUCGGGCUUCAACUUCAACAAUGGGCUGAAAGCUUGAAUUCGUCCAGACAGGUUUGAUAUGAAUCUCCGGAUGAAGUUGAUCUUGCCGAUCAAGGAUUGCAACUCAAUCUUGUCUUGUGGGGCUACAACUUUGUUGAUGGCGGUUAUAAUCUUUUUGUUGAUCUCGAUACCGCACUCGUGGACCAUGAAACCAAGAAACUGACCAACCGAAAUGCCAAAAGCACACUUGUUCGGAUUCAUUUUCAACCCAUGCUUCCUCGUGCACUCAAGCACCUCGCGUAAAUCAGCCAAAUGCUAUCGAUAUCCCUUUGACUUGACAAUGACAUCAUCGAUGUAAAUUUCUACCAGAACACCGAUAAGCUUGUGGAAUAUAUAAUUCAUGGCUCUCUGAUAUGUAGCUCCAGCAUUUUUCAAACCGAAAGUCAUGACUACCCAUUCGAACAAAUUAAGAUGACCAGGACACCUGAAGGCUGUUUUGGAGAUAUCUUCUUCGGCCAUUAAUACUUGAUUAUAUCUAGCUUUACCAUCCAUAAAGCUGAUGAUCUUGUGUCCCGCUGCAACAUCUAUCAAAACAUCGGUCGUCGGCAUCGGGUAUCCGUCCAUCGGUGUGGCUUAGUUAAGAUUUUUGAAAUCGAUGCAAACAUGUAGUUUUCCAUUUUUCUUAUACACAGGGACAAUAUUAGAAAUCCAAUCGGCAUAUCGACACUGUCGGAUGAACCCUGCUUCAAUUAACCUUGUGAUUUCGGCCUUUAUAUCAGGUAGAAUUUUCGGAUACAACGUCGCACGGGUUGCUGAUAUUUCUGAUACCCUAGUUUUAUGGGCAACCGAUGUUCGACAAUCGACCGGUCUAGACCAGGCAUUUCAUGAUACUCCCAAGCAAAGUAAUCUUUAAAGUCCCUUAACAAAUCCACUAAUUCACGCUUAUACUCAGGAUCUAAUUUAGCACUAAUAUACGUCGGCCUUGGCUUCCUACCAUCUCCAAGGUCUACCAUCUCUAAUGAAUCGGCUAACGUGAACCCGUGCCCAAGCUUCCCAUCCUCUCGGACGAACUCAUCCAUCAAGAUGAUUCUUCUGAGCUGACUGCUUGGAUCGGCUGUAGACCAAAAUCGGACACCUUAAAAAAGUCAGUGUCCUAGGUCCUGCCAAAUAUGCAUCCGACGUGUUCGUAGCUCCAUUGUUGCACAUCGGCUGUGGCAAUGCUAUAAGAGGAGUCGGUGGUGACCACUUCAAUCAUGUCGCCGAUCCACUAGACGAGGCACUAGUGCAUUGUAGACGGGAUGCAGCAAUUCGCGUGGAUCCAGUCUCGUCUAAGUAGCAUAUUAUAGGACCCUUUACCAUUAAUGACAAAGAAAGUGGUGGGUAGGGUCUUACUGCCGAUGGUGAGGUCGACGCAGAGUGCCCCUCAGGUUGGAGAUAUGUUGCCUUCGAAGUCCUUAAGCAUCAUGUCCAUCUUGAUCAAGUCUUCUUCCCCUUUGCCAAGUUUUCGGAAUAUGGUAUAUGGCAUGACGUUCACCGCCGCGCCUCCAUCUACCAACAACUUGGUGACUGGACAUCCGUCAACUUGCCCCUUGAGGACAGAGCCUUGAGAUGCUGGCAUUUUUCAUCUUCGGAUUUUUUAAAAGUGGCGGUCAUUGGCUCCAGAGCCAAUUGUGCCAUCCGCUCUUCUACCUUUGUUGCGCUAUCGUGGUCAGCGGGAGCCAUGAACUCCAUUGGUAGGAUGAACAUCAUGUUAACGUCAGCAGCCGAACCCUGAUCGUUGUUUUCUUCAUCGGCAUUUCUUCUAGGGCGCCAAACUUGAGAUCUGACUCCUCUUUUGUCUAAUGCUUGCCUCUGUUCUUCCUCUUGUUGUUCCCAUUGGCGUAAGCGCUGGACCCUUCUCUUCUGGGAUUUGGUCAAACCAUCUGGGUUCACUGGUUUACACGGUGACUUCGUACAUUCCCAAUCCGGUUCUCGGCCCAACGGAUUUUCAUCAGAGAUUCUUGCGUCGGCCAUCUCUCCUAGCCGAUUAUAUGUGCUAGCUUUGCCCCCCAGCCGAUUAUACUCAUUUAUUCUGCCCCCCUAGCCAAUCACGUACUGAAACGCACUUGUCUUCUUGUUGAAGCCUAUUUCUGCUGAUCGGCUCCUGUCCUUGAUCUUUGGAGCAUGACCUCUUGAACGGAUGGCUGCCGCGGUACUAGCCAUUGCACUCAAGGCAGUUGUCGGCCGACGACAAUCUGAUAUUAUUUUCCCAAUAGUGGAUGAAGAAUGGACACCUCCAGUGGUCCUCAUGUCGUCACAUUAUCUCUUCCCAGCUUCUCGUCUCUUCCUGUUGCCUUUGGUACUUGUUGAGUAGAUCUCGAGAUGUUGAUAGGCUGAUGGGGCCUCUCCAGGUUCUCAUCCUCUAUUUCUGCUCGGCCCUUACCUUUAACAUCACCAGCCGAGACCUGAUUCUAGGGGUCCACAGCCCUGCUCCUCCUGGACUGUCAUCAAUACAAAUCUACUUUCUCCACCGGGCGUGCCAAAAGUGUGUUGACGCAAAAAAUUGGACAGUAGCCCCAACUCCUGCAUCGAUUCUGAUGUCCGCACCUUGGUCUGGAGUGCAUUCUUUCUGCCGACGUCGACCAUGUUGGCUGGGAAGGGAUGCUUGUCGACCGACUGUAUCUGCUGGCGGAAGACUUUGCACUCAUUGGUGUCAUGAGAUGUGGCAUUGUACCAUUUGCAGUAUUUCAUCUUCUUAAGCUGUUUGGCCGACGGGAGGCAUUGUACCAUUUGCAGUAGGGCGAGAGCUUGAUCUGUCCUUCCUGUAGUAAUAAGUCGAAGAUCUUAUCGGCCUUAGAUGUAUCGAAGCCAAACGUCUCCGGUUCCUUUUUCCCAAAUGGGCACGAGAUUGACUUUUUGCCUUUGACCCAUUCUUCCAAGCCAAUUUCUGCCUCCUCUUCUAAAUCAGACCCCCCACGUACGCCACUUUUUUCUAGAAAUUUCUUCAUUGGUCAAAGGGGCGCACCUCCUAGCCGGACAGCCGGUGUACUUUCUAGCUCAGGUUCUCAAACUCCUGGGAAGCAUAUUUUUCUUUGAUGUGCAGUAGGAGCUCCUAUAAAUGGUAUCGACCAGCUGGCCAUCAGUCAAAACCAAACUGUAGCAUUUGUUCUUGACCUCUCCAAACCUCUGUAUAUAGCUGGCCACCGACUCGUCGCUUCUUUGCUUGAGGCUAGUAAGAUCUAAUAGCUUCAUCUCGUGGACCCCCCGCAAAGAAAUACUUAUGGAAUUGUUUCUCCAAAUCGACCCAAGUGACGAUGGAGUUGGGCGCCAGCGUAGUGAACCAUUGAAAGGCCAACCCGGACAAGGACGAUGAGAACAACCGUACCCUAGAGCAUCUUGUGCAGCAGCUUCUCUACACUGGAUGAUGAAUCUGUUGACAUGCUCCACCGUGGAUGUGUCAUCUUGACCUGAGAAUUUAGUAAAGUCGGGCACCUUGUACCGAUGAGGGAACGGCAAUAGGUUGUAGGCGGGUGGGUACGGCGUCCUGUAUGUGUAGGUUUGUACCUUUGGCUUCAAUUCGAACUGGUCUUGUAUUAUAUCAGCUAUUCUUGCGGUCCAAUCCACCUCCUGCUGAUGUGCAAUCGGCUGAGCCAUCGGCAUAUGCUGUUUAACUUGUGGCACCGUGAUUGGGUAGAAGAUUGGAGCGUGCUGUAGAUCUUGCGGCUGGACUAUUGACUGAGGAACCAAUGACUGCUGACGAGUAGGAUUGACGUGUUGUAGCGCAUCUACUACCUCGUCGUACAAUACCAUUAGCGCCGUAGUUCUGAGGGGGUCCGAAAUGCCUACCCCCCUGUCGGUUUCUGGAGCAGUCUGUUGAUAUGGCAGGACUGUCGACCGAGAAGCCGAUGGAAAUGAUGUCUGCACUGGAGAUUUCGGGACGUAAACUCCUGGAGGCACUCCGUAACCAGUGGAUGGAUCCAGAUCGACAGAUAUUCCCGCCGUUCCCUACUGCGCUGAUGUCACCAACGACGGUUGCACGGGAGGGAUAGGUGCAGGGUUAAACAGUACUUCCGAUUGAGAAGGUGGUGCACCGCUAUAACCUAGGGGCUAUGUGGUGUUGUACCCCCCAUUCUGCAUCUGCAUCGGCUGAGGAGCCGACUGGAACAUGCUAGGUGCCACCGAGAAGCCUCUGACCGGUGCGCUAAUAGGAGGGGCAUAAGCUGGCCCCUGAUACCCCUGUGCCACACCAUUGGCCAUGGAGCAGAUGACGGCGUUGUACACUGUGUGAGUCAUCACCUUGGACUGAUCAAUCAUAGCCUGAUAGACAGACUACUAGAUCAUCUCAAACAUCUUCCUCGAGUCUUCGACAAUGGUGAUCUGGCGAGGAGUCGGGAGAGCGGUUUUCUUGACGGGUUUCCCGCUCCUGGUACGGUUGUAGGAUUGCAGGCAUGCCUUCUUGAAUUCUUCCAUAGCCUUUGCCAUCUCAUCCCUCUGGUCAUCCUUGAGAUCUGCCUCGGUGACUUCAAUGAUGUUGUCUUCUGAGAUUUCAGCAGCCUUCAUCAUGUCGAAUCUUCCUUUCGGUCCCACCAGGCAUGCCAAAAGUGUGUUGACGCAAAAAAUCGGACAGUAGCUCCGACUCCUACGUUGGACACACGACCCGAGAGAAUCUGCUUAACUCCUGUUCGGGUUAUUAUCCUGGUGCGGUUCACGCGGCAUGCCAGUCAAUCUGACCUGUUGAUUGACAAGGAAGAGAAGAUGUCAAAUUCUAGAGAUUUGAUCGGCUGAGGUUCUGAUCUACUCCAAAAAUGUAUCGGCGGAUUGGCCGAUUUAACGUAAAGAUGACCGGCUAUGAAACAAUCGAUAAUCACGUGGCAAGUGUAAAGAUGGGACGGAUGAAUGGUUUGAAUGGAACAAGAGGGCAAAGGAGUGGUUAAGUGAGACUUCAACCCUAUCAAACAGACUAGAAAAUCCAUCGUUAAUUCAAUUUUUUCAUUAAUUGCUUCCGUCCUGUAGACAGGAACCAAGAUGUUCUUGCUCGAGGUAGGUCGCAUGCUGGAAGGUGGAAUGAUGAAAGAGCUAUCCAUCAAGAUAGGCUACAUACUGGAAGGAGCAGUGAUGAAGACAGGGCUGUCGGUCAAGGUAGGACGCACGCUGCAAGGAGUUGCAUUCCUCAGAGUCCUAAAUAUUAAAUGCAUUAUGGUAUGGAAAAUUACUUAUGCCAACAACUCCGAGAGGAGCACUGUUUUUUUUUACCUUUCAUUUUGUGAAAAAUGUUAACCAAUCAUACACAAAGAAAAUGUUAAGUCUCAUGAACUAGACUUUAGGUGAAUUUACAAUAUUCUAAAAAACUGAAAGGAGCUCUUGAUAAUUUCAGAUUCAGACCAACUAUCGGACAAUAAUAACAUGGAAACUGAAGAAGUACAAAAGGAUCAGCGUCUUGCAGGUACAUCAAAUCGUACGACCACUGAUACAAGUGAAACAAAAAUCCUUUUCUUGAUAAGAUCAAAUUCAUAUGAUAUUUUCAUAAAUAAGUUGCUAUUUUAAUUACCGAGAACUUAUAAUUUGUUGUUUAAUUUACAAUGUUGAUAGCUUUGGAAGCUGUGAAAACAUUUCUGUCAACUGCCCAUUUAGGUGAUUCUUGCCUACAUUUCUGUGGUUCAAUAAAAAGGGCAUUGGGGUGAUUAAUGCAAACAAAAAUAAUGAUGGUGUGUAGAGAACAGAACUAAGAACUGCCCAUUUAGGUGAUUCUUGCCUACAUUUUUAUUUCAUAAAUGAUCAAAUUAAUCUGAUAUUUUCAUAAAUGAUUCAGGUGACAAAAAUGUUAAACAGAAGCAAGGUCGUGGAAAAAACAAAUGUAAAAAGGUUGCUAAACUAAAGCCAGGUGAGAAAAUUAAAGUGAGGUUCUAUAACAAGCGGGCUAUAUCUAAAGUAUUCGCACGACAGUUGGGUAAAAUAGUGUGUGAUACUAACAUCAUCCCAGUAAGGGUUAAGAAAUGGACAGACAUAAGUCGAGCAGCUCGGAAGCACAUUUUUGCUGCAAUUCAGGUAAACGUUCCCUUAUGUAGCUGCAUAUUCUUUUGUUUUUAUCCUUUAGUGAUCAUAUCUUCAUAUUACACUAUUUGUUUGACACAUAUGCAGGACAAGUUUGAAAAUGCAGAUCGAAAUAUUGAUGUCUACGAAGAUCAGAUCAUGGAGCAUGCUAGAGAUCUAUGGAACAAUUGGUGUCGAGACUUGAACCGGCAUUUUGUUAAGCCACCAAGGAAUAUGCAUCAUGCUAUUAAGAACUGUCCUAAAGAGAUCCCAAAAUCUGAUUGGGAGUGACUUGUCAAGGAACAUUUCUAUGCCAAGGAGUUCAUGGUAUGUGUUAAUCCUAUCUCUUAUAUAACAAUAACUUGUUUGGUUUACAUGUGACACCUUGUGAUUACCCUUAGCAAUGUAAUUUCAUCAAACUGUAGGCAGAAAGCAAGAGAAACUCUGGAAAUAGAUCCAACCUAAAAAUUCUUCAUUGCAGUGGAAAACCAUACAGAGAGAUCAUCUGGGACAAUGUAUGUAUAGACUAUACAGACUAUAUUGCUCACUACUUUUCCACAGGUCGACUUCCAUUACAUAUGUUCCAAUAAUAUUCUAUCAAUAAUAGGGUGGCAACAAAACAAUCCUCCAACUCUGGACACCUUAUUUUCUAUCACUCACACAAAGGGUGGAACUUUUGUGGAUUCUAAAGCCUCCAGCAAACAUGUAAAUUUCUAGUUUCAAAUGGAUGCUUUUUUGUUUUGUGUUACCUCACAAUUGUGACAAAUCUGUUGGUACAAACCCCUAAUUCAGAUUGCUUUGCUCCCAGGCACAUAUUCAGGAGCAAAGGUUGUUGAACCCUUCUCUUUCUAAUGUGGAACUUGCGGACAAGUGCUUCCCGUCCAAAAGACGUGACCAUGUAGUUGGUUAUGGUGGUGGAAUAAAAGCAAGAGACUUGAGAAGUCCAGCUGUUACCAAGGCUGACUGAUAGAAAAACUAGCACAAUCUGAGCAAGCAAGAGAAGCACUUAGGCAAGAUAAUCAAGUCCAUCAUGAAGAAAAUUGAAAGGUUAACAAUCGUAUGAGACAAAUGGAAGAAGAAUGGGCACUGAUGAAGAAGCAUAUGAGUGCUAACUGUAGCCAACAUGACUCAUCAGGAUCAGCUGUAAGCAUGUUCACUCAAAAAUAUCAUUUAUUCCAAAUUUCUUUCCUUUGUUGGGUGCUAAUUUGAAACUUACAUACUGCAGGGAACAAGAGAUCAUGAUGGAUAUUAGAAGAAGGACAAGUGAAUGGUUCAUGAGGAUGUCACCUUGCAUGAAUAUGCAUAUUCUUUUGCUUCUAGGUUUUUUUUUACAGGAUGGACCUUAAGUUAGCCUAUGUUAGUUUCAUGUCUUGGAUUGUUUCUUCUCCAUCUCAAACAUGUUGAACUAUGUUUGUCGUUGCAAAUUAAUUAAUUUUACAUGAAUUAUCCUAUUAUCAAAAGAUAUAUCAUUCUUCUACAUGGUGCAAAGUGGUGGUUAACUCCCCACAAGUAGCUGGUGUGAAAAUAUUAGCCAUAACAGUGUGGUUGUUAAUGUUGCCUAACUGGUUGUUGAUGCUAUGUAUACCUACUGAAUUGUUGUUAACAACAACAAAAUUGUGGUCGUUAUUACUAAGAACUGGUUGUUGAUCCCUCAUGCAACGCGGCGUAAUAAUACUAACAAUAAAAAUUGUGGUCGUUAUUAUUAGAAAUGUGGUCGUUGCUAGUAAAGCAUCAACGACCACACAUUGUGCCGUCGUUGCAAAGGUAACGACGGGAAACUAUAUGUGGUCGUUAAUAGUAUUAACGAUAGAGCUUUUAACGACCAUGGACGACCACAUUUUUGUGGUCGUUAAUAACUUUUAACGACCACAUCUAGACUUUUAACGACCACAUAUCCCGUCGUUAAUACCACUUCCUCUUGUAGUGGUGGAAUGUGUACAUGUUGUCAGGAAUCUGCACGGGACUUCAAGACUCCUUAGCUUCUUCAGUUUUCCAAUAGCCAUAGGUAUCUUAGAGUCCGAGAAUAUAAAUUAGGGAGUCAUUUUCUAAGUUUCCUUUUAGUUUUCCUAAGAGUCAUAGUAUUAAGUGUGCACCUCUCCCUCUCUAUGUAAAGGGAUGCUAUGUAUUGUGUUCAGUAGAGUUGAUGAAUUGAUAUGAUAUGAGAACUGAGCAUUUCUCUUCCUUGUGAAACUCGUAGACUAACUUCCAGUGCUAGUUGAUCUCGUCGAGUAACCUCUGAGUUAUCCUAGUUGAGAAACCCAUUGAGUAAUCUCCGGUGCUAGUUGAUCUUGUUGAGUGAUCUGCAAGUGAUUCUUGUUAUCUAAUCCACCCACCGCCACGCUUCCAUAUGUUUUCAUCCCCUCCAUUUAGUUACUAGACCUUGAGUGCUCCUAUCAGAUUGUGUGAACCUUGCUUAUGUUGCUAAUAGUUUAUGAAGCCCUCAUUUUUGUUUUGUGGCUUUGGCAUGGUGGUAGUUGAGGGUUCUCUUGUAUGUGACUUGAGUUUGGUGUCCGUGGUAUCUUGUAUUGGUAUUGAGUUGGUUGUCUCUAUUGCAUUUGGAAUUGAUGAGGUAUUGUAGCUUGAUGAUUGGGAGUAUGAGUGCAAAGGCUAGUAAUAACAAAGUAACGGAUAAAGCCGGCUUAUGCCAUAUUUUAAAGGGCAAUAUUGUUGAAGCAUCAACUUAUAUCAUAUACCCUCGGAUCUUGUGGAAAUGUAAUUUACCAUUCUACUUCACGAUUUCUUCUUUUGUUCUUAUUGUCUCAAGGUGUUUUUGUGAUGCAUGACCUGCUCCCUUUCGGUGAAAUUUACAAUAGAGCUCUGAAGGGUCCCUAGGGGUGAAAUUUACGAUAGAGCUCUAAAGGGUCCCUAGGUGUGCCUGUACUGCUUCCUCCUCUUCUUCGCUAGGCCUAGUCACUACAGACUCUAUAGUUAUAUUGUUAAUGUUAUUGGUGCCACUAGGUCUCAAGCUUUUAUACGGGGAAUUUUGUUGGAUCCAUGGUUCAUCCCUAUCAUUAGGUUGUUAGAUUUCACAAACUUGGCAAUCAUCGGAAGGAGCUCUGAUACAGUUCCUUGUGCAAAGUACUGAGGCACACUGCCUUAUUAUGAGACCUCUAACAAUGACUUCGAUUACUAUUGAAACGAGGACAUUUGUUACUUGAGCUUUGAGCUGAAUAAAAUUCUUCAUGUAUUCUUCUAGUGGUUCUUUUCUUGCCGCAUGUAAUUGAAAUGAUAUGUAGAGGUAUUACCUGUAUGGUGAACCCUUAGAAGUUCUUAAGUAGUCCCUGAGCUGCUCCCAACUAUAAAUUGACCCAGGUUCCAGAUUUGCAAGCCAUGUUUGAGCGACUCUACGCUGCAAUGAUAGAUCAUUUUCCUAGACUGCUUCCAUACGCAGAGGCCACUGCUCAUUAAUAAUUAUCUUGGGUAUGACUCACCUUCGAAGGUAGGUAACUUUGCUGGCUUGUAGCCUACUGGCCAGGGGUAGAUUUGCAACCCCACUGAACAUAGAAAAGACAUCAAUUGUUUCCAUCAGCGAUGCGGUUUCUAGUGCAAUUUGAUUGCUUUCAUUUAUGUAUUCUUGAGCCAACACCAAGUUUGGAAUUCCCGCCUCGUGGGUGGCUUCCAGUGCUAAGAGUUACACAUCCAUUUGGGCUAACAGAUUUUCAGCUCUGGAUAUUUCUUCUGGUAAUUUAGUGUUGUUUUCUUCAUUGUGUUUCCUUGGAGGGCUUUCUCUUGAUUCGAAUAUGUUUUUGGAUCACUUCGAGUCUUGCAUGCUAUUCUUGUUCCAAUGGAUCUUUGCUUCGGAAAUCUGCUGCUGAAGCGAUUUUGGUGGUAGCCUUUUUCUUCCAUGGGCAGUUUUUGACCUCAUAUGCAUAUAUGUUUGUGUAAGUGCUUUGGGGCCUUCCCUUGGAAUGUCAUUCAAUAUCGCUUCUGCUUUAGUGUAGUCUUCUAAAUUCUGAUUGUUUCAGCGUAGUUCUUCCACGAUGGCUCUGCUACUUUGUUGAAUUGCUUCUAACCAUAUAUUUUGUUCAACAACUGGAUAGUUAUCUAAAUGGAUAGGGACUUUCUACUCACUCAUAGGUGUCUAGAUUGCCAAAAAAAGGCGAGGUGAGUCGACUCAACACCUCGGCCAUUGAUCUGAAUUUCACCAGCAUCCGAUCCCCAAUUCUUAUUCACUCUAGAUGAUCGUGUUGGGUAAAUUGUUUGCUUCAUUGUUUUGGGAGAGUUUCUUUGAGUGGUUGGAUUUUUGCGCUUAUGGGUCUCUAGAUCCUUGCGGAUUUGCUAAACUUUUAUUUUGGGCUGAAGGGAUAUUGAACUGGAUCUAAGCUGUGUCGAUCCCUACAAUGCAACUAUUAGGAAAUAAAUUUUGCCAACAACAGGAACAAUAAAAGGUGGAAAAUAACUAAAUAAGAGAACUGGCUACAGUACUCUUUUAAUUUCUAGCAUGAAUCUGAGAACAGUCCAAUAAUUAAUUAACUAUUUUCUUAAUUAUUUUUUUUGUCUGGGUCCUGGAUGGGCUGGCGCUACCCUUGACCAGCCCAUGCCUGUGCGCCACGUGAUCAAUCCCCAUCCGCAUCGAUCGCUUUGUCCCUUCCCCCGAUCCCCAUUUUUGCUGCAUUUUGUGUGCCUGGCAAGAGGUCUAACCUCCAUCGAACCAAAAUCGCUAAUUAGAUUGGACAAAAGUGCAAAUUCUAGGAGUAAUUGCGAAGAGUCAGCGGCACGAGAUUGGACAGAAAGAUUCUAGGAGUAAUUGAGAAGAGUCAGUGGGAUGAGAUGACAAGGCAAGGAAGCGACUUGCGAAACGGUACUAGGAUACACGCAUAAAUGGAGCCACGUCACUCUCGGCCCGCCAUUAAGCGCCGCUCGGGUGGUGCCACCCAUGCUGCCAUCCGCGUAAGAGCUCUCGCCAAGCACACGAAACUGCACAAACAAUGGGGAUAGGGAGGAAGUGAUGAGCAGUCAACGCUAGUGGUGGGUCACACGGUGGACAGGCAUGGGCUGGGCUGGGCAAGAAGGGUAGGCUCAGACGAAAAGUAAUAAGUAAGAAAAUACUUAAUUAACAAAUGGGCUGCUUUAAGACUAGUGCUAGAAAUUAAAAGAGGAGUACUGAAGUAGUUCUCGGAAAAUAAAUGGGAUAAUUCACGAUUAAUCUCCAAAAGUAAGAUUACAAUGCGACUACCCUUGGUGUUGUAGGGUGAGCUUGGGGCGCUUAUGCAAUUACAAUGUUUUACUCUUGCAGUAACUAUAUUAUGCGGAUAUCCGAGGGCACAAUGAUCUUUCUAUGAGAAGUAAAACUCAAUACGCAAGCUCUAGACAGACCUCUUGCUGUUGUCAUGGCACUUGCCAGGCUUCUUGUCUUGCGAAGGCCGGUGAGGUCGCCGUGGACUUUCUUGAUGCUCCUCGGGCCUCCUUUGCAGUCAAACCUUUGAACAUGCUUCGCUCCUGAAACUCGACCUGUUAGUGAAGCCUGACCGUGGCUGCCCGUUGACUGUCACGCCAACUAUCCUUCCUAUGCCUUCUCACCAUGGAAACCAACUUGUACAAAACCCUUCGCUGGAGAAGCGGAAUUAGACCGGGAUCCUUUUCCCAACAAUUGAGAAAACAAAAAAAAAGUCCAAUUACCUAGGAGAAAAUUGUCCAUAUUAUCUCUUCUAAAUGGAUGAUCGGCAUAGUUUGUACCAGUACAACUUAAGAGAGUGUAGGUACCAUAGAAAUCUCUAUAGAUACAAGGAGAUACCAUAAAAAAAGUCGAAUUAUUCAGAACAUCAUAGUUUUGGAGCGUGUCAAUUAAUCAAUUUAGAAACAAACAAACAGCUAUAAGGAGGUACAUCGUUGCAAGUACAGGAGCGACUUACAAGUCACACCCACGACCCACCGAUACAUACAAAUAUACUCAAGACUUAAAAUGUAGCUCACAAAGAAGUGUUCUCAAAACAAUAAAAUAAAUGCGGGACAAUCUUGGCUCAGUAUGCACGGAUCCAUCAUUCACUGCUGUCCUGAAUCACAUAUACCCCAACAGAUGAGUCAAGUUGAGUUCAAGGGGCUCUUAUUACGACCUCCCAGCAGGCUGAAGAUUAUGAUGUAAGGCCAGAAGAGAUACACCAUGUUUACUAUGAAUGCAGUUGUUAACUUGACCAGUGGCGCCGGGCCUCCCCUUCUGUUAAGGACGAUAACUGUGUCAACGAACAGCAGCCACAGGAAGCGAAGUGCGUCGAGCAACACAAGAGCUGUCAUCGUGGCCGUGGCGAUGGCGGUCGCCAGGGCCACGGGAGAAAGCAGUAGAUAGAGCGCAAAUGCGAAGGCCGCGCAGAAGCUUCUGGCGGCGCCGUUGAGCAAUGCCAACGAGAUGGACACCAGCUUGAUCCGUUUCUCUACGUCAACUGCAGCCAUCCCGCAGUAGACGAGACUGAAGGUGGCUAUUGUUGAGCAGCUGAAUGCCAAUGUGUUGGCGAGAACGAACCCGUCGAAAGCAUAUUUCCCAGCCAAGAUCGGUGUCCCGAUGGGGCCAACUGGGCUUGGUGCAGCGGUGGGUGCCUUCGUGUCACCCGCGCUGUCCUCGGUCCUGAAACCGCCGGGCAUUGUGAAGACUGCCGCGAAUGUGGCCGUCGCGACAAGCACCGAGCAGAUGCCCACAAUCUGUGCGAACUCCGUUAUCUUUUUUGACUCUUCAUCCUUGUUUAGCUUUGGAACAAGCUUUUCUUUGAAACGAUCACGGCGACAGUUACCAUUCUGAGCAUUUACAAAACUCAGGGUACCAUGAAUCCUACGCUGUGCAUGCUGCAAGACAAAACGUACAAGAAGGUUUAUUAUACUUUGCAAUAAAUCGUUUUUUCUCAACCGUCAGUGUCUAGUACAGACUAAAGAGUAUUAAUUUGUGAUAAUUUUUCACUGGAACUUUACGUCGUGUAGCACUAAUAUAUCCUAGGGCUAAGACAAAAAAAUUUCUCAAGUGACAAUUAUUCGUACAAAAAGAAUUAAUUAAGAUUUUAUCUUUUUUCUAAAUAAAUGCAAAAUAAAGAUUAAGGGUAGUCGAAUUACUUACCAUCCCGAAAUAAAAGCCUGGUAGAGCUUUGCUCUCGGCAAGAUCCAUGGGGGUUUUCCCUUCAUGAUUUGGCAAGUUCAGGCGAACAUGUGGGUUGAUGAUGAGAGUCUGGAAUAUGCACAAAUGUCCUUCAAGGAUAGCUAGAUGCAGAGCAGUGUUCCCUUGGUUGUCCUGUAUAUUCAGGAUUGAGUUAAACUGUGGUCUCAUGCGCACAAAUUUCACAAUAUUGUGACUCCUCUUCUCAACAGCAGUAUGAAGGAAGGUCCUGCCCUGAGAAUCACGCAAUCCAGCGCAACCAGGGCACAUGAUGAGCAAGAUGAUUACAGCAACCAGGUUGCCUGCCGAGGCAGCGACGUGCACCGGAAACAGCCCAUCGUUGUCAGGCUGAAACGCUGAAGAUGGAUCGGCAUCCACCAGUUGGUAGAGAGGAAGGUUCAAGCACCUGUAUAAUUUGAUAAGCCAAUUCUGCGGUGCGAAGUACAUGCCCAACGAGUAAAAUUCGAGAGUCCUCUCCAUGAAGACAUAUACGAAGAAUUCGAGGGAAGGAUCAUCUGCUGAUGCAGCGAAGUGCAUUGGCGUACUUCCAGAGAGGUCCUGUUGUCUGACCAGUAGGUCCUUGUUCAGUUUAAGUAGAGCUCUUGUCAUCUCUGCAAGUACAGUUAAUCAGUAGUGGAACUUAAAAGGGAAACUGAACUGCAGUACAAGAUACAAAUAGCACAAAUUCUACCUUUCUCCUUUGGGGGAAAAAUAGAACAUAAAACAAAAAAGGCCCUCUGUUUCAAAUUGUAGGUCGUUUUGACUUUUCUAUGUUCAUAGAUGUUUGUAUGUAUCUAGACAUACACUAUAUUUAGAAAACCCAAAACAACCUACAAUUUCGGAUGGCUGGAGUAUUGGAAAACCGCACAUAUGAGCGGGAAUAUUCAUUAAUAUCCAUUAUAUCAAAAAAGAACUGCAUGUUUUACAAAGUCCGGUGUAACCAAGGUAUCGACUUACAAAUCGCUAACUCAGGUAACUUAUACUCUCCUCCAGUGGUGAAGCCAGCCAUGGCCUAUAAGGGCUUAUAGGCUGCCCCCCCCCCCCCCCCAACACCCCCGCCCCACUCCUGGCUCCGCCAUUGCUCUCUUCAAAUGGAUCCUGCAGAUUUUGGGUAUGUGCGUAUCGACUCUUUCACGAACACUCUCAUCAUCAAGUGGUACAUGUAUACAAGGUUUGUAUGUUGUAGAGUUGGUGGUAUAUUGCAAUUGGCAAAGUCUUGGAGGUACGUAGGGGGGAGGAAGCACAAGGGGAUUUCAAUUUGGUUGUGCUACUUGAGUACUGGUUCCUUGAGCUCGUGCAGAAAUUCUUAGGUAUAGCCUUAGCCGGUUGUACUUAGCAUUAGCAACGUUCAACAUUUGCAAACCUAGAGAAUAUGCCUGGAAUAUCGAAAGCUCCAUGUUUGGCGUUGGAGUUUGAAUUCAGAAGCAAACACUAGUUCACUGUGUGAAAAUGGCUAAAAGGUGGGCAAAUGAUGAGCAUGGCGCCCAUCACAUAAACUUUGUCACUAAUGAUUCAUAAAAGGUGACGGGCCAUCCCUUAUGACAUAUAGCUAUGAUGCCCAAUAGUUAUUGCCCAUCACUAUUGUGCAUCACCCAGAGCCUAAGGAGCUGCAAAGCCUGUCGGAGAUGGUAAGUGAUAGGCCUCCAUGCUGCCGUUACUUAUGAAUAAGUCACUGGUGACCGGCCUUCAUGUUUUUCAUAACUUAUGAGCUCUUAAAAUUUUUUAAAAAUUGCUUAUUAUCUUGUCAUACGUUUCCUAUAUAUUCUCGCUGAUUUACUAAUUUCAUAUUAUGUGUUACCAUUCUAGUUUUAUCUUCAGUCAAAUAUUUAUAUCUUUGACCAUCAUAUCCUAAAAAUACAUAUAGUUUAACAGCACACAUAUUAUAUAUUAUGAAAACAUUUCUUAUGGUGAAUCCAAAUACAUAAAUAUUAUGAUGUUAAACUAUAGAAAUUAUUUUAAAAAAUAAUGGUCAAAGAUAAAAUGGUUAAACUAUAGAAAUUUUAAAAAAUAAUGGUUAAAGAUAAAAAGGUUAGACUUAGGAAAAAAAUUAGAAUAAUGAUAACUACUACAAAAUGGAGGAAAUAGAUUUAAUAUUAAGUGUCAGGAAUACUUUACUUUUGCUGUGGAGAACAGCAGGAUGUAAGGCAUUCUGUCCAAGUGGGCCGGAGGUCGCGAGCUGCUCGUCCUGAAAUAUCAACUGACGAGCAAUAUCGUUGUGAUGCAGCGAGGUUGCCAGGUACAACGCCGACGUACCAUCCCUUGCAACCACACGGGCCAACUCUUUGUCCUCGGCCAUCAACGCCUCGACCAUACGCAUGCCUGUCUUGUGGCCAAAGCGGACGGCCUCGUGCAGAGCCGUCUCCCCGCGCUUGUUCUGCAUCCUUACCAUGGUCUUCUUCUGGUCGCAGCCGUCAGCCUGCCCAACAAGCAGGGAGGUCAUUUGAGCGUUCCCCGCCCGCACGGCACAGUGCAGCGGCGUGUCUCCGUUGCCAUCGCAGGUGAACAGCAACUGGCUGGCCUUCUUGCAGAUGGCCUCCGCCACCUCUAGGUACCCUUGCUUGUCUCCACUGACCGCAACCACAUGGAGCGCAGAGGCUCCCUCGGUGGCAGCGGCUGAUGGGUAGAGUAUAGGAGCCUGGGCCUCUUCCAAGCGAAUGGAGACUUCGCGGGCCAACGCAGCGGCCGCAGCUGAUCCUCCGUCUUCUUUGCUGAGAAAUUCCUGUAGCAGCUGCAACUUACCGGAGCUUGCCGCCCUGAGGAGCUCAGGUCGCCGGACCACGGUGAGGUCUUGCACACGCUCGUUAGCUUUCUUAUCAUGGUUACUUGGCUCCAUUGGCGCACACUACUUGGAUUAUAGAUGUGGUGGUGGCGAUAUGUGGCAGAGCAUACGAGGGUUCACCGUGCUUAGAUGUGAGUGACUCGAUAUAUAUAUAUAUAUAUAUAUAUAUAUAUAUAUAUAUAUAUAUAUAUAUAUAUAUAUAUAUAUAUAUAUAUAUAUAUAUGGUUUUGAUUUGGCUGAAUACCAGAGACGACUUUCUAGAGCUAGCAUCUGUCCCUUGCGUACGUUAAACUUCAGGCUGCAUCCGUGCAGCCCGAGGUCCUGCUCCUGCGGCCCCGCCAUCGCUAACGAUUAUUGGACCAUUCCGUGCAGAAUUUAUCCAAUGCGUGCUUAGCAGGUCUUCCUUUAUUCUAAAUCUGAUGCGUGGCGUCGAGUAACGGUUUGUUCCCGUAAAGCUAGGACUCUGGCUGCUUUCCCCAGCAGACCAAGCCCAAGGCAUGAUGACCUGCUGAUAUGACACAGUAGCUGAUUAAGCUGUAUCGUCAAAAGGCGCACAGCUGUUUCUGUUUCUGUGCGGAUAAUUUCAUAGAGAGUAGUAUUUUAAUCAUCAACAGUGGAAUCGUGAAAGUGAAGACCCUGCUAAUUUUGUGUUUCAAAUUGGGAAGAAUUACAUAUAAAUGUUUUCGACAAAACUUUAGUGUAUUAGUCAUAUACUUCAUGUCGUUGUUACGCAGACGAUGACGAUGCCGAAAAAAGGUGCAAUGCGUGAACCAGCUCAACAUCAUAAAGUGGAACUAGGAGAGUUCGACCCUUAGACCAUUGUCGAUGUAAGUUCCAUGUGAGUUUCAUUCUCGAUCAUUAAAAGUGAUGACAUAUCAUACAAUUUAUGUGGAAAGAGAAUAAUUAGGUACCAAUGUUUCAAAUCGAUCAGGUCAUAUAAUAGAUGUUGACGAUCAAUCGUAUUUAAUAAAUUUUUAGUUAUAUAGCAUUUAAUAAAAUUGUGAGUAAGCUCACUUAUAUAUUAAGUACAUUUUAGUUAGAUAAAUGUUGUUUUGAAUUUAUUUUGGACAAAAGUUUAAAUGUUAUUAUAAUAUGUUUUAUUAUGUGCUAGAUAUUUUUUUGCACAAAUGACAAUACAGACGUGAAUGCUCAUAUACAUACGCUCCCACACUCAACCUUUUAUAGAUACGCACACUGAAUCCUGCCCCUGUGGGUAACAAAAAUGUAUUUGGAUAAGGUAGUUCUUAGUUGUGAGACCUUAUGAUAAUAGACUAUAACUACUGCAAAUUCCAUAAUGACGAGUUUAAAGGCAAGCAAUAGUGGUAGGGAGGAAAAAGAGAAGAGGAUGGAGACAGAUAAAUAUUCAUUUUAUUUCUUUUUCUUUAGACUACUAUAUAGACCACUCUCAAAAUGGUUCGGCUAGCUUUAUUGAAAAAUUUUAGUCUCUAUUAACUGAUUUUGGAGCAUACAGUAGACGCCCAUAAAACCCUCGAGAGAUUUAGCUGGCAGGUUCCAUUUCCGAAAUCUUACCUACGCUCAAUUUCCGAAACCCUUUGCAAAGAACGGGCAUUCACCUAGUUAAUUAUUGGCAAGAUCAUCGACCCACAGAUAAAUACACAAGUACUUGUUCAGGAUGUAUUUAUGGUUCAGUGCAAUGUCCAUUACAGGAUUCACAUGGAUAUUCAUUAAUACAACGUUUACAAACUUUGUCUACAAUGUUCUUUUUAAAUAGACUUGAACACACCACGUCAUUAAUAUUCUUUUCAAUGAACAUUGUGCCAAGGCAACAAUAAACCACGUACAUUCUUCACGAGUAAUUAUUACAACAUAAGACACUUCACAUUAUUUCCAGUUGUGAUCACUGGACGGCCGGAACUCCAUAACGGCCGCAGCCUGGGUACGGCGGCUUCCCAUUGACGUUGCCCGGCGGGUCAUGGCUGCAGAUGAUGAACGUGCCGCCACCGUGGCGCAGCCGACCCUCUUCGUCCUCGCCAUCACCUGCGUGUAGUGGCCACUGCACACUUCCGCCGCUGCGCGCAGUGGUUGCUCUUGCAGUCGUACGUAGUUGGCCCUCUCCUUCACCCAUGACGCGACGGCAUCCCCGGCCGCCCAAUCGCGGCUGGCGCUUCCCCAGAAGAUGUUCUCCCCGUAGGGCCCGCGCGAGUGCACGAGCUCGCAGUCGUGGGCCCGCCGGCCGGCGUACCGGCGGGUGUACGCGGCGAGGGUGGCGUUCCACGAGAGCUUGGGCACGCCAACCUCCGCACGGGCCGCGUUGUGCGGCUGCAGGAAGGCGGCCUUGUGGACUUCUGGGCGAUGGCGAGGUGGCCCAGCAGCAAGCCGAGGCAGACCACGAGUUCUAGUGUGGCAGCGCCGUCGUUGGAGCGCGCCAUUUCGAUUUGUCGUUGUGCCAAGGCGAGCUGCCUAUUCUGAUCGUUUUAUAUCUCUAUACAUGGCAGGGAAACGAUUUGCUUUCCAGGGGUGAUGUUGCGUGAGACUGUGAUCAUCAUGUUGCUGGCAGCAAGCACAUUUUCUGCUAUACAUGGAUUUGUUAGCUUGUUGGCUUGGAACGCUACGCAUGCCUUAAGGGGGAAGUCAGGACCAUCUUUUGGCAGUAGUUUUGGCCUACGUGGUUACAUUUCUUUACAGUGAUUGGUAAUGGGAUUUUCAGACUGCUUGCUGCUAACGGUAGCUCCAAUUUAUUAGAUCCCUCAAUAAUAUAUAUGAAAGAAAACAAUGAAAAUUUAGUGGAAAUGAAACCGCAAACAAGUUAUUUUUUUAAUGACAGUAAUUCUUUUUCUUUACUAUAUAUAUCUUUCUAAUUCUGAGGGCAAGCCCACUUUUACUUUCAGCAAAAAAGCAGUCAUUAUUUGGACACAACAUAGAACUCAGAAGCUUGUCAUUUGUCAACAUUAUACAUAGCCAACCGGGCCGCACGACACGGCAUUGGCAUGAGCACGGCGCGGCAUGGCACUAGGCGGCACGGCACUAUGCGGCACGGUGGCUUAGCCGUGCCGUGCCGUGUAGUGCCGCCGUGCCGACAUCACGGCCCUAUGGGCGGUUAGCCGUGCCGUGCCGUGCUGUCGAGCACGGUAGCCCGGCGUGCCCGCGCCGGCCGCGGCCCGCUCCGUCGUCGCCCGCGGGGAGCAGCUCCGCGAGCGAAAGAGAGUGGCGCCGGCGCGAGCGAGAGACGAGCGAUAGCGGCACAGGGAGGGAUGGGAGGCUGGGAUGAGUGUUUUUAUUUUAGGGUUUUUCAAUCGAGUACAUCCGACGACUGAGGAAGAAUAUCAAACAUCCAACGGUUCAUAUGAAUCGGGCCAUAUAGUGCCGGCCCAAUUUUCGUGCCAUGCCCGUGCCGGCACUGCGGGUCAGAUUGCCAGCCCAGUCCCGGCACUACCUACGGGCCGUGCUAGGCACUGGCAUGAUGGGUGUCGGGCUGGGCUGUUUUUGGACUGUACUUCUUCGUGUCGUGCUCGGGUCGGCCCGUCGUGUUAGUGCCAAAUGAAAAUCUAUAGUCAAUAUCCAUCAUCCCUCUUUGUAGGCUUCUCUUUUCUCGGCUGCCCAUGAGUUGGGCCGGGUGCAGUCCAGCCAGUAGCGUUUCCCGUCCAUCCCACUAGCUAGUCUCUUGGGCCGACAUUACUUGAGCCGAGAGAUAUAGAUAUAUCGUUCUUUGUCUGCGCACCCUUUACCAUUCUUUGGCGAGCGCGUGGGAACCAGCUGUGCACGUUCUUUCAUUCAUAUUCAAAGUUGAUGUGUUUCUGUGACUGGAAAUAUAAACAAAGAACGUUGACAUGCUGAUAGUUCAAACUUCCAAGAAUGAACAUUCAUGACCACGGAAAAAAAAGAAACAAAGAAACUGGAAAAUGAUCUAAUUUGAAGAAUUUGUUUUAUUCAGAGUACGGAAACAUGGUAAUACGAAUUCCACCGAACAUGGAAAAAUCUGGUACACAAUGUUUACAAUGGAAUGCAAAUAUUUGAAUACCAAAAAUUUAAAUAGCUUCAUGUAAUUUGUUGGAAAUGAUCUUGUGCUUACAAUCCAUUGAACUAGCAGACACCAAUGUGCUGUUUAGAAACGAUACAAUUAGUAUUUCACAUAUUCAAUUGGAAACUGGAAAAAUAUAACCGGAAACAUAGCUUAAAAGAUAUUGAGCAUUAUCACAUAUUUUAAGUGAAAAUUUGAAACUACUUUGAACAGUUGGCUCAACAUUCAAAAUAGGGAAAAUAUAUUGUUUCUAUGAUUGUAAUGAAACAAUCGAACAUCUCUUUUUUAAUUGUCAACAUGUUAAACAUAUUUGGAGAGUGGUUCAAAUACCUACUAGGUUAACCCCACCUAGAUCAAUAAAACAUAUGUUUGGGACACUGGUAGAGAAUUGGCCUUUAGUUCCGGUUGGUAAGGUGCAAAUCUCCCGAAAAUCCAUCCGGGAUAAACCAAUCGGGACAAAAGGGGGGUCCUUUUGUCCCGGGUUACUCAACCGGGACAAAAGACCCCCCUUUUAUCCCGGUUGGUAAUACCAACCGGGAUAAAACGGGUCACCACGGCAGGCGUUGCAAAAAAAAAACUCCCAGGCUCCCAGGAGGCCCCCACAAGUCACAAGUCACGCGAUUUUUCACGCGAAAUAUGCGCGUGCGUGCUGCGUGAGAUUCGAACCCACAACCUCCAGCCUCGCGCGUAGCUUCCUUGCCAUCCCACCUACACAGCACAUCUGACUAUAUAGGGGAUGCAGUCCUUUUGUGUUAACUCGUGGGGGACCCUUUUAUCCCGGUUGGAAACACCAACCGGGAUAAAAGACCCCCUUUUAUCCCGAUUGGUAUUACAAACCGGGAUAAAGGGUUCAAAGGAUUUAGUCCUGUUUCAGCCACCCCACCAACCGGGAUAAAAGGGGGUCUUUUAUCCCGGUUGGUAUUACAAACCGGGAUAAAAGGCUCUCGACCCUUUUAUCCCGGUUGGUGUUACAAACUAGGAUAAAAGGCCUCUCAGGGUCUUUUUUUUCCACUAGCCUUUGCAACCGGGAUAAAAGGUACCGGUUGAUGAGCCCCCCACCAGUGAUCGAGCUUUAGUCCCGGUUGGUGAACCUUUUAUCCCGGGCCAACUUUAAACCGGGACAAAAUGGGGCGCAUGGAAGGUGAAUUUUCUACUAGUGGGAAGUGGUUAACCGGCAUUGGAAAAACAUAAAACUUUACUCAUCAUGAGGGUGGUAGCUCCUAAGUGGGCUGCAUGGUGUACACAUAAUGAUUUGGUGUUGGAGAAAAAAAAUAUAAAUUCAUUUAUGCAUGUCAUUUUCAGGUAGCAUAUUGGCUGCGAUUUUGGUCCAUGUUGCAGCGUGAUGACACAAGGGAGACCAUCCUUUCAGCAAACAAAGAACUAGAGAUCAUCGCUUUGGAUAUAUUCACCAAGAACGGAUGUAGAAGCAAUAAUAGACUCUGCUUUUGAAUUUUGCAUCCCCUAUAUGUACUCAUUUCUCUAUUUUUGGUGUGCAGCUUCUAGGUUGAGGAUGAUGUAAAAACUUGAUUGUGUGUGGUUGUAGAGGUUGGAAACUAUUUUCUUUAUCUAAAAAAGAUGGCUCAACAUUCAUUGGGUGUGAUAUAACAUUUUCCUCUAAAAAGCUGAUCCAACAUUUUUCCUACCAACUGUUGAUCAAAUUUUUUUAUAAGACUAGUUGACUCAAUGUAACAAACAUGACUAUCGGGGGAAUGGUCCAGCCCAUGUAGGAAAUAGGCCUGAUGUGAAAGUCCAAGGGCUUGCUUGUAAAUAAUGUACCCACCAGGGCUAUGGUGAAAAAUUAUCAUCCCCUCCCUUCUGUAUACAAAGGACCCAAGAGAUCAUGAGAGGGGGACUCACUUGAUCUCUCCCUACUUGCUCCCAUGCUUUUGCACCUUCCUCCCUCUCAUUUAUACCCUCCUACCGUCCUUCUUCUCUCUCUUCUCUGUUCGGAGGAGUUACAUCCCCAACAAUUGGCGCCCUUGAGUUUGGCUAGAGAACAAAAUCCGAAGAGAGAGAAAAGAGAGAAAACAAAGGCUUCCCACACCCACUUUGACCCCUCAUCAUCAGUUCAACAAGCAGCCAAAAAUUCACGAACCCUUUGGAGUGAGGAAUGAAACAUUUUUCCUGGAAUGCAUCGAUCAUUUAUGGCGGCAGCUGGCAGCAUUUCCCAGAACGUCGGACGGGGUCGUACGAAGGAGGCAGAUCUAGGCUCCCGACACAACAAGGGCCUCAUCGUUCGAGGGAGGUAAAACCAUCAUACAGGCUUCUGAGCGAGGGUCACGUUCAAGCAUUACUCGUUCGUGGCCCUAAAUAUUUUAUUUUGUGAAAAUUAGGUUCCGAAGGGCAAUUGAACAUAAGAGGAACACUCAUUUUUGUGAUACGCAAAUUUUUCAAAUGUGAUUAUUGCCCGGCCAGCAUAGAGCUCCGCCUGAUGUUUCUUUGGCCCAAGACGAAGCCUGACUCAUUGAUGGUGGCCGAGGUGUUCCUCCAUUCGAGCUCCACCCCUCAACCUUUCACGGCCAAUUACCCCCUCGGUAGCAAGUACGAAGCUUGAGAUAGCCCAGCUCUACCUCCGGCUGCUAGUGAGCCGCUGCGGCGACGAAGCCCAUCUCAAAGCUAACCCCACUUCGUCAUCCAUCGCAAAAGGCUGCCCCCUCAAGGAUUUUCGGAAUGCAACGGCAAGGCCUAGGUACGCCACAGCUUAGCUAAAAACUGGUAAAGGGGUACAACAUACCAUAAGGUACAUCUAUUUCACUAAACCCAUUCGAACACGGUCAUUUGCAUGCUUUGCUGUUGAGGCAUCGGCUUUUCAUAUUUGAGCACGAGGGGGUUAGGACGAUAUGGAUUAUUGAUGAAAUCCAACUGCCCAAGAAUGGCAUUUCAUUUCACCCAUCCUGGUGGAUACAAAGACACACCGCAGGCAAAAAAGUCCCUCGGAAGCACAAAAAAGAAAUGGAAGGUCCGGCCCUUACUGCUGCUUUGCUAACCACUUAAUGUAGAGAAUGGCAAAUUAUGACUUGCAAUUGCCAAGUAUGUUCCCUUAAACCAACUUAUGCUUUGAUCUGAAAUUGCAUGAAAUUGUAUUGAUGCUUUUUUGGCCUGUUGCCCAGUGUCCAAUCGUAGAAUAAUUACCCAAAAAGAAGAUUAUUUGAUGCUGAGUGCUGAUUGUACUGAAGAUUUUUGUUGUAGACCGUGCGAUCGCUUGAUUACCCACCCAAGGAUCCUAUUUGUUGCAGAUCAUGGUGUUUUGUUAGUCUUGUUUUAAGAAACAACUUUUAGGUCAAUCAUUCAGUAUACAAAUGCAGAAUGCUGCUUAAAUUGCUUCAAGUUGAUGUUACUUGGCAAGUGUGCUUGUUACAAAAGAUUGUACCACAUCUAUUCCCAUUGUAUUGUGCCAUUUAGAAUGCAUCUUAUUAAUAUAUUAAUACAAGAUCUUUAUGAGGUAAUUGGUGUCUGUUACUGUUUAGCAAACAAAUUUCUUCUUCCCCCCUCAAGCAUGUAGGAGAGCUGCAUAUCAUUGCAUUAAUAGAAGAAAAGAGUCGUACAGAAACCACACACAUCUCCUAGAUAUAGCUCACAUUAGCGCCUAUUUUACAACAUAGAAACAUGACCCGACCAGAACAAAAUUCAUAUGAUGAGUAGUAGUAUUUGUAGUUGUCAUCAAGUUUUAAUGUUUUGCCUCAUAGUAAGAUGGUAGAAUGAUGGCAUUUCUGAAGUUAUGUGCUCAAUAUCUUUAUGAUAGGCUCCCGCUGAUGUGUUAUAAGUAUCUAUGGGACAAUUUGAUUGCCGAGAAAUUUCCAGCAGAGAAUUUCUUUAGCUACUUUGAUCUGGACCCCAACUACUUGUUAUCGAAUGAUGUCAAGUGGUACAUUCAAUUCGUUGGGAUUCAAUGCAAAGGUGCUGUGUCUCAUCUUUUGUAUUCCCCCUAAUAGUUCUCAGGCAAGGCAAUUUACUAUGAUUUUUCUUUUAGUUUUCUAUUAAAUGUGUAAACAACCAAUAAGUGGAAUAAAAAUUUAGUAAUGAAAAUAAAAAAUAUCAUUAGUUUGGAAAGCAUGCGAUUGAUCUUGUGUCGUAGCAACGCACGGGUAUUUUGCUAGUAAUAUUAAAGAUUACUAAAGCAAGGAAGCAAUCCUUCGUAAGUUCUGUCUAUCGUAAAUUUUUCGUUCGUCCGUUGAUUAGUGCCAACAAAUUCGGACUCUCGACCGAGCCGGAUUCAAACUGCUGUCGCAGUGCCUAGCUCGCGCGAUGCACGCGCGGCUAUAUAUAUAAAGCAGACGAUUCCAUGAGGGAGGAAUCAAUGGAGGUCAAAAGCCGAUUACAGAAUCUACAUGAAGUAGCCGCUGCGACUAGGCGAUCCAUCCUCGAGAACUAGGCGAUCAUCGCCUCGACUAGGCGAUCCAUCCUCGAGAACUCCCGCAACUCCGGCGAGGUCACGCGUUCCUUGGUUUUGUUGCUCUGAGCUUUUGGGUGAGUGGAAGGCGGGGGUCUCUCUCCAGCGUCCUCUCUCGCCCCUCCUUUCCUUUUCUUGCUCUCGAUUUUCUCCUCGGUCCCUCAUCGUGGGCAGCAGUGCGGCACUGCGGCUGUAUCGUCAGAAUGCUGCCCGCUGGGGGUACACGGGCAUGGGCUUGGACGGAACGUCGCCGCGGCAUGACGGGCACGCGGACCACCUCGCGGAUUGAUGUCGCGUCUAUGUGGAUGAAGGUGUUGGGGCCCAAGCCAUGACGUGUGUGUGCGGUUGAUGCAUUGAUAGCAUACAUAUGCUAGAUUCGUCAGGCAUGUGUAUGCGGUUGAUGCGAGGGAACACGAUAUACUUGCAUGCGCUUGAUGCAUAGAUAGCAUACAUAUGCUAGAUUCGUCAGGCAUGUGUAUGCCUAGGUAGCUAGUCGAGGAAUAAUGUUGAAGGCAAAAUGCCAAAAAGCCCAAAAAAAUUUUUGUCAGCAACUACCGCCGUUGUAUGUCAUCUACCACUAAGUAGAGAACUGAUCUUCCAUAUGCUCCCUUUUGUCCCCGUUUAAAGUUGGUCCAGGAAGAAGGCGCGCCACGGUAGGCUGGAAUGGAGCGGAGCUUUACUCCCGGUUGGUAUUUGCAAUCGGGACUAAAGAUCCCCCUUUAAUCCCGGUUGUAACGGCCAGAGUCCAGACAUCGGUGGCAUGCCCCUUUUAUCCCGGUUGGUAAUUCCAACGGGACAAAAGGGCCACCCUUUUAUCCCGGUUGGUGUGUUACCAAUUCCAACCGGGAUAAAAGGGUCACUUGGAAUUACCAACUAGGAGUAAACUUUCAACCGGGACAAAAGGUGUUCCUUUUUAUCCCAGUUGGAUUUUUUAACCGGGAUAAAAACUCAUCCCCCAUUAUAUCCUAAGACAGAGGCCUUUCUUCCUCCUCCAGCCCGAGCCAGUCCACUCCAUAAAGACAGAGAGCUUCACCUACUCUCCAGUAGCGCCGAAGCAAGGGAGGUGCUGCCCGAUUUUUUUCCCCUCAUUUCUGUGGGAAUUUUACUCAUCCAAAGUGUUGUGAAGGUUAGCUACUUCAUCCUCUUUGUUAUGCUUUGAUUUAUGCUUUAGAGAGGAAGAAAGAUGAGUUUGUUUGUUAGAAAGAGGGAGAAUGAAGAGGAUUUGUAUUUAUACAUGUUUUUUGAGCUAGAAUGUGAUGGACAGUUUGCUUUUUUUAUACGAUUCGUAUUAGUUAAAAAAAACUUGAUGUGUAGAAUGGAGAUGGAUAGUUUAUUUGCUAUAAUAUGAAGUAGAAAAUUGAGAGGAUUUUGAGCUAGAAUGUGAGGGAGAUUGGAGUGUAAAUGUGAGGUAGAAUUGAGAGAAUUUCAAUAUUAAUUAUGAGGACAAAAUUAGUAUGUCAUAUGUGUCAUAUAUAGUAUGUAUCCUUGCAGUGGUUUAAGAAUGAUGCCAACCUUGUCUAACGGUUUAUCUUGUCAAAUUCAAUAUGGUUUUUUAAAUCCAUACUUGUUGAACUUGCAUACCGUGUUCAUCUCCGUAAGCAUGUUCUUCGCCGAGCAGCAUCGGACGUCAAGGAGGAGCUCCGAUUCUACGAGAAAGAGCGGAUACGGAUAUCGUGGAAGACUGUGUCCCCUUUUUCAUAGAAUCAAAACUCUUCCAUGUCGAAGUACGGUUGCACCCAGUGGAAAACAUGCUCGCCGAGAUGAUCACGAUCUUCAAGUUCAACAAGUUCUACAGGCAUACCGUCUUCAUCUCAGUAAGCAUGUUCUCCACCGAGCAGCAACGGAUGUCAAGGAGGAGCUCUGAUUCUACGAGAAAGAGCGGCAACAGAUAUUGUGGAAGACCGUGUCCCCCUUCUCGCAGAAUUGAAGCUCUUCCAUGAUGAAGUACAGUGUCGCCUAGUGGAGAACAUGCUCGCCGAGAUGAUCACGGCCGUUAUGCUCUACCGUCAAUCCCGGGUGUUUCACGUCCACUUAGUACUAUCGUUGCAGGAGGCACAAAUAAACCACAGGAUGAGGCUGGGUCAGCGGAACCUUCGUCUUCGCCGCCCAAAGAUGCAUAAAAUCCUCCUAGAUAAUACUCAGUGGAUGGCUUGUCGUAGUAUAUCAUGUUGUUUGGAUCUGUAAUUUAAAUAUGUGUAUUUCUAUCUAUAUCUAAACUUUCAGCAUUAUUUGCACUACAAAGUUUAACAUGCUUUCAAUCAUGAAUAGCAUGUAGAUAAGUUGUAAAGCGUAUAAAAAAAUCAUAAUCCAUUUUCACGUGUAAUCCAUUUUCAAGUGUAAUCCAUUUUCAUGCGUAAUACGAUGCAGAUGGACUGACAAUGGAUGUAUAAUGCGGACAGAUGGAGCAAGGUGUUUAUUGAUGGCUUGCAUUAUUUUCUCAAAGUGACCAAAGCGAGCAAGUCAGAGAACGGGUUCGUAUGUUGUCCAUGCUUCCAAUGCAGUAACAAGAAGGACUAUUCAAAGGAUUCCUGGGGGACUAUUCACAACCACUUGUUUAGAUACGGUUUCAUGCCUAACUAUUUGGUUUGGACCAAGCACGGCGAAAGAGGGGUUGUAAUGGAAGACGAUGAAGAGGAGGAGGAUGAUGACAACAUUCCGGACUGGGUUGCAGGCCAAGCUUUUGCAGAUACUACAAUGGGUGACGCUGAUGAAUAUAAGUUUGUAGAAGAUGGCCCUACUGAUGACCUUGGUCAGGUGCUACGAGAUGCAUACAAAGAUUAUGAAACUGAGAUGAAAGCAACAAAGUUGCAGCACAUGAUAGAUGGUCACCAAAAAUUAUUGUACGCAGAUUGCCAACAAGGUCAUAAAAAACUAGGUACGACACUAGAAUUUAUGCAAUGGAAGGUCAAAAAUGGUGUGUCCGAUAAGACAUUUCAGGGGAUGUUAAAAAUUGUCAAGAAGAUUCUUUCCGAGAAUAUUGAAUUGUUGUCCACAACGUAUGAAGCUAAACAGAUUAUUUGCCCUCUGGGAUUGGAGGUUCAGAAGAUACACGCAUGCCCUAAUGACUGUAUCCUCUAUCGUGGUGCUGAAUACGAGAAAAUGGAUGGUUGUCCCAUGUGCGAAGCGCUGCGGUAUAAGAUCACGCGAAAUGAUCCUGGUGAUGUCGAGGGGCAGCCUCCCAAGAAAAGAGUUCCCGUGAAGGUGAUGUGGUAUUUCCCUAUAAUACCAUACUUGAAGUGCUUGUUCAGGAACAAAGUGAAUGCUAAGUUGAUGCGAUGGCACAAAGAAGAACCUAAGCAAGAUGACAUGCUGAGACACCCCGUUGAUGGGACCCAGUGGAGAUCAAUUGAUACAGCAUUCCCAGACUUUGAAAGUGAUGCAAGGAACAUAAGGUUUGGUUUAAGUACCGAUGGAUUCAAUCCAUUUGGUGAGUUGAGUAGCGGCCAUAGUACUUUGUCUAUGACGCUAUGUAUGUUCAACCUUCCUCCUUGGCUAUGCAUGAAGUGGAAGUUCGUUAUGAUGCCAGCGCUUAGCCAAGGCCCAAAACAAUCCGGCAACGACAUUGACAUGUACCUAAGACCAUUGGUUGAUGAACUUUUAUAGCUUUGGAAGGAAGGAGGUGUACGUGUGUGGGAUGAGGAUAAACAAGAGAUCUUUAAUCUAUGAGCAUUGUUGUUCGUAACCAUCAAUGAUUGGCCUGCACUGAGUAACCUUUCGAGAUAGACAAACAAGGGAUAUCGGGCCUGCACCCACUGUUUAGACAACACAAACAGCAUGUAUUUGAAGCACUGUAAGAAGGUCGUCUAUAUUGGUCAUCAUCAAUUUCUCCCUGCUCACCACCAGUUGAGAAAGAGCGGGAUGCAUUUCAAAGGGGCACCAGAUGAUCGUAAAAAAACUGCACACCGAAAUGGAAAACGUGUCUUUGAGAUUAUAAAGGAUGUAGAUGUAGUCUUGUGAAAGGGUCUUGGUCGCCAACCUGUUCGGAACGACGAUAACGGACGUGCACCCAUGUGGAAGAAGAAGUCAAUAAUUUGGUAGGUACCUUAUUGGGAAAUCCUAGAGAUCUGCAAUGCAAUAGACGUGAUACACCUGGCGAAGAAUCUUUGCGUAAACGUGCUAGGCUUCAUGGGUGUUUAUGGGACCUCAAAAGAUACAUUGGAAGCAUGACAGGACCUGAAAAUCAUGGGGCAAUGAGAUGAUCUACAUUCGGAAAAGAGAGAUAACGGACAGCACGACUUACGUCCUGCUAGUUACAAUCUCAGCAAGGAAGAGAAGGAUAGCAUGUUUGAAUGCUUGAAUAGUAUGAAGGUCCCGUCUAGGUACCCCUCGAAUAUAAAGGGAAUAAAUAUGAAACAAAAGAAGUUCUCAAAUCUCAAGGCCCAUGACUGCCACAUGUUGAUGACCUAGUUGCUUCCGGUUGCACUGUGGGGUGUUCUACCAGAGAAUGUCCGGUCGUAAAGCUAUGCGCGUUUGUCAAUGCGAUUUCACAGAAGGCAAUUGAUCCAUCCAAGCUAGCAAAGCAAUAGAACAAUGUGGUGCAAUGUCUUGUCAGUUUUGAGUUGGUAUUUGCACCAUCCUUCUUCAAUAUUAUGAUGCAUCUCCUGGUUCACCUAGUAAAAGAGAUUGGUAUUCUUGGACCUGUAUACCUGCACAAUAUGUGGCCUUUCGAGAGGUUCAUGUUAGUCCUAGAAAACUAUGUUCUUAAUCGUGCCCGUCCAGAAGGAAGCAUCACUAAGGGAUAUGGCACAUAGGAGGUGAUCGAGUUUUGUGUUUAUUUUAUUGACUCAAUUGACUCGAUUGGGGUUCCAACUUCACGCUACGAGGGGAGGCUGCAGGGAAUGGGCACCCAUGGAAGAAAAUCAAGUUUGAGCAAUGAUACCGAUUUGUUCGACAAGGCACACUACACUAUUCUGCAACAGUCAUCCUUUGUAGCUCCGUAUAUCGAGGACACAGGCAAAUGGUAGUUUCCAAAAACCCGACGAAAUCCGAUGCUUGGCUUACACAUCAUCGCAUGGAAACUUUUCCCUCCUGGUUGCGCCAACAACAUAUGGGUAACUCUGAGAUUCAGCCACACCUCGCUUGGUUAGCCAGGGGCUAGCACAAUCGUGAAAUUCCAAGACUAUGAGAUAAAUGGUUAUACAUUUUACAAUGUUGAUCACAUACAUAAAGUGAAUUUUUUGUGCGUUCAAAUUGUUUAAUUGAAUAAUUUCUUGAUGAUAGAGAUGCAGUAAAAUAAUUAUUUUAGAAGAUAAAAGAACUGGUAUAGAAUUAAUGACUCAUUCACAAUUAUUGUUAAUAUACUUGCUAAUUUAAUAUAUUUUUGCAUGUUCAAAAUAUGUAAAGUUUUUUGUUUUUCAUCCUAAAAUCCAGUGAAAACAUCGAUAAAAUCCAUUUCCAAAAAAUAGGUGGGAGACGAAAAAUGGGAAAAGGCCCUUUUGUCCCGGUUGCUCUCAGCAACCGGGACAAAAGGCCCACCCUUUUAUCCUGGUUGCAAACUGUAAUUGGGAUAAAAGGGUAUUUUUUUAUUCCCACCGGGAACGUACCCUUUUAUCCUUGUUGCAGACUGGAACCGGGAUAAAUGGGGGUGCCUCUUAUCCCGGUUGCUGUUGGCACCGGACAAAAGGUACCUUUAGUCCCGGGUUCGAUUACGAGCCGGGAUAAAAGGUGCGGGGGAUAAAAGUAACUGUAGUCUCUUCUGCUCCGCCGUUGCCUGGCCGCCUCGCCCGCGCCCGGACUGCCGCCUCCUCCAUUACCUCGGCCCGCCGGCCGACUCCUCCAUCGCGCCCCCUCGAGCUCGUCGCCGCUACCUCCGUCUCGCCGCCUCCGUCCCCGUCAUCGCCGCCGGCCUCCAUCCCCGUCGUUGCUGCCGGCCUCUACCCUCGUCGCCGCCACCUCGCUCCGUCCCCACUGCCUCCUCCGUCGCCCCAGCCCGCCGCCUCCUCCGUCGCGGCGCCUCAUCACCACCUCCGUCCUCAUCACUGCCUCCGUCCCCAUCGUCAUUGCCUCUGUCCCUGUCGUCGUCGCUACCGGCCUCCACCCUUAUCACCGCGGCCACCUCGCUCCGUCCCCGCCUCCGUUGACGUCCGCCGCCCCGACCUGCGCAUUGCCACUCCGCCACCUCGAGCUCAUCGCUGCCGCCUCCCCUGCCGUUGUACGGCCUCCCACCCCAGUCGCCACCGCCUAACCCCCGCUGGCCCUGGCUCUCGCACGUACGGCCCUUGGUAACACAAGCCACCGGCUUUGCUGACGUAAGGGCCCUUUUUUUAUUUUUUGUUAGAAAAAUCAAUAGAAAUUUUUAGAAAAUUAGUAGAUUAGUAAAAAUCAAUAGGAAAUUACUAUUAUUAGCUGAAACUUAGUAUAAUUAGUAGAAAUUUGUAUAAAUUUGGUAGAAAUUCUUAAAUUUAGUAUAAAUACUUAGAAAUUAGAAGAAAUUUGGUAGAAUUCUUAAAAUUAGUAGGAAUUAGUAGAAAUUUUCUAGAAAUUCCAAUAAAUUAGUAGAAAUUUGUAUAUACACUUGAAAUUUGGUAGAAAUUUGUAUAAACACUUCAAAUUUGGUGGGAUUGAUUCAAGACUGUCAUGUAUGGUUUCAUGUUAUUCUAUGAUUUCAUGUAUAUACCUUAACUUACAUGUAACUAAGACGAUUUCAUGUAAGUUUCAUUUCGUGUGAGCUGCCUAUUUCAUGGUUGUUCAAUGAUUAAAGAAUGUCAUGUAUGGUUUCAUGUGUACGUUUCAAUCAGUUUGUUUUUUCCAUGGUUGUUCUAUGAUUUCAUGUGUAUACCUUAACAUACUUGUAUCUACGAUUUCAUGUGUGUUUAAAUUAGUUGAGAUGGCAGACUACGAGACCGCAAAGUAUAUAAUGGAGCGGACUAUUGCUGGUGAUGGUAGUGGCUCCAACAUUCCCAUAACGUACACCGAUGAAGAGGGUACCUAGGCAGACAUGUUCCUCAACAUGUCCAACUGUGACAAUGAAGAGCCCGAGCCCCAGCAAAACUUAGCCGUGGCGGAAGGUUCUGGCGAUGGCAAUGAAGAGCUCAAGCCCCAGCAAAUCCUUAUCAUGGCAGAAGGUUCCGGCGAGGUAUAUAUAAUUUCCAUUGUAUUACCCCAUCUAUAAUGUCAUAUUCAUUAUUACUAUGUACUAAUUAACGAAUCUUGAACUAUUAGCCCUCUGGAUCGACGAAAUGUAAGAAGCGCCGAGGUCGUACAAGGGUGAUGGAUGGGAGACUUGUCAUCAUGGAAGUCACAAAAUAGGGCAGGCCGGUAGCUCCCGAAAAAGUAGCAAAGAAGUUCGUGAGUCAGAUCGAGGCAAUCGUAAGGGACAACGUGCCCAUCAGCAUCAGGGAAUGGAAGGGCAAAAGAACUAAUCCACACGCGCUCCCGGAUACACAAAAGAAUAUGCUGUGGGAAGAUGUCAAGGGACAUUUCACAUUUCCUAAAGGAUAUAUUGAAAAGGAUGUGAAACUGUGGACGUUGAAGAAGAUAGCCACACAAUUCCAGACAUUCAACAAGAUGCUGGAUGCCAAGUACCUUAAGAAGGGCCAAACUACAGAUUUUGGUGUGUGGUCAAAGUUGAGGGACCACUAGGAGGCAUUUGUCGAAUACACAAGGAGCGAAGACCGUGUGAAAAAGAUCCAGACCAACACUACAAAUGCUGGUCAGAAGGAGUACCAUCAUCAUCUAGGGUGAGGUGGUUAUGGCACAACAAUUCUCAGAUGGAAGAAGAUGGAACAAGAUCUGAUCGAUUGGGGUAUCGUACCAGCAACUAUUGAAUGACCCAAACGAUCAAAAAAUUUGGUAUUACGCUCAUGGAGGCUUCCUGAGCCAAGAGGAUGGGACGUUCAUAUUCAAUGAGACAAUACGUUAGAAGGCCGAAAGGCUUAUCAAGAAUAUUGAAGAUUCUAAGACUGGGAGGUUGAAAGUGGACCGAGAGAAUGAUGAGCUCACAUUGGCCCUCGGGAAUCCCGAGUACCCAAGACAUUGUCAAGGUUUCGAGGUCAUUUUGUGGAAGUUUGCUUUCCGAGGCGAUAGCGCAUCGUACAGAAGCCGAGGGCGAAGAAAGGAACAGAUCGAGGAGAGCUAGCGGUAGAUGCUAAAAUCCAAAGUGCAUUCACAAUAAGUAAGAAUGUUGGAGGAAAUCAAUCGUUGAGUGGCCCACGCAGUUGCGGAGUUGGCCUAAUCUGGAGCAUUGCCGGAUCCAAACUUCGCCAGCCAUUCUCAACGCCUCUUGAGCAGUUGUGCUUCUACAAGGCCCCCUGAUGCACAGACGCCAAGAUUACCCAUGGACAAGCAACGGUUCGCUGUGGAUGCCAUCACACAACGCACCUCAUGUGAGCUGCAUACACCGGUCGGCGAUCUCACUAUUAAGGUAUACUUAUACAUAAUAUUUAUGCAAUCUUCUCAAUUGAUCCACACCUCGGGAUCAGAGUUUAAUAACUUGAUUACUUAUGCUAUAUGUACAGGUGGCAUACGGGAGUGCCUUACCAAUCCUGCCAGGACAGACAAGCCAUGGCAUGGAGAUUUCACCUGGCUACGCCAGCGUCAGCCUAGAGCAGAUCGCUGAUAGCCAAUAUGAAGACCUAAAGCUCGACCUCCCGGGAGGCAUCGGGGAAAGGACACUAGGAGAUGCGCUUCACGGGAUCAUUCUAUGGCGCAAACGCUACAUCAUCAUCCCUGGCACGAAAGCACCUCCUCAGAGCUCAAGACCGCUCCCCGCAGAUCCUCAGCAGCGACCAUCUCCUCAAAGCUCAAGACCAUCAUCUCCAGCACAACCUGCUCCAGGAUCGUCAAUUCCUGCUCGAUCAAGGUCUCCAUCUCCACCACAUCCAGGUAGUGGAAGCAACGACGACAAUAACAACACCCCUCCCCGAUCAUCGUCACCGGGACUAAGAGCAGCCCCGAGGAAGGAACCUGCAGCACCACUUAAGAAGUCACUGUUGACGUUAAAAAUCGGACAAUGCCUCUGGCUCCUGCGUCGGACACACGACCUGAGAGAAUCUGCUUAGCUCCUGUUCAGGUUAUCGCCCUAGUGCGAUUUGCGCGGCGAGCCAGUCAAUCUGACCUGCUGAUUGAUAAGGAAAGAAAAGUAUUCAAUUUCCAAGGUUUCGAUCGGCUGAAGUUCCGAUCUGUUUCAAAGGAUGUAUCAGCGAAUUGGCCGAAUUAGUGUAAAGAUGACCGGCUAUGAAACAGCUGAUGAUCACGUAGCAAUUGUAAAAAAAACUACUGAAGUAAACUAAACAAUGCUACAGAGACAACACUUGGAACAGAUCUAAUUGGCUGUAUGAUAAUAAACAAAAUAUUGAUGUAGCCGACAGUUCGUGUCUCAAGCUGGAUAACUGGUGAUAAAAACUAAAAUAAUAGGUAAAACCUAUAAUUCUAGUAAAAAUCGAUAACUGGUGAAUAAAUCUAAAUGAAACAACAACGAUGCGCCCGAAGUUAAAGCUUAGAUAUUAUUCGAUACGUGGAACUUACAAAUUAGCUGGAGGUCGUGUAGAUGCAGCCCUGCCAACUCGUACGAACUUGUGAAAAGAAAAAGGAUUUGGCGAAGUCGCCGACUUGAAAGUAAAGCUACAUGAAAAAGUAGAUCUGUAUUGAUGAUUAUUGUGUUUCUUUACAAGCCUUACAAGGCACCUAUUUAUACCCUACUACAACUGAUUUCCUAACCGACUAUGAUUUUAUCUCUUAUUCAAAAUAACAAAUAUUUACAUAUGGAUACAACUCGCAUCGGAGUUGAACACUAAUCAACUUUUUUAUGGGCCAAUCCCCAUCUUACUCUUGUCACCGCCUUGGCCCAUUUCAGGCCCAAAUCAGCCAAGCUACUCUGGCUCCCAAUUGGCCAGUCCUCAUCAACUUCCUCGGCUAAUCGGCCGAAACACUGUAGCUCCAUCGACCGAUUCCCCAGCCACAGCUUCCUACUUAUCCGCAUCAACUACUUUUUUCUCCUUGAUGCCGUCCCUAACACGUGUCAAAAACCGGCAUCAACAGUCAUGACCACCACCUCCCAAGCCAAGACACAGAAAGAAGAAAAUAAAUGAGCCUGAAGUGACUCAUAAGGAACGUUGGGAGGCAACAACUCAUGCGGAAUGGUGGGCCGAAAUCCAAGCAGAGGUCAGUGAGUGGUUCAAGAAAAAGACCGAACAAAAAAAAGUAAGGGAGAUGGAGCCACCGCCAAUAAAUCGAAGAGAAUUAAAUUUUUUAUCAGGAUGGAAAAAGGAGCGAAGAAGAGAAUACCACUACUAUCGAACUAUGAACGGGCGUUAUUCAAGGCUGAUGAGAGGGAAAAAAGGAAAAGGAAAGUCCUCUUCCAGUGGUGUUGUCCCCGACCUCGGGCAUCUACCAGAAAAAGAUGCUGAAAAGAUAGCAGCAAUGCCCUUGGAUCAACAAGCACAAGUAUUGAAAUUCAUGGAAGAAAUAGGUAUGGGACUUGAUGAAUGUCUAGGGCAAGUUGAGCCGCUAGCUGCACCGCCAGUUGAACCGAGAUGGACCUUUGAGCUAGGCAAGUCUCCGGUAAGGCCUGAGUUGGUAUGGAAGCUAUCAACAAAGAUGUACGAAUUCCAUCAAUGGUACAUGAAGGUGUCCGCCGACUCGAGGGAGAUGUUCGGCCUUAAAGUAAAACCGAUAGACUUUUACGGCGAAGGCGAGAAAGUUCUAUGGCUAGAAUUCAAGGAUAUAUAUGAAGUGUACCAUCAUGAUGCCCUGAACGUCUCUCUGAUCAGCGUCUGGGUUCUGUAAGUGUCCAUUUAUGUACAUGUAAUGGCUCAUAUCAUUUUUUUUGUGUGCAUCACCAUACUGACUUCGUCUUCCAUUUUAUGUAGGAUGCUAAUUCAGACGUGCCAACAAGAAGCGUACCUCCAUAUUGGCUUCAUGGAUCCAUCCGUAGUUAACAAAAAACAGAUACAGGUAUCACCGGAAAAACCUUGGUCGAAGUAUAUAAUUUCCUAGACAAACAAAAAUUCAAGGAUUUCAUACUACUUCCAUACAACUUCAAGUAAGCGUGUGUAUACCAUCUACUUUCGUUUUCUUUUUCCUUACCUGAUUAAUGUUAGUUAGCUCUAAUAUAUAUGAACAUUUACUUACACAGCUUCCACUGGAUCCUCAUUAUAAUUGAGCCUGAAAGAAGCCACAUCACUAUCUUUGAUUCACUGAGGAAAGAUCCGGUGGAGUACCGAGACAUGCAAGACAUGCUAGCCUUGUAAUAAUUCUGGACCUUUAUCUCUAUGCAAAAGUUUGUUUCCUAAAUUUUAUCCUGGUUACACUAUAUCAUUCAUUAUUUUAAUCCACAGCGCAUGGAGACAAUUCAUGAGGAUACACAAAAGUCCAUUCAAAGAAAACUUACAUGGAACACAGACUUCCCGGUACGUAUGAAGUCUGCACAUUUUGUACAUUCUAUAACACGAAUAUUUCAUAACUUAUUUUUUCCCCACUGAAGUGCUUAAGACCGGAACCCGGGAAUAAUCUAUGUGGCUACUACAUCUAUGAGCACAUGCAUAGUUUUGUGGAAUCGAAGGGACUAAAGAUAACGCCGUACAACUUUAAAGUACGUAAAAUAAAACUAUUAAUAGUUCAUUAUUUUCUAGCUCCUUAUAUUUAAAUGUUCGUGUAACAUUUACAUAUUUCCAAAUUAUAGAUGUUAAAUAUUCAAUAAGGACUCUUGAAGAAGGAAAGAGUUGCGGCAAUAUGUCAAGGUCUCAUUGGAUUCCUGAUGGAUGUGGUGGUACAUCCAUAAGAAGAAUUUUAUUAUGAUGGACGAAAUUUAGACGCUCCGAGCAACACCUUGAUGGGAAGAUUGUAGAUAUAUAAUUUGAUUUGUAUAUAUAAUAUGCUAAGAUUGAAUUUGUAUAGUAUGCUAAGAAUUGUAUAUAUAUAUACUAAGAAUUGUUUAUAUGGUAAUUGCAUAAUUACUAGUUUCAUCCGUUUAAAUACUAGUUUGAUUUCAUUAUAAAAAAAUUCUCAACUACUAAAGGUUAAAAAAAGGGCCAGGGUACGUACGUGAUGCAUUAAAUUACAGGCGCCAUGUAGGCGCCUGCAUGGCAUGCGCCUGUAGGACUUAGUCCGGGUUGGAAAACCCAACCGGGACUAAAGGGGCACCCUUUACUUUUGGUUGGUUUUACCAACCGGGAGUAAAGGUCCUGUCCCUCGCCUGGCAUGGCAGGCCCUGUAACCAAUCGGGACUAAAGGGUGGAUUUACUCCCAGUUGAAGGACCCGGGACUAAACAACCCCCUUUUGUCUCGAUUGGUUUAUCCCGGAUGGAUUUUCAGGAGAUUUGCACCCUACCAGCCAGGACUAAUACUAAGUUCUCUACUAGUGGACGGUCCUGGCCGUGGGCCACGUGCCCACAUACUGCACCACAUUUGUCAACAGCCACUCCUGGAUCCAUGCGAUCACUAGUAGAGAACUCACCUUCCAUACAUCCCCUUUUAUCCCGGUUUAAAAUUGGCCCGGGACAACAGGUGCAUUAGUCUCUAGUCUUAUAUCAAUCGGGACUAAAGGCCCCCCUUUAGUCCCUCAUCAAAAAUCGGGACUAAAAGCUGUGCCUAGCGUGGCGACCCCUUUAGUCCCGGCUGGUUUUACCAACCAGGACUAAAUGGUGUCUUUAGUCCCAGUUGAGUGACCCAGGACUAAAACCCCCUUUCGUCUUGAUUGCUUUAUCCUGGAUGGAUUUUCGGAAGAUUUGCUCCCUAUCAACCAGGAUUAAAAGCGAGUUUUCCACCAGUGGAUCGGGAGGAUCAGCACCUGCACUACGUCAGCAAGGCACGGAUGGGCAGCAUAUCUUCAGUUGGUUGAGAUAGACUAGGGAAUUAGUUUAGUUAUUUGCUUGUUUUGCCUUCCCUGUACUCUACAAACUCCCGCUUGCCAGUACAAAUCAUCGCGUAGAAUCCAAACCUCAUACAUUUUCUAGCACUUGGCACUGCUCGCAUCUUGCGAUCUAUAUAUCCUCGCUGCGGACGAGCGUGUGCCCCUUGAGAUCACUGCUAUGCAAAUGUCCUUUCGUUCAGCACCUUUGUAACGGUUAGAAUUAGGUUCGAUACUGUUGAUGCCAGAUUUUGACACGAGUAAAAUCGGCGUUAGGAGAAGAAGAGAUUGGAAGAUGCGGCGAGAUACAAGGGCGAUGAUUGGAAAUCGGCCGAUUGGAGCUACAGUCAAGGAUCGGCCAAUUGAUGCUGCAGUCGAGGAUCAGCCGAUUGAUCCUUGGAGUUCUGCCUCGCCCGACCCCUGAGGUUUGGGAUCAGACGCGCCCGACCCUCCAGGGGAGGAUCUCCACCUUGCCCGACCCCUAAGGCUUGGGAUUGGACGCGCCCGACCCUCCGAGGGAGGAUCUCCGCCUCGCCCGACCCCUAAGGCUUGGGAUUGGACGCGCCCGACCCUCCGAGGGAGGAUCUCCGCCUCGCCCGACCCCUAAGGCUUGGGAUCGGACGCGCCCGACCCUCCAAGGGAGGAUCUCCGCCUGGUCCGACCUUAGUCCCCAGGGUCGGGAUGAGUCUGAGCCCUCGACGUGCGAGUCCGGAUCGGUUACCCCCUUGCCAAAGAGGUGAUCGGCCGAUUAGGAGGUUGGAAUAGUUGGGCCGAUGUGGGCUUAAAAAAGAUUAUGAAGAUGAAGAGGGGGUCAGCCCAUGAAGCGUGUGAAAAUAGUACGAAUUGUACAUGUAAAUAUUCGUUUUCUGUUUAAAUUUAGGGAUAGAGUUCUAGUCGGAUAAGAAGUCGUUUGUACGGGGCUAUAAAUAGCCACCCUUGUAGAUCUGUAAUCAUCAUCAACUCAAUACAACAAACUACUUUUUCCUCGUACUUACUUUCAAGCAGGCGACUUCGCCAAUACUUUUUCUCCUUUUUCACGAGUUCGUACGGGUUGGCGAGGCUGCAUCAACUUGACCUCCGGCUGAUCUUGUAAGUUCUGUUUAUCGAGUAAUUUCUAAGCUUUAACUUCGGGCGCAUCGCUGUCGUUUCGUUUAGAUUUAUUCACCAGUUAUCGAUACUUACUGGAAUUCUAGGUUUUACCUGUUGUUCUAGUUUUAUCACCAGUUAUCCAGCUAGGAAUCAGUAUUUUCGGCUUUUCUUGUAUUUUACUGUUUAAUCUACCUAUUUCAUGCAUAGCCGAUCAGAUCUGUUCCUAGUGUUGCUACCGUAGCGUUGUUUAGAUUACUCUAGUAGUUUUCUUUAUAAACGUUUCCUGGUAAUGGGUUGCAUCAUAGCCGAUUUCCUUAUUACUGCAAAUCGGCCAAUUCGCUGAUAAGCUUUCUCAAGAUCGGAACCUUAGCCGAUCGCAACCUCUGGGGACUGACACGUUUAUUUCCUUGCCAAUCAACAGGUCAGAUUGGCUGGCACGCCGCGCGAACUGCACCAGGGCAAUCACCCGAACAGGAGCUAAGCAAACUCUCCCGGGUCGUGUGUCCGACGCUGGGAAUUCGAUCAGCUGAUUUCUAGCGCCAACACACUUUUGGCAUGCCCGGUGGGACCAAUACAACCACCGCCAUGUCGAAAGCUGCUGAAGUCUCCGAAGAUAACGUCAUCGAAUUGACAGAGGCAGAUCUCAGGGACGACCAGAAGGAAGAACUAGAGAGGCAAACGGCAUACUAUCGGAAGACAUGUCUGCAGUCCUUCAGUCGCACCAGGAGCGGGGAGACUAUCAAAAAGGCUCCGUUUCCAACUCCCCGCCAGAUCACAAUCACCGAGGACUCGGACAAGAUGUCCGAGAUGGUCCAGCAAUCCGUCUAUCAAGCUUUCAUUGAUCAAUCCCCGGUGCUUUCUAAUACGGUAUACAAUGCCGUCAUCAGCUCCUUGGCUAGCGGUGUAUCUCAAGGGUACCAGGGGCCGGCAUAUGCUCCGCCGAUUACGGCUCCGAGCAAGAAUAUACCUUAUUCGGCUUCUCAGCCGAUCCAAUUUCCAGUUGGGGGUUCUGGCGCUUCCUCAUCAUCGAUCCCUAUGGGGUUUAAUGGCACGCAACACCUCCAGCCACGUCCCAUUCAGUUGUUCUCUGCGCAGUUUCCUCCGGUUAAUCCAACGCCUUGGGGGGCAUCAUCAGUGACGGCCGUCCAGGAUCAGCCGGCCAACCAUGGAAGUCCCCAAUUCCAGGCGUCUUUCCAGGCGGCCGCUCGACCAAACAGCCGGCCCUGACUACGCAGCCGGCUGUGACACAUCAAACGCCACACGCUUUCACUCAACAUCAAGUCAUCCCACCGCCAAUAUACCAGCACGUACCAGUUCCUCAGCCGACGGUUUACCAGCAGCAGCCGGACUGGUCGGCACGUAUAGCAGAGGUGAUUCAGGAGCAAUUUGGCUUGAAACCGAAGGUGCAGACCUAUACCUACAGGACACCGUAUCCGUCUACAUACGAGUUACUGCCGUUUCCCCAUCGGUAUAAAGUUCCUGAUUUCACCAAGUUUUCGGGGCUGGACGACACCUCAACCGUGGAACACGUGAACAGAUUCAUCAUCCAAUGCGGGGAAGCAGUGGCGCAGGAUGCUCUACGGGUGCGUCUUUUCUCGUCAUCCCUGUCUGGGUUGGCCUUCCAGUGGUUCACCACCUUACCGCCCAACUCGAUAAUUACAUGGGCCGAUCUGGAAAGACAAUUUCAUAAAUACUUCUACGCCGGGGUACAUGAGAUGAAGCUGUCCGAUUUGACCAGCCUCAGACAGAGAAGCGACGAGCCGAUAUCCUCAUAUGUACAGAGGUUCAGGGAAAUCAGAAAUAAAUGCUACUCCCUGGCCCUGACUGAUGCGCAGUUGGCUGAUAUAGCCUUCCAAGGUCUCCUACCUCACAUCAAGGAAAAAUACGCCUCACAGGAGUUUGAGAGCUUGAGCCAAAUCGUCCACCGAUUGUCCGGUCAAGAAGUACGUUCUUUCGAUCCACGGAGGAACUUCUAGAAGAAGGUGGCAUACUUAGAAGAGGUUGAAACCGAAGAAGACACUGAAAUCGGCCUUGCGGAAUGGAUUAAAGGGAAGAAGCCGAUAUCAUGUCCGUUCGGCAAGAAGGAGCCAGAAACGUUCGGAUUUGACACAUCAAAGGCCGAUAAAAUCUUCGACCUCCUCCUCCAGGAAGGACAGAUCAAGCUCUCGCCGUACCAUACGAUUCCUUCUGCCGAACAGCUGAAGAGGAUGAAGUAUUGCAAGUGGCACAAUGCUACCUCUCAUGACACAAAUGAAUGCAAAAUCUUCCGGCAGCAGAUACAGUCGGCCAUUGAGCAGCGCAGACUCAAAUUUGAAGUGCCAACAAAACCAGCCAAGCCGAUGAAGAUCGAUCAGCACCCCUUCCCCACCAACAUGGUUGACGCGGGAAAGAAUUCGCUCCAAACCAAGGUGCUGACAUCCGAAUCGGCUAAAAAGAGCGGCACCGUAGACCCCAGAAAUCAAGCGGCACCUGAAGACGUCAAGGGGAAACGGCGGAUGGAGGACGAUGACGACGGAUCAGGAGAACCACGCAUUACCUCCCAAUUCCUGCUCAACAAAUAUCAGCAGCAACAUGAACGCUCCAGAUCCCGGGAAGAAGCAAUGCGGCGACAUGAAGAUCACUGGCGAUGCCCGUUCUUCAUCCACUGUUGGGAAAGCAACCUCAGGUUGCCUUCGGCCGAUAAUUGCCUGGAGUGCAACAGCCUGUAUCGUAACAAUCGGCCGUUCAGCAGGUCUCGCUCCAGAGAUGGGAGACCAGAGCCGAUCAGCAGCAACUGGCGCGACCAAGACGACCGGCGCCCUCCAGUACGUGAUCAGCUGGGGGGCAGAAGUGACCGAUAUGACCGGUCGGAAGGCAGGCGCGAUGAUGUGCCGGGGGGCAGAUUCGAUCGACAUGACCGGCCAGAAAACAGAGUCAGCGUCCACAGACGACUUGAGGAGAUGGCCGAUGCCUGGGUGUCAGACAAGAACCCUUUAGGACGCGAACCAGAAUGGGAACGCGCCAGGCCAUGAACCAAACCGGUGAACCCCAGGUGGUGCCCCGAUGGAUUGACCAAGUCUCAAAAAUGAAGAAUCCAACAUCUCCGCCAGUGGGAACAGCAGGAAGAAGAGCAACAGUACACGAUGGACAAGAAGAAAGGCAGGUCUCAGGUAUGGCGCCCCAAAAGAAAUGACAGAAGAGGCGACGAAUCGGCAGGUGACGAAUCAGCAGGCGACGAAUCGGCAGCCGACAUCGACAUGGUCUUCAUACUGCCGAUGGAAUUCAUGACUCCUGCCGACCGACAGGACAUGUCGGCAAUGGAAGAGCAGAUGGCACAAUUGGCUUUGGAGCCAAUGACAGCCACAUUCGAGAAGCCCGAAGAAGACAAACGGCAACACCUGAAAGAGUUGUUUCUUAAAGGGCAUGUCAACGGCCGACCCAUCACCAGAUUGCUGGUAGACGGAGGGGCUGCAGUCAACAUCAUGCCGUACGCCGUGUUCCGGAAGCUUGGGAAGAGCAAUGAUGACCUGACCAAGACAGAUGUGAUGCUCAAGGACUUCGAGGGCAACGUAUCCCCCACUCGUGGCGCUCUCUGCGUCGACCUCACCAUCGGCAGUAAGACCCUUCCUACCACUUUCUUUAUCAUUAAUGGCAAGGGGUCUUACAACAUGCUACUCGGCCGAGACUGGAUACAUGCAAAUUGCUAUAUCCCAUCUACGAUGCAUCAAUGCCUCGUGCAAUGGGUCGGCGACUACAUCGAGGUGGUCACCGCCGAUUCCGCAUACAGCAUCGCGGCAGCCGACACGCAGCAGUGGAGCUGCGAAACCGUCAAGUGCAUAUCCGGGAGAGUAUGGGAUACUGACUUCUUGAAGGUGUCCGACUUUGGCCUACAGCCGAUCCGAGCAGUCGGCUCCGAAGACUCAGACUAAAAUGGAUCAGUUCGCCCGAGAAGAUGGGAAGCUGGGACACGGGUUCACGUCGGCCGAAUCAUUAGAAAUGAUAGACUUAGGCGAUGGCACCAAACCAAGGCCGACAUAUAUUAGUGCAAAUUUAGAUCCGGAAUACAAAUGUAAACUGACAAGUUUGUUAAGAGAAUUUAAGGAUUGUUUUGCUUGGGAGUAUCAUGAGAUGCCCGGAUUAGACCGUUCUAUCGUCGAGCAUCGGUUACCUAUAAAGCCAGGGUAUCGGCCGUAUCAACAGCCUGCACGGCGGUGCAAUCCUAAAAUCCUACCAGACAUAAAAGCCGAAAUAACACGGCUAAUCGAAGCAAAAUUUAUUCGACAAUGCCGUUAUGCCGAAUGGAUCUCCAACAUUGUACCAGUAUACAAGAAGAACGAAAAGCUAUGCGUAUGCGUCGAUUUCAGGAACCUCAAUCAGGCCACACCAAUGGACGGAUACCCCAUGCCGACGGCUGAUGUGCUGAUAGAUGCCGCCGCGGGACACAAGGUUAUUAGUUUCAUGGAUGGAAAUGCUGGGUACAAUCAAAUACUUAUGGCCGAAGAAGACAUAUCCAAAACGGCCUUCAGAUGCCCGGGUCACCUUGGUUUAUUCAAGUGGGUGGUAAUGACUUUCGGCUUGAAAAACGCCGGCGCCACGUAUUAGAGAGCCAUGAACUACAUAUUUCACAAACUCAUCGGCAUACUAGUAGAAAUCUACAUCGACGACGUCGUAGUCAAGUCAAAAGGACACCUGGAGCAUCUGGUCGAUUUACGACAAGUAUUGGAAUGCACUAAGAAACAUGGGCUGAAGAUGAACCCGAAUAAGUGCGCCUUCGGCGUAUCCGCCGGACAAUUCUUAGGAUUCAUGGUGCACGAGCGGGGAAUAGAAAUCAGUCGGAAGACCAUAGUGGCCAUCAACAAAGUCAUGGCCCCGCAGAAUAAAACUGAGCUGCAAUCUCUAAUCGGCAAGGUGAACUUCAUCAGAAGAUUCAUAUCUAAUCUGUCUGGGCGAAUUCAAGCCUUCACACCAUUGUUAAAGUUGAAGCCCGACCAGGAGUUCAUAUGGGGGGAAGAGCAACGAAAGGCAUUGGAAGAUAUCAAGCAGUACUUGGUCUCACCACCAGUAUUGGUCCCUCCUCAAACUGGUAAGCCGUUUAAACUAUAUUUAUCAGCCGAUGAACAAGCUAUUGGGUCAGCUCUGGUCUAGGAGUUCGAGGGAAAGGAACGGGUAAUUUAUUAUGUCAGUAGAAGACUUCUAGACGCCGAAACAAGGUAUCCUCCAGUGGAGCGGUUGUGCCUAUGCCUUUACUUCUCAUGUACCAAACUCAGGCACUAUUUGCUAUCGGCGGAAUGUGUAGUCGUAUGCAACGACGACGUGGUAAAAUACAUGCUGUCACUGCCGAUUUUGAAAGGACGAAUCGGCAAAUGGAUCUUGGCUUUGUCGGAGUUUGACCUUUGAUAUGAAUCGACAAAGGCCAUUAAGGGUCAGGUCAUGGCCGAUUUCGUUGCCCAACACUGCGGACCAGAGACUACCUUCAUGGAACCGGUACCUUGGACCUUAUACUUUGAUGGAUCGUCAUGUGGGGUCGGAUCAGGAAUCGGCAUCGUCCUCAUAUCACCUCGGGGGGCAAGCUAUGAUUUUUCUCUGCCGAUAGAAGCAUCCGCCACCAACAAUCAAGCAGAAUAUCGAGCUGUACUGAAGGGAUUACAAUUGCUAAGACAAGUCAAGGCCGAUUUUGUCGAAGUUUUUGGAGAUUCCAUGCUUAUCGUAGAUCAAUUAACAGGGAAGUCCGAAUGCAAGGACGAUGUGUUGAGGAUUUAUUAUGAAGAUUGCCUGCAGCUUCUGAAAGAAUUCAAAUUGGCAGUUAUUGAGCACAUCCCAAGGAAUCACAACGAGGAUGCCAACAAGCUCGCCCAACACGCAUCUGGGUAUUGGCCGAUUCAAGGCGCCUUGGCUCUAGAGCUCGCGGCCAAUGACUGGCGAAAGGAGAUUGCCAAUUACCUGAAAGAUCCGUCUAAGAAAGUGGAUCGGCGGGUACGGUUUCAUGCUACCAAAUACGUGUUACUGGAAGACGACUUGUUCUACCGAACAAUUGAUGGCGUCCUACUCAAAUGUCUGGGAACGGAGGAGGCUAAGACUCUGAUGGGAGAAAUCCAUGAAGGAGUGUGUGGAGCCCACCAGUCGGCACAUAAGAUGAAAUGGAUGAUCAGGAAUAAUGGGUAUUACUGGCCGACGAUCCUCGAAGAUUGUUUCAAAUAUUAUAAAGGAUGCCAGGAUUGUCAGAAAUUCGGGAAUGUCCAACGUGUGCCCGCAUCAGCCAUGAAUCCUAUUAUCAAACCAUGGCCGUUCAGAGGUUGGGGAAUAGACCUCAUCGGCCAAAUUUAUCCUCCGUCAAGCAAAGGGCACAAGUUCAUUCUGGUGGCCCCUGAUUAUUUCACCAAAUGGGUGGAGGCAAUUCCGUUAAGGGCCGUAACAUCGGCUGCUAUGGUUGACUUCGUAAGAGACCAUAUCGUCUACCGUUUCGGCAUCCCUCAGACUAUCACAACCGAUCAAGGGACGAUGUUUACAUCGGGAGAAUUCGAGGAGUUCACGGCCGAUAUGGGAAUCAAAUUGUUAAACUCCUCUCCGUAUUAUGCCCAAGCUAAUGGCAAGGCCGAAUCCUCCAACAAGGGGAUAAUUAAGUUAAUCAAGAGGAAGAUAGAGGAGCAGCCGAAAAAAUGGCAUCUAUGUCUGACUGAAGCUCUAUGGGCAUACAUGAUGGCUUGCCACGGGGCCACCAAGAUGUCCCCUUAUCAGUUGGUGUACGGUCACGAGGCAGGACUACCAUGGGAGUUGAGGGCAGGGUCGAGACGCACUUCGCUCCAGGACCAGUUGGCGGCCGAUGACUACUCCUCACUCAUGAAAAGGGAACUUGAUGACUUGGCUGGCCAACGAUUGAGAGCUUUGAUAAGCAUCAAAGAAAACAAGAAGAAAGUGGCCAGGUGGUAUGAUAAGAAGGUCAAAGUCAAGCAAUUCUCUCCGGGGGACCUGGUAUGGAAGUUAGUGUUGCCGAUUGGGUCGAAAGAUCCUAAAUUCGGUAAGUGGUCCCCUACGUGGGAAGGGCCGUAUAAAAUCGGCAGAUGUGCUCCAGGAAACGCUUAUAUUCUGGAAACAAUCGAAGGAGAAGAGUUUACUAGGGCUCUGAACGGAAGAUACUUGAAAAGGUACUACCCUAGUAUAUGGGUCGGAUCAUAGGGAUCAACCACGAUGAACAACACACAGCUGAUGCAAAAGGAAUCGUCUAGAGAAAAAACGUAAUCGUCCAAAUCAGCCGAUAUAUUUUAUUUGGUACGACGGUGGGUUACAUGGCCGACACGGUACGAGUCGCCCUUAGAACAAAAAAUAAUUAACCUCGCUUUUUCUUAAGCUCUCUCUCAGUCCGACCUAGUUCUAUCAGAAGACGGAUGUACUCUUCUUCUAUCUCUUUCAUCGAAGCCUCUGCUUCGACUUGACGGGGGAGAGGGUGACUCCGGUCCACGGCCGGGCGUGAUGUUCCUGCCGCUGCAUCUUCAAGGAUGAUUUGACGAGGAAGCGGAUGACUUCUGUCGGCUUGAGUUCGCCGGUGGUCGUUCUUGUCCAGAAAGUCCCAGAUCCGUCGGAUGUCGGCAGGGACGUGCUCUUGGAGUUCGUUGCGAUGGGCUCUGAUUAAAUCCUUGUCUUCUUGCGACAACGGUUCGUCGGAGUGUACAAGUCCGAUGGCUCGUUCGAGUUCAGGGCUAAGGUGCCAUGGCUGCGGAAAGCAACAAUAUACAUAUAACUGCCAAAAAGGUGAUUCCCUUCAGAAGAGCUAAACUAAGGAAGAGAAUGAAGGCAAAUCUUUUACCUGAUUAACGGAGGAAGAGGUAGAGGAUGGAGAAGACAUGACUGAAAGGCACACCGACGUGAACAGGUCGGGGAAAAUGAAGCCGAGUUAGACAGGUACUCUCGGAAUGGUCACCUAGUCCGGUGUUUAUAGGAAAGGAAGGCAUGGAUGUUUGGUAAGACGCGUCCCAUCGGGAGUGAAAAAGGUAAUAAAUAAGGGGGGGCCGCGAAGGACGGUCAACGGGGUCAUUAAAUGUUUGGACAUAAGCUGCUAGUACUUUUACAGGUCACCCAGAAGGGCAUCGAUAGCCGCAAUCGCUCGGCGCUGGAUCUAAUCGGCAGAAUCCAGGACCCGUUGGUCAUCCUCUGCUGACCCGGAGACUUCUGACAUAUGGCGGUGGAGUUUGAGGGCUUCGUGGGCCAGGUGCUGCCUCUCCUGUUUCAGAUUGGCGAUGACAGAAGGGAGUUCCUAAAGCCUCUUUUCUUCGGCGUCUAUUGCUUUGGUCACCUGCUCCAUCUCCUUGGCAAGCUCUGCCCUUCGGCGUUUGAGGCGAUCUAUCGUACCGACGAUCCCCGGGCGAGAGUCUUCCAGAAAGUGAAUCCGUUGGUGCACCUCUUGAGCUUGACGCUUGUAUGUGUCUUCUUCUUCACGAGUCUUGAUCAGCUUGGCGCGAUCGGCCAUGUGGCGCAGGGCCCUAAAGACUGGAAUCCUCAUUGACUCGAUAUAUGCGGCCGGCACCAAGGCCUCUUCCGCUUCUUCUGGUACUCGCCCGCUGACGUCACCAAAAAGUUGCCGAAUCGGCGAGGCGUCUUCUACCAAUCGGCCGAUGUCCUCUUGAAGAAGGGAACGGAUGCUUGCAAGUUUGGCACGGACGUCAUCAGGGAUAGAGCUCAAAGUGACUUGGCGAGAGGCGACUUCCUCGUCAUCGGAGAGCGCGACCGCAAACGAGAAAGGGCUGUUGUUGGGGGUGUCCUGUUCCUGAAAAAUAGUAAGUCAAGAAGAAGAACAAAUCAGCCGAUGAUGAUAGCAAAUCGGCCGGGUAAGGGGGGAGAAGUCUCUUACCUCCUUGAAACGGAUUUCUUCAAACUACGUUUGGGAGGCUGUUAUCCUCGAUUCGGGGGCUGGUACCAUUGGUUCGUCGGAAGUAGAAGACUCCACCAUGAUUGGUGCUUUGCUCGGGCCAGCUUCCCGAAAGAUGACCAUUGGUUGGUUAGGUGGGGCGCUAAGCGUACCGGUGACCUGUGUCAAAAGAUUGAAUACGAAUAUUAUCCAAAUACUAGAAAAAUCGGUUGAAGGGUAGUAUACCUCAGCAGAUGGAAGUGUGGGCGUGAUGAUGACCGAUUGGGUUGCUGCCGAUUGUUGUGAGUCCACAGAAGUGAUUUGUGCAGUCUAAAAUAAGAUGAGUCAGUAUGAGGAUGGCAAUCGGUAGGAUGAGACAACAAGUUUACCUGCAUAGCCUCCACUAGUAAUGAUGCAGCGGCCGCCCCAGCUUGCGUGAUGACUUGAGUAUCCACUUCUUCAGCAGCUGGAAGGGGCAAUGCGGCCAAAGUUUCUGCCGAUGUGAUCAUAGGAGGGUCGGCCGGUUCUAUACGAGUUCGUACUCGGCGACUGGUCUUCUUGGUAACCUUCUUCCGCGCCUGCUUCGAUCGGCCAGCAAUCACAUCCACGGAAGGGGCAUCAUAGCCGAUAAGGGGGAAGAUGGUGUAUGGGUGAUGAUCCUCUAUCGGCCGGCCACUCCGACUGUGUGUUGGGGGAAUGCGGUUUUCAGACUGAAGUAACAGCAAGAUGUUAGUGUACAUAUUUAACCGCAUUAAUAAAGGAGUUAAGAUCGGCUAGGGGAAAAAUACCUCGGCGUUCGGAUCGAUGUUGGCUGGAUCCAAGAGAUUGCAGUAUGUCGAUGUGGAGGCGCAGAACAGGUACUGUUUCCAUUCGGGCCACCAUAGCUUGAAUUGUUGGACAGCAAAGGGGGCUACCAUCCAGUCAUUCAAGUCUAUGGUACUGGAGUCUGGUAUCCGAUCUCGCAGCCGACUGUAGUCAAGACCCUUGGUGAGCUCAUCUCUGAACUUUGCUCGGCCGACGAAGUAUGCCUGAAUCGGUAGUUGACCCAUGCCGAAUUGCCGUGCUGCAACAGAGGGGUUGUAGAAUUCGUAUGUAGGGGCAUCCUUUCCUGAGAAGAAGUUGGCCGGUAAGAUCCCCGGUUUAAUUAGUUCAUCUGUGAGAUCUUCGUCGAAUCGGCCGGUGGUUGAGUCGAAGCAAGAAGGGAGUUCAAAGAUUGCGUCAUCUCUCCGAUAAGGGAACCAGACGGUUGCAUCUUCAUUGAAGCCGUUAUAAAAACACCGGAAGUAUUCGGCCACCUUGGUCGCAGAGUACGACCAACCAGAGAAGGCCGAUGCCGCUUCGCCGAAAGACGUACAUCGGCGUCGGACAGUGAGAUUCUCUUCCGAUUCGACGCUGGGGAAUGUCAUAUUUUCCACUCGCUGCUGAGAGAUCUCGCUCAUAUACAAGUUCAGCCAUAAGUUAAUGAACCACCAGGGUCCACCUGGGUUUCCAAUCGGCUCCCCUUGGGAUAGCUUGAUGCCGAUUUGGUGAAGCAUGUGGUAGACUGCUCCCAGUAAGUGCUUUCCAAGAGGAACAGAAGUCCCUAUUGAUAGUGCUUCGGCCAGAGCUUGGGUAUUGGUAGAUGGACCAGCUGCUCUCCCACAGAAGAAGUGCUUCUCUAGCCACAUCAUCAGGAAGGCCGUAUGCUCUCUGUUCUCAACAGAUCCGGCCCUUUUGUUGCAUCUGAUGAAGCCUUUCCACCCGCCGAUUCCCCUUGUGUCCAGCCGAUGUGAUGUUGCGGCUAUAAGGCGGAAAGGGGUGUCCGGGGAAGAGAUGUCCAGGCCGGUCAGCAAGACUACAUCGGCUAAUGUGGGGGUCAUAGGUCCGUGUCCAAACAAGAAUGUGUUGAGAGCAUCGGACCAGAAGUAAGAAGCUGCCAUCACUAACGGCUCAUUCCGUUCCAUUUGGGACAAGGACAAAUCGAUGCAUUGGCCAAUUUUGAGCUCGUCCCACUGGACCUUCUUGGAGGCGGCUAUCCGCUGGUACCAUUCCCUCCAACCGGGAGUUUCAUUCGGCCAAGACCUAAAGGUGCCCAACCAGUGAUCUAGGUCCAUAGUUGAUUGUUUGAAGGGGAUCCUAUGGGUUUCCAAAUUGAUCAAGUCGGCUGGAUCUGGGUUUCCCAUGGGCCCAAGGCAGAUAAGGCCGAGGUUUUCUGUAAGACGAAUGGUGAUGCGAUGCCUAACCGCCUAAAAAGGAAAAGGGGGUGCGAGGGUAAGAAAUAGAUCUAAAGUAAAUGCAUUACUGAUAAGGGAAAGUUUCGGCAAUGACCUCUAGGAUGAAGCUCCUCGUAAUCGGCGGAGUCGCCGGUGCAGCUGCAGACGAUGAAGCUGCCAAUGGGAUCUCGGAUGAAGCUUCAACUUUUGCCGAUGGGGCUCCUUCUUCCGUCAAUGGAGCCGAUGUUGUCGCUACUGGAAUCUCCGCCGAAGGCGCCAUUUCUGGAGCUUCGCGCGUUGGUGAGGUGCCUGAAGGUGCCGCCAUUGGAAAAGUAGGAAGGAAUGCGAAAGGAAGGAGGCGCUCGAGAAUUGGAGGACUGAGGAAAGUGUUGGAGGGAGAAGAAAGCCUGUGCGCUGAAGAAGAAGGACGUGAGCUCGUAAGGAGUACGGGAUGUGCUGAUAUUUAAAGAGGGUCUGAGAAGGGGUAAAAGCGGAAUUUUUACCGCGCUGACGUUUCGAGUUUUUUGGGAGUAGUGGUUGUUGUGGGCGCCCGUUUCAAAAAGAUUGCAAUCAUCAGGUUGGAGACCGCGAAACGGAAGGAUAUUUUCAUGGCGUCUGUUUCGGAUGGGAAGUUGAAAAGAAUUUCGAAGUAAAGACUAUGUUUUACUCCGAAACUGGGGGGCAUGUGUUGACGCCAGAUUUUGACACGAGUAAAAUCGGCGUUAGGAGAAGAAGAGAUUGGAAGAUGCGGCGAGAUACAAGGGCGAUGAUUGAAAAUCGGCCGAUUGGUGCUACAGUCAAGGAUCGGCCAAUUGAUGCUACAGUCGAGGAUCGGCCGAUUGAUCCUUGGAGUUCCGCCUCGCCCGACCCCUGAGGUUUGGGAUCGGACGCACCCGACCCUCCAGGGGAGGAUCUCCACCUUGCCCGACCCCUAAGGCUUGGGAUCGGACGCGCCCGACCCUCCGAUGGAGGAUCUCCGCCUCGCCCGACCCCUAAGACUUGGAAUCGGACGCGCCCGACCCUCCAAGGGAGGAUCUCCGCCUCAUCCGACCUUAGUCCCCAGGGUCGGGAUGAGUCUGAGCCCUCGACGUGCGAGUCCUGAUCGGUUACCCCCUUGCCAAAGAGGUGAUCGGCCGAUUAGGAGGUUGGAAUAGUUGGGCUGAUGUGGGCUUAAAAAAGAUUAUGAAGAUGAAGAGGGGGUCAGCCCAUGAAACGCGUGAAAAUAGUACGAAUCGUACUUGUAAAUAUUCGUUUUCUGUUUAAAUUUAGGGAUAGAGUUCUAGUCGGAUAAGAAGUCGUUUGUACGGGGCUAUAAAUAGCCACCCUUGUAGAUCUGUAAUCAUCAUCAACUCAAUACAACAAACUACUUUUUCCUCGUACUUACUUUCAAGCAGGCGACUUCGCCAAUACUUUUUCUCCUUUUUCACGAGUUCGUACGGGUUGGCGGGGUUGCAUCAACUUGACCUUCGGCUGAUCUUGUAAGUUCUGUUUAUCGAGUAAUUUCUAAGCUUUAACUUCGGGCGCAUCGCUGUCGUUUCGUUUAGAUUUAUACACCAGUUAUCGAUACUUACUAGAAUUCUAGGUUUUACCUGUUGUUCCAGUUUUAUCACCAGUUAUCAAGCUAGGAAUCAGUAUUUUCGGCUUUUCUUGUAUUUUGCUGUUUAAUCUACCUAUUUCAUGCAUAGCCGAUCAGAUCUGUUCCUAGUGUUGCUACCGUAGCGUUGUUUAGAUUACUCUAGUAGUUUUCUUUAUAAACGUUGCCUGGUAAUCGGUUGCAUCAUAGCCGAUUUCCUUAUUACUGCAAAUCGGCCAAUUCGCUGAUAAGCUUUCUCAAGAUCGGAACCUUAGCCGAUCGCAACAUCUGGGGACUGACACGUUUAUUUCCUUGCCAAUCAACAGGUCAGAUUGGCUGGCACGCCGCGCGAACCGCACCAGGGCAAUCACCCGAACAGGAGCUAAGCAGAUUUUCCCGGGUCGUGUGUCCGACGCUGGGAAUUCGAUCAGCUGAUUUCUAGCGCCAACAGAUACUAAUGUGGAGCUCCACCCGGUACUAAAAAUCACUCAUUAAUACCGGGUGGAGGCUCCACUCGGUACUAAUGUGCGUGAAGACCUUUUGUACCGGGUGGGAGCUCCCACCCGGUACUCAAAGGGUCAUGGGUACAUUUAAUUCGCGUCUCUCCUCCCCACCCCCGAGUAGCUGUUCUCUUUCUCUCUUCUCUCUCACGGUAUCUUAUCUCUUUCUCUAUUCUCUCUCACGCACGAGGUGGCGGGAGCGGGGGCGGGGCCGGCAGGUGCCGCCAGCGGCCGUGGGAGGGCAGGAGCGGCAGCGAUGGCGGGAAGCGGGGCCAGCGGCGGCCGUGGGAGGGAGGACGGGCGGCGAAAUCGGUGGCGAGCUCCGGUGGCCGAAGCUUGGGCGGGACUGUAAAAUGGCGGGGUGAGCUUCGGUGAUCGAGGUCGUUUUGGUACUUAUCCGGAGCAGAGAAGGUCGGGAAGGGGUCCUCACCGUGGGGUGUUCAUGGCGGGUGGCAGAAUAGGGGAGGGGUCACGGCAGCACUGUGGUUAAUGGUGUCAGACGAGGAGUGGCUGGAGGUGCUCGGAAGGGUGUCACGGAACGACGGGUGAGCGGGCAGGUGGAAGGGACGGCGGUGGUGGUGGCGGGGGGCGGGCGGGCGGGCGCAGGAGGCUGGGGGCAGGGGUCGGGAUUUUUUUUAAAAGUCUUUUAGUACCGAUUAUUUCAACAGGUACUAAAGGCCCCCCUUUAAUACCGAACUAGCCGUACCGAUUGCGAAACCGGUAUUAAAGUGGGUUCCCAACCAUUACAGAAGGCCCCUAUGUGCAUGGCUCGACGCAAUUAUAGCCCAUCCGAGAAAUAUUUUGAUUCUGACUCAGCAAGCAUGUCCGACUUGUAUGAUGUAGCCGCGAAGGAUGACGCUUCAGCAAGCCAAUGUAAAAUAAUGUCUGGAUUCCUCAUGCUCGCUUGGGUUCAAACCGUCAAAUCUGCUUGGACCAAACCGCUUAAACUGUACUGUGCCGGGUUGAAGUUGGAUUGGAUUCUCAUUGUAAACCCGCCAAAAACCAUAGAUGAACAGUCCUACUACAUAUUCAUAUUAGAUUCUAAAUAAUGUCUUCAUGAUACUCAAUUUAAGUAUCUAUAACAUACUAUUUUGUUACUAAUAUCACUAACCACUCUAACUCUAUUUUUUGCGGAUGGCUUAUUCAAAACAAUCUGAGGACUGCACUCCAUUGAAAGACCUAAGCACCAUCACCACCAUAUGUAAUAUUGAUCAACUAUAAUAUCUAGAAGUGUUUAAUGCAUCUGAUACUACAUAACUAAUGCAUAUAGUACUUUAGAUGGCGACAACAUUAUUAGCAAUGACAGUGGCUCCACGACAUCCGAUCACCAGCCACCACUCACGGAUCCUAGAGAACGUGAGAGGCAGCGAGAAAGGAUCCGAUAUGCACAACUAUCUUCCAAGGAUAAAGAUGAAUUAUGAAAAAAAUCACCAUGAAGCUCAUCAGCGAAAGAACGCUAUAGCUGACCUUGUUAAAUUCACACCAGAGCAAAUUGAAGCAAGAUGUCACUAGUAGAGAAUUGGCCUUUAGUCCCGGUUGGUAGGGUGCAUAUCUCCCGAAAAUCCAUCCGGGAUUAACCAACCGGGACAAAAGGGGGGUCUUUAGUCCCGGAUCUUUUAACCGGGAGUAAAGGUCCCCCUUUAGUCCCAGUUGGUGUCACCAACCGGGACUAAAGGGCCUGCCAUGCCAGGCGCGGGACAGGCCCUUUAGUCCCGGCUGGAUUCCAACCGGGACUAAAUGGCGCCCUGCAUGGCACUGCCUGGCGCCUGAAUUUUUCAUGCAUGCAUCACGUACGUAGUACCGCGGCCCUUUUGUUAACCUUUAGUAGUUGAGAUUUUUUUAGAACGAAAUCAACUAGUAUUUAAAUAAAUGGGAUUUGUAAUUAUACAAUUACUAUAUAUAUACACAAUUCUUAUACACAAUUCAUAUACACAAUUCAACUAGUACAAAUCGAUCAUAAUUAGCGCGUAUUAUAUAUACAAAUAAAUCAAAGUAUCUAUCUACAAUCUUCCCGUCGAGGUGUUGUUGAUCGGAGUGUCUAAUUGGCGUCCAUCGUAAUAAAAUUCUCCUUUUGGAUCUACCACCUCGUCCAUUAGGAAUCCAAUGAGACCUUCACAUAUUGCCGCUACUCUUUCUUCCUUCAAGAGUCCUUGUUGAAUAUUUAACAUCUAUAAUUUGGAAAUUUGUGAAUGUUACACGAACAAAUACAUAUAAGGAGCUAGAAAAUAAUUAACUAGUAAUAGUUUUAUUUUACGUACUUUAAAGUUGUACGACGUCAUCUUCAGUCCCUUGGAUCCCAUAAAAUAGUGCAUGUGCUCACAGAUGUAGUAGCCACAUAGAUUAUUCCCGGGUUCCUGUCUUAAGCACUUCAUUGCGGAAAAAACUAAGUUAUGAAAUAUUCUUGUUAUACAAUGUAAUAAAUGUGCAGACUUCAUACGUACCGGGAAGUCUGUGUUCCAUGUAAGUUUUUCUUUGAAUGGACCUUUGUGUGUCCUUAUGAAUUGUUUCCAUGCGCUGCGGAUUAGAAUAAUGAAUGAUAUAGUCUAACAGGGAUAAAAUUUAGGAAACAAACUUUUGCAUAGAGAUAAAGGUGCAGAAUUAUUACAAGCCUAGCAUGUCUUGCACUUCUUGGUACUCCACCGGAUCUUUCCUCAACGAAUCGAAGACAGUGACGUGGCUUCUUUCAGGCUCAAUUAUAAUAAGGAUCUAGUGGAAGCUGCGUGCGUAAAAUGUUCAUGCAUAUUAGAGCUAACUAACAUGUAGAGAUAAGGAAAAAGACAUCGAAAGUAGACGGUAUACACACACUUACUUGAAGUUGUAUGGAAGUAGUAUGAAAUCCUUGAAUGUUUGUUUGUCUAGGAAAUUGUAUACUUCCACCAAGGUUUUUUUCGGCGCUAAUUGUAUCUGUUAUUGGUUAACUACAGAUGGAUCCAUAAAGCCUAUAUGUAGGUACGCCUCUCGGCGGCAUGUCUGAAUUAGCAUCCUACAUGAAAUGGAAGAUGAAGUUAGUACGGUGACGCACGCCAAAAUUUACAUGUAGAGAUAAACGGACACUUACAGAUUCCAAGCGCUGAUCAGAGAGACGUCCAAGGCAUCAUGAUGGUACACUUCGUAUAUAUCCUUGAAGUCUAGCCACAACACUUUCUCGCCUUCACCGUGAAAAUCUAUCGGUUUUACCUUCAGCCCGAGCAUCUCCUCGAGUCGGCGGAUGCCAUCAUGUACCAUUGAUGGAAUGCGUACAUCUUUGUUGAUAGCUUCCAUACCAAUGAAGGCUUUAUUAGAGGUUUGCCUAGCUCAUAAGGCCAUCUCGGCUCAGGUGGCGGUGCAGUUGGCGUCUCAACUUGCCCUAGGCAUUCAUCAAGUCCCAGACCUGUUUCUUUCAUGAACUUCAAUACAUCUGCUUGUUGAUCCAAGGGCAUUGCUUUUACCCGUUGAGCAUCCUUUUUUGAUAAAUGGCUGAGGUCGGGGAUAGCACCGCUGGAAGAUGACUUUCCUUUCCUUUUAUCCUUUUCAUCAGCCUUUACUAAAGCCCGUUUAUAGUUUGAUAAGAGUGGUAUCCUUUUCUUGGCUCCUUCCAUCCCGAUAAAAAAGUUUAAAUCUCUUCGAUUUACUGGCGGUGGCUCCAUCUCCAUUGCUUUUUUUUUCUUCGGCUUGUUUCUUGAACCACUCACUGGCCUCUCGUUGGAUUUCUGCCCACUGUUCCGCAUGAGACAUUGCCUCCCAGCGUUCCUUACGAGUCACUUCAGGCUCCUUUGUUUUCUUCUUUCUCUGUCUUUGCUUGGGAGGCGGUGCUCGUGACUUCUUUAGUGGUGGUGCAGGUUCCUUCAUGGGGGCUGCUCUUGGUGCCGGCGACGGUGAUCGGGGAGGGGUGUUGUUAUUGUCGUCGUCGGUCCCACCACCAGGAUGUGGUGGAGAUGGAGACCUUGAUAUAGAUGGAAGGGACGAUCCUGGAGCAGGAGAUGACGGUCUCGAGGUAUGAGGAGAAGGUUGCUGCUGGGGAUCUACGGGGAGCGGUCUUGAGCUCUGAGGAGAUGGCUCCGUGCCCGGAAUAAUGAUGUAGCGUUUUCGUCAUAGAAUGAUCCCAUGAAGCGCAUCUGCCAAUGUCUUUUCCCAGUCGCCUCCCGGGAGGUCGAGCUCUAGACCUUCAUAUUGGCUAUCAACUAUUUGCUCUACGCGGACGCUGGCGUAGCCAGGUGGAAUCUCCAUACCAUGACUGCUCUGCCCCGCCAGGGUUGCUAACGCACUCCCGUACGCUACCUGUACAUAUAGCAGAAGUAAACAAGUUGAAUUCCGCCAGGAUUGCAUAAAUAUUACGUAUAAGUAUACCUUAAUAGUGAGGUUGCCGACCGGUGCAUGCAGCUCACAUGAGGUCCGUUGCGUGAUGGCAUCCACGGGGAACCGUUGCUCCUCCACGGGUAACCUGGGCGUCUGUGCAUCGGGGAUCCUUGUAGAAGCACAACUGCUCAAGAGGCGUUGAGAAGGGCUGGCGGUGUUAGGAUUCGGCAAUGCUCCAGAUUGGGCCAACUCCGCAACUGCGUGGGCCACUCAACGAUUGAUUUCCUCCAUCAUUCUUUGUUCUUGUGCCUGCACUUUAGAUUCUAGCAUCUGCCAUCAGCUCUCCUCGAUCUGUUCCUUUCUUCGCUUCCGGCUUCUGUACGAGGCGCUGUCGCCUCGGAAAGCAAACUUCCACGGAACGACCCCGAACCCUCGGCAACGUCCUGGGUGCUCCGGAUUACCGAGGGCCAAUGUGAGCUCAUCAUUUUCUCGGUCCACCUUCAACCUCCCAGCCUUAGAAUCUUCAAUGUUCUUCACAAGAUGUUCGGCCUUCUCACGUAUUAUGUCAUUGAAAAUCAACGUCCCAUCCUCUUGGCUCAGGGAGCCUCCAUGAGCGUAGUACCAAUUUUUUAAUCGUUCGUGCCAUUCAAUAGUUGCAGGUACGAUUCCCCGUUCGAUCAGAUCUUGUUCCAUCUUCCUCCACUUGGGAAUUGCUGAGCCAUACCCACCUCGCCCCAGAUGAUAAUGGUAGCCCUUCUGACUAGCAUGUGUUGUGUUGGUCAUGAUCUUUUUCACACCGUCUUCACUCCUCUUAUAUUCAACAAAUGCAUCCCAGUGGUCCCUCAACUUUGGCCACGCGUUGAAGUCUGGAGUUCGGCCCUUCUUAAUGUAGUGGGUAUCCAGCAUCUUCUUGAAUGUCUGGAAUUGUGUAGCCAUCUUCUUAAGCGUCCACGCUUUCACAUCCUUCUCAAUAUAUCAUUCGGGGAAUGUGAAAUGUCUCUUGACGUCUUCCCACAGCAUAUUCUUUUCUGUCUCCGGGAGGGCGUACGGAUUAGUGCUUCUGCCCUUCCAUUCUUUGAUGCUGAUAGGCACGUUGUCCUGGACGAUUGCCCCGAUCUGAGUCACGUACUUCUUUGCUACUUUCUCGGGAGCAACCGGCCUGCCCUCUUCUAUCACUUCCGUGAUGACAAGCCUCCCUUCCAUCACCUUUGUACGACCUCGGGUCUUCUGCCCUUGCGUCGAUCCGGAGGGCUAACAGUUCAAGAUUCGUUAAUUAGUACGUAGUAGUAACGGUGGCGUGAAACAAUACAAGAAUCGUUAUAUAUACCUCGCCGGAACCUUCCGCCACGGCAAGAUGUUGCUGGGGCUGUUGCUCUUCAUUCCCAUCGGCGGACAUGUUGAGGAACAUGUCCGCCUGGGUGCCCUCUUCAUCCGUGUACGAUAGUGGAAGGUUGUCGCCACUACCAUCACCAGCGAUUAUCUGCUCCAUGAUAUACCUUGCAGUCUCAUCGUCUGCCAUUUCAACUAUUGAUUGAAACAUACAUGGAAUCAUACAUGACAGUCAUAGAAAUCGCCUCACUUAUAUGUACAUAAGGGUAUAUAAUGAAAUCAUAAAAUAACAAGAAUCCUACAAAGUUCGGAAUAUUUAUACAAAUUUCUACAAAUUAGUAGUACUUUGUGAUGAAUUUCUAGCAAUAACAUUAAUUUGUAUGAAUUUCUAGCAAUAACAUGAAUUUUUAUGAAUUUCUAGCAAUAACAUGAAUUUUUACAAAUUUCUAGCAAUAACAUGAAUUUUGUAUGAGUUUCUAGCAAUAACAUGAAUUUAUACGAAUUUCUAGCAAUAAUAUGAAUUUGUAUGAAUUUUUAGCAAUAACAUGAAUUUUUACGAUUUUCUAGCAAUGACAUGAAUUUUUACGAUUUUCUAGCAAUAACAUGAAUUUGCGGAGGCCGGGGCGGCGGGCGGAGGCGGGGACGGAACCACGGACGGUGCCUAGGUUGUGACGGCGGCGGUCAGGGCGGCGGGACGGCGGAGGCGGGGACGGAACCACGACGAAACACGAUUCAUUUCUAACCUAGGCGGAGCGAUGAACCUAAUUACUACUAAUUACUACUAAUUUACACUAAUUUAAUUUACUAACACAUAUACAAAAAUCUAUUGAAUUUCUA
rnacentral:lncRNA from 1 species